GAGAAGGAGAAGGUAAUUUGCCAUAGGCUUAAAGCCACCCAAAGUCACCAAAAAUCCUAUCCAAAUAUGAGGCGUAGGAAGUUAGAGUUUGAGGUUAGGAUAGGGUGUUCUAGAAGGUGUCUCCCAUGAAGGGAAUGAUGUGGUUUGGAAAGAAAGGGAAGCUCAAUCCCUGAUAUUUUAGUUUGUACUUGGUUUUGAGAAGGGUUGGCAAUGUUUCUAUGAGUUGGAGUUGCCUUCUAGUUUGAGCUCCAUUCACCCGAUGUUCCAUGUUUCCAUGUUGAGGAAGUGUGUGGUGAUUCAUUGCAAAUUGUUCCUAUCAAGGAUAUUGCAAUUUUAGAUUCUCUAUCUUAUGAGGAGGUCCUUGUUGAAAUCUUAGCUCGGCAGGUUCGUCGGUUGUUGAUUAAGGACGUAGCUUUGGUAAAGUUUCUGUGGAGGAACCACAUGGUGGAAGAGGCUACAUGGGAAGCGGAAGAGGUCAUGAAGUUCAAGUAUCCAUUCCUAUGUUCUUCUCCAUAAAUUCGUGAGUAAGUUAUGUGUUGAUCUUACCAACUUUGUUAAAGAAAGAUCGACUUCCUUGGUAUCCUUGUUUUCUAACUUAGCUAAAGGUAAGAGUAGAGAUGUCUGGGGUCUAAAUAGUACUUGUACUGCCUUGUUCCAUCAUUUGAGGAUGAAGGAUCCAAGUGGGGGAGAAUUGAAACACCCUAGAUUUUGACCUGUGGAAAAUUCAUAAUCUUUGAGCUCACUUUCCUUGUAACUAUUCACCAUACGAGUCGUAUAGCAUAGGUACGGAUCAGGGGACCCUAUUCAUUAGGAGACCAAUAAAGGAUGGUUGGGUUUCAAUUGUAGUUACAGUUUGGUGGGUACAGGUUGUGAGAGAUAGUGAUGGUUCAUUUGGUUGGUCCCUUAAUCAAAUCAGUAACCAAGUGACUUGACUUGGAUUUGAGUAGGAGUGGCUUACUAAAAGCUAUGAGGAUAGGUUAGGAGUGCUAAUCUUGAGUCGUUGUUGUCCAGUGUCCAAUCCCUUUGGUUUUUUUUUGGUUACAACUAGACCAAAUGAGUUGUAUGGUCUAGUCAUGAGUAGGGGUUAGGGAGUCGUACGAUUGAUAGUGUAUGGGUGUCCAACUCAUGGUCUUGGUGACGACUCUGUGGUACGAGUUGUAUGUUAUGGUCAUGAGUCAGGGGUUUGACUCAUAACCACCUGCGGUAAUCUUAUAGUUUUAAGUUAGGGGUAUUCUAGAUAUUUCCCCUUUGAAACUCCCUUGGAUACCACUUUAUAAAACACCUUUUGGGGCUUCAUUAACCUAUUAUUCUCAAUUAGACACUAUUAAAAUCUCUCUCAAACUCUCUCUCUCUCUCGAUCAAAAGGCUAGGGUUUCUCAAGAUAUUCAAUAAAGGCUUUCAAGGGUGGUUUCUCUUCGUCUUCCUUGGUAUCUAAAGCACGUUACUCCUCCCUCAUUGUUAUUUUACAAAGGGAAUAUGUUUUAAUGUAUGAUUUUCAUGAUAUUGUUAUGGUUUGAAACAAUGGUUGGGGGUUUUGGAUGUUUAUAGUUGAAUAAUGUUUCUUAUGGUCUAAUGAUGUUUAUUUUAUGCUCUUAAUAUGAUUUUGACAUUAUGGAAUGCACGGUUAUGUUAGAUGGAUUCAAGGGUACUUUUGAUUCCCCAAAAUUACUCGGUUAUGGUUUUGAAACAUAUGUGCCCUCAACCUGUUUGUUAAAAUCCCACUGAGAACGAUUUUCUCACAUUGUUUGACUACUCUUGAUAUCCUUGCAUUGGAUAAAUGGUAAUGGAACUUAAAUUGGUUUGGUUAGUUUUAAAUAGUUUGGAAAGGCCUUAAUUGCCAUGGUUUUGGUUUAAUUAGAAAGUUGGGAGUUAACUUGGUUUAAUGGUUUUAAUAUGGCAUAAAAGGAUAGACUUGCAAGCUCUAACUUUGGUAUGAUGAUACAAUGGUUAAUGCCUAAACAAAAGACUCCUUGUUAAAUUGGUGGAAUAUGUAAAUGGUUUUAUUAUGGGCUUAAAUAGGUUCGAGUGUUAAAGUCAUAAAAGGUGGGGGUCUAGGGGGGCCGACAGUGGAAACUCACAUUUGCCUAUGUAAGGGUGGUCUUGGUGACCAUGUGCAUUAUGUCACACUUUAUAUUUUGGGCGAUGUACUAGUCUUCUCAGAUUCUUUUCUCCAGUCGUGCGGAUAACAUGCAUUGUGUCCCUUUCGGCAAAGGGAGCUGAACCCAUAUAGCCCGUGGGUGGUUUUAGGACUAUCAAGCUACUCAUCCCGGGUUAAGGUUUUAAAUGCAUACUAAACCCGGUUCACUAUCUCGACAUGAUAUAUAUAUAUAUAUAUAUAUAUAUAUUUGUAUCUAUGUGAUUGCAUAUGGUUAUUUAAUUUGGUUUUGAAUUACUGGAAUUAGUUUAUCUCAUCCCUGAGUACAUGCUAGUGUUCACUCUGCUAAUCAUUUUUGAGCGUUGUAUCCCCCACGUGAUACAGAACCAUCCAUAAUACCAUUCCUCCUGCUUAGUGACUUAGAUUCGGGGUCAGCUUUGAGUUAGACUGAAGUGGUGAGCUUCCAUACUUAGGAAGGCUCCCUUUCAUGCUAUGAACUUCUUUUGUUUUUGUUAUUUCUUUGGUUUGGUUUUGGCUAUGGUCGGGGGCAUUUCCCGACCGGAUGUUAUUGAUUCUGCAUAGAGGCUUUGUCAGACCACUAUGGGCAUGGGCGGUUUUGGUAUUGGUUCCAGCCUUGGUAUUGGCAUUGGCAUUGGGGUUGGCACCAAUUGGAUAUUUUAUUUAGGUUGUUGGAUUAUGAUUAUAGACUUUACUUAAUGUAUUUUAUUAUUCUUGGUUUAUCUUGUUAUAUGUUCAGAAUUCAACCGACAUAGGGUUCUGGGUGGUUAUGGUUGGGUAUUGGGGGUGGUCUCCGAUCCUGGUUGGACUUGAGAUGCCCGACACGUCUAGUCCCUGGUUCAGGUCGUGUCACAUAUUUUCCCAUGAAAAUUUAGUAAUUUUGCGUACUUAUAAUUAUGAACCCUUGGUAUGUUGGUAAAUUCAUGAUUUUGGACUUGAGUUAUAAAAAUUUCCUAUUAUAUUCAGAUCAUAGAAUUUCUACUAUUUAGUCAGAUUAUUCAAAGCUGGUGGGUUAUGAACACCCAAUACCUAGGGAUUCAUGCAUAUAUCAUUUUACAUGUUUUGAGAACUUUAGAUUAUCUAUUGUUGAUAUUCCAGAAUAAAAUCAUAACAGGCAAUACAGUUUUCAGUUUCAUUCAAUUUGUAGUUGUACUUAGCAUCUAGUGAAUGUAGGGAUAAAGGCUCACCCGUCUGUUUAGGCUUGAUACCUUUAGUAGCAGCCCCUAAAUUCUAGAACUACAGUUCCACUGUAGGUUAUAAGGGGGCACCCUUCAGUUGAGGCAUGACACCCUAGUCCUUCGGGACAUCAGUUUAGUUGAUCCACGCCAACCAGUAUUAGUAUCCUUGGCAAGGUACAAGCACCCUUCCAACUGGGGUUACAGGUUGAACCCUGGGAUUGGGGUGUGUCGAUUAUUGUUAGCUCCCACAGUCCUCAAUUUAUGUUUCAGUUCAGAUUAUGCAUGACCCUGUAUUUAGUUAUUCAAUUUUCAUUUAAUACAUGUUUAUACUUAAUCAUUGCAUUAAUUUACAUCCCACAGUUUCAAACCUAGUAAUCAUACAUGACCCUCAGUUUAGUUUUAGUUUCUUUCAUACUAUUAAUUUUAAUACUACAUAGCUUUUACGUACAAACAUGUUCUAAAUGUAUAUAUUUCAGAAAAUGGCUUACAUUCUCAAUUUCAAAGCAUGUUUUAAGUAUUUUCAUGACGAGUGCAUAUAUCAUAUACUAAAUACAUUCUAAAGUACAAAUCCCAUACCUCUUCUUUGUAUAUUUUUUUAUGUGAUAUAGAUUCAGGUGCUUACUCCCAGGAUCAUGGUCAGGCAGAUCAUAGCAUUCCGCGAACAAGUGAUGAAUUCUCUUAUUUCGUGGACUCAAGUCAGUUACAGUUCUUGUAUUUUAUUUUCUUAUUCGUAUGUAUUGAUUAGAGAUAGUUGGUGAUCAUGUCCCAACAACCUAUAGUCAUAUUAGUAGAGGCGUCAUAGAUGGUAAGCAUUGUAUGUAGUUUAAGCGACGUCAGCUAAUGUACGCCAUAUUGAAAAAUGGCUCGAAAACGACAGACGAAGGCAAAACUCAUAACCAAUACAACACCUAAAGGACCAUCGAAAGUCAAUCUAUAACAAUAUGUAUGAAAUAUGAAGCCUGUAACUCCAGAACUAAGGGUUCCUUAACAAUCUAUAGUUUAGCUUGCUGAGAGAGAAAAGGGAGCUAGCAGUGGCUCUGCACCGCAUACGAGAAUAGUCACACCAGAAACAAGGAUUCCUCAGCCACUAUCUAUAGUUCAACUAGCUGAAUGGGUGUUGGGGACUGGCAGUGGCUCGAAAGUUUUGAUGAAACUUCCGACACAAAACCGCCAAAUCACUCACACCACCAAAACUCCACCCAAAAAUAAUAAGGAUGGGGAGGUCUCAAUGCAGGCGAUUAGGAAGUUAACUUUCUCAGCAAGCUCCAAACCAACUGGGGAAAAACAAAGCAAGCUUCCAAUGAUGGGUAAGAAACUUCAAUACUACCCACCUAUAAUAAAUAAUAGGUUUAAAAUAGUUAAAUUGAAUCUGGAUGAAGUAGAGAAACAACAACGAAAAUGGGACUGUACUUUAAUAGGAUAUGUUGUUGGGAAGAAUCCAUUGUUCAAACAGAUGUUACACUUUGUGUAUACAUUCUGGAAAUUUGUGGUAACACCUAGAGUCUUCUUGAAUGAUAAUGGAUAUUUCAUAUUUCAAUUUGAAAACAAAGAUAAUAGAGCAAAAGUCCUCAACAAUGGGACAUACACGUAUGACUAUAGAGCAUUUGUGCUGAAACCAUGGGUACCAAACUCUCAGAGGAGUAAAGUGUAAUACCCCGAAUCUGGUACCCGGAAUGCUAUACGAUGCUUAUGACCCCAAAGGAUCACAACCUAACCCAUGAUGGAUAUUUGUACCUGAACACUGCAUAAUAUACUGUAUAAAUGCAAAAAUAAAGGUUGUUAGGCAGUAAGGUUCAAAACUGAUAAAAUAAUCUCUGAAUGAUAUGGUAUCAUAAUACCAAAACAAAACCUGAAAUAAACUAUCUGAACAUGCUAGUCUAAAAAGCCUUUAACUGACUGAAUAGUCUGAACAAGGAGUUGAUGGUACAUGUCCCUAACUAACUCCAACUACUGAAAUAAAUUAAUUAAUGAGAUAAUAAAGUAAUGGUCAUGUCCUUGAAGGAUGAGGACUCACUGCUAACUCUAACUACUGAAACUGGAAUGCUACUGAUGCUCUGGAGCUCAUGCUUCUGAACUUAUGGUAUAAAACACCAUAGUUCAAAUGUGUCAAUACGUUGGAAUGUACUGGUAUGCAUGUGAGGUAGGCUGAAUGCAAAGGGUUCACAUGCAUGAACUAUACUAACUGACUAGACAACAAGAACGUGAGAAUGCAAGUAUAAAUACAUAAUAACUGUAAUUGAGUUCGAUGAUAACAUAAUUAAUGAGCCUGAAUACUGAUAACAUGAGAUACUGAUAAUUGUAAAACUGAAAUAACUAAUAUGGAGCGAUUGUAUCUAACAAUCUAGGUUCUGAUGGAACUAGCUGAGUUCUAUGUUGUUCUGAGUUGACUGUAUCUGACAGUUAUGAAUUCUAUAGAACUAUCUGAGGUCUAUUACUAAGACUAACUGACUGUAUCUGACAGUCCUGAAUCUAUAACUAAAACUGUAGGAAGUAGUCAUCUAAUCGACAUGCCCUAAAUAAAGCAAUAUAGUUGAGGUGGGGUCCAAUCUGUAACCCCAAUUAGAAGGGAGUCAAUACCGCGCCACUGGUAAGAACAAGCUGUGGGAAACCCUCCUCUGAAGUCUCCCCAAAAGAGAAUGGCGGGGCCCUCAUUUGAAACUGCUUAUCUACCCUAUCAACCCUCAUCUGACAGUGUUGAUGUCUCAACCUAUGUUGGCUACAUAGUUCUGGAAUGCAAGGAUGACUUCUAAGAAUCACACCCUCAUCUGACAGUGUAUGUUCCCAUCCUUGGGUUCACUCAGUGGUAAUUACUGCUCCCAUUUGAACAGACACUGAACAUGGAUUACUAAACUAAACUAGACUAAAUUAACUGAGUUUUGUUGACUGACGAAAUACUGCUGAGAUUAUUGAAUUUCUAAGAUUUCUGAGACUAUAGAGUUUACUGAGUUUUUCUGAGUCACAUGACUAACUAAAUUUCUAUGAACAUGGCUCGACUGAGAGUAUCUUGAAAACAUGACACUGGCUCUAGGCACACAGCUAAUUGUCAGGUACAAGUACCCCUAGGACUCGAUAGUAUGAAACUGACAAAGCAUGACUUUCUUGAAUACAUGACCAACAUCACGAUCCAUAAUACAAUAAGUUUUAGAUUUCAUGAAGUAGAAGUUCUAAAGCACCACAAUGGCUACACAUAUAUCCAUAAUUCAUUGACUAAGACAUUUCAUCAAACACUGGACAUGCAUAAAUUUGUACAUAAAAUGGGGAUUUCAUAUUAUCAUACUAAUAUGGCACUUUUCCAUCAUAUAGGCAUAUAAUCGAACACAUGGAGAGCAUGCUUUCGUUAUACAUUCAUCAACACAUCUACUAAUCAUGGAUACGUCAAUCAACGUGUAAAUUUAAGGGUUUAUCAUGAUUAUUAUGUAAAUCACCACAUCCUAGGGUCAAUUAUUAGAAUAUGUAAUUUCAAACAUGAAUCUAAACCCCACAACAUCAUGAACAUGAAUUUCAACUCAAUUUAAAUCAUGAACAUUCAUACAUACACAAUUCUUUAUAUUUUGAAAAGAGAUUCUUGAUCUUCAUGGGUGAAAGGGACCCAUGGAUCAACACAUGGCAUACUUGGGUUGUGAGUUUCUUGAAGUUCCUGGACUUGAAGAACUUGAAAUCUCUUAGUUUCUUGAAGAACAAUUUGGAUCUUGUUCUUGGGGAUUAUCUUUGAGAGAAAACCCUAAUUUGAUGUUAUAGAUGGAUAAUGAACUUAUGAUCCUUGAUCUGAUAUAAUUAAGGGUUAAAACGGGUGGAAAAGACCCAAAUACCCUUUUAAAAAUGACUUUAAAAUAACUGAAUAAACUAUGCGAUAGUGGGCGCGAUGGUCCAUCGGUCCUGCCCGUCGCACCUAGGCAGAAUAGAGGCUCACUACAUUUGUUGCAAUGGCUUGGACAAUGGUCCAUCGCUAGCUCGACGUUCUGUCGGCUUGAGCCGUCACCCUUAGAUAGAAGGUGAUAUUACUACCUUUACUGCGACAGUUUGGGAGACGGUCCGUCGCUAGCUUGACGGUCCGUUGGCCCUCAUCAUCGCACCUGGGCAAUUUUGACUGCUUUCUGUAAAACGGCCAUAACUUUCUACCCCGAUACUAGAUUUGGACAAAAUUGGUAUAGUUGGAAAGCUAAUUCAAUUUCCCAUAUGACAAAAAGUGAAAAUAUUAAAAAUUCCACAUAUAUAAAAGUGUAUUCAUAUUUCAAAGUAAGUUUCUAACAUACUUGGGACGAUUUUAAGCUAGGUAAAAGAAUAGGGUAUUAGAUAAAGAGUCUAUGAAACAAGUGCCACUUGGGGUUGUCUUUCCCAACCUACUAAUUCAAUACUGGGCUAUCUAGAAAUUGAGUAGAAUAGCAAGAUAUUUAGGAAAACCAGUAUGCAAUGACAGCCUAACUGGUGGGGAGGGAAGAAUUUUCUAUGCUAGAAUGCUAAUAGAAAUGGAUGUAACAGAACCAUUACCUGAGCAUAUGUUGAUUGAAGAACCUAAUGGUAAUACCAGAAGGCAGGACUUAGACUACAACUGGUGGCCUGACUACUGUCAAGAAUGCAUUGUGCAAGGACAUGAGACACACAAAUGCCUCUCAAAGAAACCAGUAAAACAGCACCCUGAACCUCCUAAACCAGUACCAGAACAGGAGAAGAGUAUGGGUCCUACACAAUAGUUGCCAAAGAGUAUUCCUAUAGUUGCAUAGAGUAUAGGUCCUAUAGUUACUAAUACUAAUGAAUUACAAGAACAUGAGGCUAGGAGGAUCAAGUACAUGAAAUACUGGCUACAAAGUCAGAUGCAGGUUGUAGCAAAGCCAGGGGACAGGAGGAAAGAGACACUCAUGAGGAAUGUAGAUUCAACUUAUUAGGAGUUAUCGAGGGUCCUAGGUAGCCCUCCAAGGCUCCAAUAUAAUUUUAUAAUCCUGGAAUAUAAGAGGGCUGAAUCAACCCUUUAAGCAGAAGGAGUUAAAGCUCUUUAUGAGCCACAAUAAAAUUGAUUUGUCGGGUUCCUCAAAAACAAAAAUAAUGGGUGGUAAAAAAGAUACCAUCACAAAGAUGUUUGGUAAGGAAUGGACAUACACAGCUGACUAUAAUGUGGAUCAGACAGGAAGAAUAUGGCUAUUCUGAGAGGAUCAAUAGGUUAAGGUCAUAAUUGAAUUAGCUACAUCACAAUUGGUGCACUAUUAUAUGGAAGAUAAAGGAUCCAGAUUUGCUAGUUUCAUGACCUUUGUAUAUGGCUACAAUAGCUCUAUAUGAGAGAAAGAAAUGUGAGAACAGCUGAAAGGAAUUCACCAUAAUGUAAAUGAAUCUUAGGUCAUACUAGGUGAUUUCAAUAUAGGUCUCUCUAUGACUGACUGGCUUAAUGGAUCCCCUAUCAAACAAAUUGACAUACAAGAUUUCCAGGACUGUAUAGAGAAGUUAGGAUUGGGCGUACUACCCAGAUAAGGGUGUGAUUACACUUGGUCUAAUAGAAGAGAAGCAACUAAUAGAAUACACAGCAAGAUAGAUUGGAUACCAUGAAAUACAGCCUGGUUAAUAAAGUAUGGGGCUCCAGCGGUUGUAUUCAGGUAACUAGGGUGUUCAGACCAUUAACCAAUCAUUGUCAACUUAGAAGUGUUGAUACAGAUUACUAAAAGAUCUUUUAGAUUGCUGAAUGUCCUAUUAAACCAAGACAAUUUCCAGAAUAUGGUAAAAGAAAUUUAGGGUAAAACUAUUUAGGGUUAUACAAUGUACUCAGUUUGGCAGAAUUUAUUGAGGGGUGGAGCUAAAGCUCAGAAUCUAAAUCAACGGAUGUCCUUAUUGGAGAAGAAAAUACAAGAAUUGAGAUCAGAGAUAAAAUAAGUGCAAGCAAAAUUGAAUGCUAAUCUGUUUGAUACAUACCUAAUCAAGCAAGAAGUAUCAGUUAUUGCUCAACUCCAAAAGUGGGACUGGAUAAAUAAACAAGUAUUGAGACAGAAGUCUAGGGAAACUUAGAUAGCACAUGGAGACUCCAAUUCAAAAUUUUUCAUGCUCAUUUAAAACACAGACAAGCAACAAACAAAAUUGCUUCUAUAUGUAAUAAAAAAGGAGUAGGGUCACAGAACCAACCUAAAUCCAGUAGGAAUUGACUCAAUUCUUUCAACAACUCUUGGGAACUACAGCAAGUAAAUUGCCUUGCAUCAAUAUUUACAUAGCAAGAGAUGGUCCUUACCUAAACAUUGAGCAACAGAAAUAAUUAAUGGAAGAAGUGAUAGAGCAGGAGAUCUUGCAGACAGUUCACCACCUUUCUGUGACAAGGCACCAGGUAUUAAUAGAUUUCCAAUAGAGUUUUUUAAAAGUAAUUGGUUAGUAGUAGGAAAAGAGGUCACUACAGUAGUUUUACAAUUUUUUAAAAAUGGGAGGCUAUUAAAGAGUAUAAAUUGUGCAACUAUCACACUUGUGCCUAAAGUAGACAAUCCUAAAUUUGUGAAGGAAUAUAGGCCAAUAGCAUGAUGUACUACUUGUAUAAGAUUAUUGAUAAAAUUCUCACUGCAAAACUAAAGCCUAUGGUAGAUAUUCUAGUGGGACAUUCAUGAUCUGCAAUCAUUGAGGGGAUAUGUAUUUUAGAUAAUGUGAUAGUGGCCCUUGAACUAAUAAGGUGAUAUGGCCAAAAACAUAUUUCCCCAAGAUGUUUCAUGAAAAUAGAUAUCCAAAAAGCUUAUGAUUCAGUUGAAUGGGCGUUCUUAUAGAUGAUCCUUAUUGAAUAUGGCUUCCCUACAAAAAUGAUUGAAUAGAUAAUGACAUAUGUAGCUACUGUUAGUUAUUCUAUACUUGUGAAUGGGAAUUUAACUGAGAAAUUUCCUGCUAAGAAAGGGCUUAUACAGGGGGACCCUAUGUCUCUAUAUCUCUUUAUGCUGGUGAUGGAGUACUUAAAUAGAUUACUGGAACAGUUGAGGCACAACCCAAAUUUCAACUACCAUCCAAGGUAUGCCAGAUUACAACUAACUCACAUCUGUUUUGCGGAUGACUUAAUGCUAUGUUGUAGAGCAGAACAAAUGUCCAUCUAACAGAUUUUAGAGGCCUUUGAGUAUUUCUCUUCUAUCUUAGGGUUGAAAUCCAAUUUAGAGAAAAUCUCUUUUUAUGUAGAAAGGGUAACCACUGAGUUUAAGCAAAAUAUAUUAAGAGAAAUGCAAUUUACAGUGGGAGAAAUGCCAUUCAAGUAUUUAAGGGUACCACUCUCAUCUAGGAAACUAUCCUAUAGUGCAUGUCUCUAGUUGAGAAAAUAGUAGCAAAGGUCAAGUGUUGGAAUGUUAAACUCUUAUUCUAUAGUGGCAACCUACAGCUAAUUAAAAGUGUGCUAUUUGAAAUGCAAACAUAAUUCGAACAAGUGUUCUUACUACCCAAAAAGGUAAUAUCUAUGGUCACACUUAUUUGUAGGGUAUUCCUCUGGACAGGAGGUGUUCAAAACUCAUAGAAGUCACUGAUUACUUAGGAAACCAUAUGUCUACCAAGAGCUACUGAAGAGAGUGAAUAUAAUUGAGUUUUAGAGGUAGAAUAAAGUUGUUAUAUGUAAGCUAUUAUGUGCAUUAUCAAACAAGAAGGACACCUUAUGGGUCCAAUGGAUUCACAACUUCAAUAUCAAAGGUACAGACUUAGAGUCAAUGAACACACCUAAACAAGCAUGUUGGCUUGUUAGGAAAAUAUUUGAUACUAGACAAGGGCUCCCACUUGGCAAUCCAAUGCAACAUCUAGCACAAUUUACAAUGUGGUCAAAAUUUAGUAUCAAGAAAUUGUACUACACAAUGUUGUCUCAACAUUCCAACGUAGUAGGGAGUAGCUUGGUGCAAUUACCAGGGACCAUCCCAAGACACCAAUUCAUAAUAUGGCUAGCUCUACAUGGGAGGUUAGCAAUAGUUGAAAGGUUUGAGAAAUGGGGCAUCAAUGUAGAUGUUGGUUGUGUCCUCUGUUGUUCAGGAACUAAUAAAAUGUUUCAGCAUCUAUUAUUUGAUAUACUUAUUCUAAGAACACCUGGAGCACCUUAUUAAAAUGGAUGAACAUUCAUAGAUAGGUUCAUACGUGGACAGCUGAAAUCAAAUGGCUGACUACUGGUGUACACACUUCAAAGGCAAGAUCACAGGUACUAAUAUAUUUAUUUGCUGCUAUAGUUUACCAAAUCUAGAUUGAAAGAAAUGCAUGCAGAUUCAAGGCUUAAUGUUAGAACAACACCCAGAUGAUCAAAGACAUAUGCCUUUAAGUACAUAUUAAAGGCCAACAAUAGUGCAAAUGGUAGGACAAACUAGCAAGUUUGAAUCACUAUUCGAUCUAAUGUAAUGUAGUUUAGAAUUUUUAAUAGUUAGAAAGGACAGGAAAGUAUUGUAAUUCAAAUGUUCUAGUUGGAAUAAAAAAAUUCUUUCGACCAAAAAAAAAACUUAUCUCAUGAUUAUGCUUUCGCUAAGUCAAUUUAGCCUUUAUCUAUGUUUUAAUCAGUUGCUUAACCAUUAUAUCAAUACAUGGGUUAGCUUGGAAUCACUUAUGGUUCUAAGCAUCUUGUUAUGACUAGAGGUAGUAUCGGAUCAUGACAUCCCCUUUUGAAUAGCAUCAAAAUCAAAUAAAACAUUUAGAUAUAACAUCUACGCAUUAAAAAUAAGCUAAUGAUACUUAUAUUGCUCAUAUUUGAGUUGAGACAAAAAAAAAGGUUCAAAAAAUAAUUUUCAAAAUAAAAGGGAUAAAAUUAGAGUUUGGUUUUAGAAAUGCAUUCCCCAAGGAUAAUGUAAUCUAUAGUUAAAAUCCAUGCAAAAAUGAAUUAAAAAUAAGGUCCAAAUCAAAGAAAACUAUUUUUAAAUUUUUUCUAAAUAAUUCUCAAAGUCCCAUGAUAAAAUUAUGAUUAAUGAGUGUUUUGAUGAUAUAGAUCAAUGAAAAGUAAUGGAAUUAAGGUUUCGGAGCUUAUUCAUGCUUGAAUUGUGACAAACCCUAAAAGUCCCCCAAACCCCGGAGCUCAAAGCCCAAAAUGAAAAUUGAGAAAAGGGAAUUAUAUACAGUGGUUUCCGCUUAAGUGACAACCUCUAAAGCGAUAUCAGGCCGCUAGAGUGGAUACUUCAUAAGCAAUGUCAAGCUGCUAAAGUGGACCUGAUUAAUCGGUCUUGGGCAACUAAAAUAGUUGUUGCUUAAAAGGAACUCGGUUGCAUAAGCAGCUUCACCAGAUAUCAAAAAUUAAUAAUUUUUCCCUUAUGAUUUGAUUGGGGCCCCACAAAAAUAACCCAUAUAUUCAACCAGGGUAAUCUCUACUUUUUAAAUUCAAUAACAAUGUCAAAUUUUUGGAAAAAAGAUUAUUUUAAACAAAUUAACCCCCAGGACCCCUUUAAGGCAUAUUUUAGUAGUUUUUAAAUGGAGGAUCAAAACACAAAUAAAAGGCUUCAAAUAUAAACCAACCCUAUUGCUAACCAAAAUUUGACCUUUUAGACAUAAUGGAAUUGACCAAAUCAUCAUCUAGCACUCAAAACAUCAAAUAUUUAGCAAAGUAGACUAUGGAAGUUUUAAAGCCUCUAAAAAGCACAAACUCUCCCAAAUCACUCUUGAUCACAUCAAAAAUUAUGUCAACCAUCCAUAUACCCUAAAAUAAACAUGUAGAAACUAUGAAAAACACAUAAAAAGUAAGAUUUUACAAUUUAGGACAUUACCACAUCCACCACUAAAACUCUAGUUUGUCCUUGAAUUAAAAGGCAAGAAAGUACUUGAAUAGGUAAAGGAUAACUACUAUGCAUAUAGGACUCGACCUCGCAAGUAUCUUCCUUAGUGGGAUGGUGUCUCUACUAAACCUUAACGAUAAGAAUAUCCUUAAAAUGCAACUAUCUAACAUCCCUGGCUAAAAUAGACAAUAACUCCUUUAGAAAAGUCAACCUCUUAUCCAACUGAACCAAGUCCCAAAGAAGCAUAUGAAACUCAUCCAGAAAAUAGUACUGAAACAUAUAUACAUGAAAAACUUGAUAAAUAGCUAAAGAGUCUAAAGGUAAGGCCAAUUCAUAAGCAACCUCCCCUACUAACUAAAGAAUCUCAAAGGCCCGAUACAAUUAGGGAUAAUUUUGCCUCUCUUUUUGAACCAUAUCACAUACUUCAUAGGUAUUCCAUAAAGGAAGACUCGAUCACAAAUCCUAAACUUCAAGACAUAAAGCCUACAAUCUGCACAACUCUUUUCCCUACUUUCGGAUACCCAAAUCCUAUCCUAAAUCAUCUAAACCCUAUCCAAAGAGUUGAAAAGCAAGUAAGUACCAUGAGUUCUAAACUCUAAAGUCUCAAACCAACCAAAAGGAGAUCAACAAUGUUGUAAUAACCCUUCAGGUAAUUUUUCAUGAUUCUAUUUAUUUUCGUUUAUAUAUUUUCCAUAUCUUCCCGAUAUAAUUUAUGACUUAUUGUAAUUGAUAAUUUGGUUAUUGAGUAAUUCUUUUUAUUUUUAGAACCAUUUCCCUAUUUAGAAGUCUUUGCUAGUUCCAAAUGGCCACCGAGUAAAAAAUUAAGCAAAACUAUGUUGGCUGCAAAUUCUUACUACAUGAACAGCUCCAGAAUAUUGAUUUUAGGUUGGGUAGACCUUUGGUUCGGGUCCCUCUGCACCCAAACUCAUUUCGACCUAUUGGUUGAAAUAUUAAUAAAUUAGAAAUUUAGGUAUAGGGCCCAUAUUUUGAUAAAACAACUUUAGAUGGAAAAUCUGACUUUGUCAAUGCAUCCAGAAUAUUGAAAUCAGUGUGGUUUCAUAUUUUGUUUUCUUAUAUUGGACUAUGGAUGCAUCUUGAGGCAUUGCCCAAAACUUGGAGUAAAUUAUAAGUUUCAGCUGUCAUCUGGUGUAGCAAAGAUACCAUGGUGACGGAGGUGGUAUUGUGAUUGCAAUGCCGCGAUCGCAACCCAUGUUUCUAUGAUCGCCUGAACUAAGAGCCUAGGAAGUGGUGUUUAAAAGCUUUUUUUUGUCAAUAAUUUGCCAUUCCUCUCUUGCCUUGGGUUCCAUAAACCCUAAUAGAAUGUGUAGAGCUCAAAUUGAGUCUUGGGUGUUGAUUGGGAGGUUGGAUAACUUACAUAUUCAUGGUUAACAUCAAAUCUAAGGUAUGAAUUCUUUAUUAGUGUUGAAUUCUUGAUUAUUUCACCCAAGACCCCAAAUGAUGUAAGGCAUGAUUAUAGCCCAAAUACGAUUGAUUAGCAUCAAUUUCUUGAGAGAUAUAACUCCUUAAUUGUAUUUGAACAAUGUGUUGGUCUUGGAAACUUAUUUUUUAUAAGUGGGAUCCACUUGGGGGAUUUUGGUGGCUUUUUUUACCCAGAUCACAAUGGUGCAACACGGGUAUUGAUAUGCUCGUAAUAAUGCAUAGAUUUUAUUUUUGAUAGCUUGGCUCAUUGAAGAAGAUUAGAUGAGAGAAAAAGUAAAGAUUGUUGGUUCAUGAGCUAUAUUUGGAUUUGAGGUAGGUUAGGCUUACUUAUUGUUAGAUCGAGCCUUUUAAUAGUAUGACUUUGAUAUCUUCAUAAGAUUGGGUGGGGUUUUAUGUGUUUAAGUGGUAGAUGAUAAUGUCGAGUUUAGUUGAACCACUUUAGGCUAUUAAACUCAUAAAGUGUGGUACUUGACUUAUAGUCUAGAACAUCAGUUAGUUGGACUUAUUAUCUCAUGAAUAACAUGAGAAUUCUAUAGUUUCUCUAGUUAGAUGGGAGUGACUUUGUCAUUCAUAUCAAAUGGUAAUUUAACCUUAGUUGUGCAUAGUUAUGGAGAUUUCCCUAGUAGUUUGGGUGGAUUAAGAGUAAUCCUAAAGGAAGGAUUUCACCAUAGGACUAGUGUGGAAUGAUAAAAUUUUAAAACAUGAUUUAAAUAGAUUAGCUUUGUUCCAGGUAGAAGUUAGACUUGAAGAGGAAUUUGGGCUAUUAGAAGCAGGACUUGACCCACCUUAAGCUUGGACUAUGUAGUUUCAUAAGUGACCUAGAUACUUGUUAAAUGCAUAGAAUAUGCCUUGGGUAAUAUGAUGGUUACCCCAGGUAAAUGAUUUAUUCAUCAUGUAGGUAUUGGAAAUGAUAUGCAUGAUUGAUUGUUAGAUUAUUGAUAAUGCUUGGAUAGUAAUGAAUUGUCAUAUAGAUUGAGCACAUGAAUACGCUAUCCCUUAAAUCAUUAACUAAAUUAUCAUAUGUGUCUUAGAUUAUGCUAUUACUCAUAUUAUGUUCAAGCCUAGUGACUAAGCUAAUGUUUUUUCUAAAGAUACUCUUGUGCUAAUAAUGUAAAUUAUGCUAAUAAAGAAGGGAUCUAGAACAUAAACUAUGGCUUGUAUUUGAAAAUACUUAUGACAAUGUUAAGCCUGAUAAAGUAUCGAGUUCUCAUACCAUAUGAAUAUAAUUGUUCAUACUCCUAGUAAUAUAUUAUAUUGACAAUGAAUGAUAAGGUAUGAAGUUAUGUCUUUUCUUAUAUCUCUGUCACCCAUCCCCGAUGGGGCUUACAUUUACUAUGGAUUUGAUUGCACAUAUAUUGAUGUUAUGAUGAAUAUUAAUGUUAUGAUGAAUAUUAUUGUUAUGGUGAAUAUUGAUGAUAUGAUGAUGCCCGGUAAGUCUAGAGGAUAUAUUAAUGUGAUGAUGAUGUCUAGUAAGUCUGAAAAAUAUAUUGUUGUUAUGAUGAUGCUCGGUAAGUCCAGAGGAUAUAUUGAUGUUAUAAUGAUACCUGGUGAGUCCGGAGGAUACAUUGAUGUUAUGAUGAUACUAGCUGAGUUCGGGGGAUAUAUUGAUAUUUUGAAGAUACCCAGUAAGUUUGGAGGAUAUAUUGAUGUUAUGUAUUGAAAACAUGUGUAUAUAUGUUUAUGUGUGCUUACACCUUUAUAUGAUUACAUCCCUAGGUGCUUUAAAGAUAAGAUGUUAUACUUGGGAUGUCGGUUAUAAUUAUUCGAUACUAAUCACUUCUUAAGCGGUGUUGUUCUUGCUAGAGUUGAAUGGUGAAUAGAAAUAGUAUAUGCCGAACAAUAAAUUAGGACAAGUUGGUAAAUGGGAUAUUGUGUGGAAUUUGAGGAUUCACCUAGUGAAUUUAGGUAUCCUUGGAUAAAUGGAUUGAUUAAGAUAUAUUGCUUAUUUAGAUGAGUUAUAUGGUGACUAGUUGACUACUACAUGACUAUCUUACUUGAUAACUUAAAGUCUAGAAUUCUAGUUAUUGAUCCAAUGGUGGUUGAAAUGUGGUAACUAACAAUUGUAGUUGUUGUUUGGUUAAUGAAGAUAAUUAGUUAGCAUUGGUGAUGAUUAAUGACAUUGAUGUAUAAGUCAUGAUGUCGACUAGCUAUAAAUUGAGGAUUUGUAUAUUAAUAAUGCUAGAUAUGAAAAGACAUUAAUGGUUAGAUAUAUAAGUGUUUAAUGAUGAUUAGUGGCCUUUUGCUAGUUGAUGACUAGUGCAACUAUUAUGACUUAAAUUGAUCUAGGGCUAAAUGGCAUCUAUGGUCUAGUAGUGAGCCUUGACUUGAUAUUGGAUGUUGGUUAUUUAGCAGAUAAUGUCUAGUUGAUAUCCUGUGAAUAAGGAUUGUGCAAAGUAUCGAUUAGUUUAAUAAUUAGAGGUCAUUGUCUUGAGGUUAGAGUCCUCUUUCUCAAAGUAUCAAUUAGUUUAAUAAUUAGAGGUCAUUGUCUUGAGGUUAGAUUGUGCAAAGUAUCCGUUAGUUACUCCAUCAAUACCUUUUCUCAAACCACCUAUGUCUUGAGGUUAGAGUUCUUUUUCUCGAUAUAACCUAAACGGUGGAAGGUUAGAGUCCUCCACUUCAUGGUUCAUAUUUGAGUUCUUUGAAAUUCAUGCUAAAGGCUUAUUAUCAUUUGACUCUUGAUGUAUCCAUAUGUAUUUAUAUACCUAUUUGUAUAAAAGUGAUGACUUAUGAUGGUAUUACUUGGUAUUCAAUAAAGACAUUAUUUUAUCCUUACCCUUGAGUUACAUGUUAGUGCUGCAACCGCUAACCGUCUCCCAACAUCGUGUCCCCAUGUAACACAAGGUUCGAAGCAUCUUCUUCUCUUCCUACGCAAUUAUUAGGUGUUUGGGAAGUUCGAGUGUUGACAUCAAAGUUGUGAGCUUCCAUCCUUAUAAAGACACAUAUUUUAUAGUCUUCUUAGCAUAUGUCAUAAGAUUAUUUAGGAUUAGGUUUUGGCUAUUGUCAGGGGCUUGUCCCGACAUAUUAUUACUUCAGAUUUAUAGAGGCUUAUGGAUGAUUCUGGACUUAGGUAUCUUGUAUUUUGAAUGUUAAUAUAAAUGAAUGGCUAGAAUUUCUUAAGGUAUGAUUGUUAGUGUUGUUUCAUCUAUCUUAUUAUAUGUUCAAAGUUUAUUCGAUGCUUGUGGAAUGAUAUGAUUGUGGAAUGAUAUGAUCGUUUGUAUGCCAAGUUCUCUAAGUGUGAGUUUUGGUUAAAGGCUGUGACUUUUCUUAGUCAUGUUAUCUCUAGUGAAGGGAUCAUGGUGAAUCCACAAAAGGUUGCGGUGGUUUAGAAGUGUCCUAGACAUGCGACUCCAACUGAUAUUCAGAGCUUUUUGGGUGUAGCCAAUUACUAUAGUAGGUUUGUGGAGAGUUUUUAAAUAAUAGCUUCCCUAUUGACUAAGUUGACCCAGAAAAAGUUCAAGUUCUUAUAGUUGAAUGUGUGUGAGGGUAGUUUUGAAAGAUUGGUGGAUAAAUUGACUUCGGCUCAAGUUUUGACCUUGCCCGAGGGUAACGAUAGUUUUGCAGUAUAUUGUGAUGCUUCUCGUAUUGGGCUUGGUUAUGUGUUGAUGAAACAUAGUAGGGUGGUGGCCUAUGCUUCUAGGGAAUUGAAAGUUCAUUAUCUCAAUGGUGUACAUGUUGACAUAUUUUCUAAUCAUAAUAUCCUACAGUAUGUGUUUACUCAGAUAGAGUUAAAUCUUAGGCAUAGGAGAUAGCUUGAGUUGUUGAAGGACUACGACAUGAGUCUCCAUUACCAUCCAGUUAAAGCUAACAUUAUUGUUGAUUCUCUUAGCAGGUUAUCCAUGGGGAGUUUGGCUCAUGUUGAGAAGGAUAAUUGUGAGUUGGUGAAGGAUAUUCAUCGAUUGACUAGGCUUGGAGUUCAUCUCUCAGACUUAGAGAAUGGUGGUGUAUUCGUGCAUCCAGUAUCACAGUCAUGUCUUAUGGUUGAGAUUAAGGAAAAUAAAAUGUUGGAUCCCGACUUGGUGAAGAUUAAGAGUAAUGUGGGUUAACAAAAGGUUGUUGACUUUGUGAUUGGUGUUGAUGGUAUCUUGAGGUACUAAGGUAGGCUAUAUGUUCCCGAUAUCAAUGGAUUGAGGGAAAGGAUUAUUGCUAAAGCUCAUGGGUCUCAGUAUGCCAUUCAUCCAGCUUCUACAAAGAUGUAUCAUGAUCUUAGGGAGUUUUAUUCAUGGAAUAAUAUGAAACGAGAUAUGGCUAGCUAUGUGGCUAAGUGUAUGGCAUGCAAACUAGUAAAAGUUAAGCACUUGAGAGCCGAUGGUUUGUAUCAAGAGAUAGAGUCACCCAAAUUGAAGUGGGAAGUUAUUAAUUAGAUUUCAUCACUGGUAUUCCUCGGUAUCGAAAUUAAUGUGAUUUGAUUUGGGUCAUUAUGGAUAGAAGGACCAAGUCCUCUCAAUUCUUGCCGAUAAGAAUGAGUUAUUCGACAGUGGAUUACGCUAAGUCGUAUCUUGUGUAGAUUGUGAAAUUGCAUGGUGCUCCAAUUUCUAUCAUCUCAGAUCGUGGUACUCUAUUUUCAUCUUAAUUUUAGAAGUUAUUUCAAAAAAGUUUAGAAACUAAGGUGUGCCUUAGUACCUCUUUCUACCCGCAAAUGAAUGGACAAGUAGAGAAUACUAUCCAAAUAUCGGAAGUUAUGUUGCAUGGUAGUGUGAUUGAUUAUGGUGGUAGUUGGUAUGACCAUUUUCCUUUGAUUGAGUUUUAUUAUAACAAUGGUUACCACUCUAGCAUGGGUAUGGCUCCUUUUAAGGUGUUGUAUAGUAGGAGAUGUCGAUCUCCUAUAGGGUUGUACGAGGUUGGAGAGGGGAAGUUUUUUGGCCCCGAUUUGAUUCACCAAGCCUUGGAAAAGGUGAAGGUGAUUCAUGAUACGUUGAAAGCUUCUCAAAUCCUCCAAAAGUCUUGUGUGGAUGUUAGGCAUAGGGAUUUGGAUUUCAAUAUUGGUGAUUUGGUAUUCUUGAAGAUAUCUCCCAUGAAGGGAGUAAUGUAAUUUGGUAAGAAGGGGAAGUUGAGUCCCCGAUAUGUUGGUCUAUACUUGAUUUCGAAGAGUGUUGGUAAUGUUGUCUAUGAAUUAGAGUUGUCCUCUAAUUUGAGCUCCAUCCAUCUAGUGUUCCAUGUGUCUAUGUUGUUAAAGUGUACAGACGAUCCUUCAUUGGUUGUGCCCUUGGAGGAUGUUGGUAUUUCAAACUCUUUGUUCUAUGAGGAGGUCCGGUGAGGAUCUUGGAUCGGUAAGUUCGCUGGUUGCAACCAAAGAGGUGGCUUUAGUAAAGGUUCUAUGAAGAAACCAAAUGUCAGAGAAAGCUACUUGGGAGGCGGAAGAGGACAUGAAUUCCAAGUAUCCUCAUUUGUUUUCCAUUCCAAAAAUUUGUGCUUGAGGUAUUAUUAAUCUACUUAACUUGAUUUAUGUCUUUGAUUGGCCAUGGAUUCAAGUCCUUAAACAUUGAAUUGAACAAAUGUUUUUACAGACAAUGGGUUAGAGUCCCAAAGUCAAUUAAAUGAAUGGAUAAUUGAUAAAUUGUUGUGGCAUGUGUUUUAUCCUUGUCAUUUGUCUUUGUUUUCUAACUUGGUUAAAGAUGAGUUGGAUUUGUAAUGAUAUGUUAAAUCAUGUGUCAAACUUUCCUUGUCCGUCAUUCAAGGACGAAUGAUCCAAGUGGGGGAGAAUUGAAACACCUAGGCUUUGGAUCCUUAAAACAUUUCCCUAAGAUUUGAGGUUCUUGGUUGGGUACGGAUUAAGCAUACCAAUCAUAUGCUAUGGUAUGACUAAUACCCUCUCCUCUCAUAUAGAGACUAGUCUAGGUUUUUAACACAAUGUCUAAGACACGGUUUAGACCCUUCCUAGUCGUAUAUUAUGGAACAGGUCAUAUACUACCUAGUUGUAUGAAGUGUUGGUCAUGAUCUAGUGGACACUGACUUGGGUAAAGGUUUCUUGGUAACAAUUGUACCCUUGGAUAUGAGUCACUCUUAGGUAGUCGUACCUUGGACAGUUUAGUGGUCCGUGGUAAGGCCUAGGGUAUGAUUUAGGGUACCACUUGUACCCUAAGGUAUGGUUUAGACAUAGAGUCGUACCCUCCUGGGAAAUCAUUUUACAACUUUUAAUUGAAGAAAUUUUGGACAUUUCCCACACCUAAACCCUUAUAAACUACAAUUUAUAACCUCAUUUGGACCUUCUUUCUUCAUAUAUACAAGUCAAAAACAUCCCAAAAAACUCUCAAAACUUCCUCACCAAGAUUGGAGCUAGGUUUUUAUGAGUGUUCAUCGAAGGCUGUGGGGGUCAAGAAUCCUUCCGUGAGUGAUCUUUUACAAGGCAUGUGGCUCUUCCCCUAUCAUUAUUUCUCAAAUAUCGUGUUAUUUAAACAAUGUUUAUGAAUUAUUAAUGAUGAUUUUUGAAAAAAAUGUUGAGCGUUUUCAUGUAUAGUGAUGGGUAAUGUUUUCCCUUAUUUAAACUUGUGAUUAUACAUGUUUUGGUGAUGGGUUCCACAUGCUUGUUGAUUGUGAUUUAGAAAAUAGUUCAAGAGUAACCCUAAUAUUGAUGGUUUUCACUUGGGUUUUGGUCAUUAAGAAGUGCCCUCAAGGUGUUUGUGAAAAUGUCUACUAGAAUUAAUUAGUCACUUGCUGAUGGUGAUUUGAACUAAGGCAAUGGAUUCAUGAGUAAGAACGAUUGGUAAAUGAUCUUUCAAAGGCCUUGUUGGCUAUGUAAUGAGUUAAGUGAUGCCCAUGGUGGUUUAAUUGGUUUAAAGUGUUAGAGUCCCUACUAUGAAAUUGAAUUUUGUAUGAAUUAAUGCUUGGUGUAAGAAUGCUAAUGAAUAGUUUGAUAAAGGUCUUGAUGACCACAAUUUGGCAUGAAGGAUAUUUGAAACUAAUUCAUUUUCUUGUUAAAGUGAUUGAUUAAUAUAUGUUUCAUGAAGGCCUUGUGGUCAUGUAUGGUGUUGAUUUAUGGCCUUGGUGGCUUGAAAUGGUUAUAUUGGUUAGAGUCCCCAAAUUUGAAUGGUGUGAUGUAAAUUCAUGGACAAUGGGUUAGAGUCCCAAUGUCGACUUGUAAAGGACGCGAUGGCUUGUGGUUAGAGUCCACAUGCGUAAUGAAAUGGCUUGUGGUUAGAGUCCACUUGCAUAACGAAAUGGCUUGUGGUUUGAGUCCUAUGCAUCAUGAGAUGGAUUAUGGUUAGAAUCUAAUUGACUAAUGAAAAGGCUUGUGGUUAGAGUUCACUUACUUAAUAAGAUGCCUUGAGGUUAGAGUCCUCUUGCUCGAUAUAACCUAAGUGAUGGAAGGUUAGAGUCCUCCACUUCGCGGUGCGUGUUUGAGUGCUUUAAAAUGCAUGCUAAGGCUUUGUUAUCUUUUGACUCGAUAUAUCCAUGUGUAUUUACAUGCCUAUAUGUAUAAAUGUGGUGGCUUAUGAUGGUAUGAUUUGUUAUUGAAUAAAGAUAUUAUUUUAUCCUUACCCUUGAGUUACAUACUAGCGCUCCAACCACUAGCCAUCUAUAGAUGAUGUCUUCCCACGCAACACAGGGGAUGGAGCAUCUUCUUCUCUUACUGCAUAGUGAUCAGGUGUUCGGGUGGUUUGAGUGUUGACUUCAAAGUGGUGAGCCUCCAUCCUUCAAAAGGCACGCAUUUCAUGGUCUUCUUUGCUUAUCUCAUAGGCUUAUUUUGGAUUCAGUUUUGGCUAUUGUCGAAGGCUUUUCCCGACAUUUUAUUGACUUUGGAUUUAUAAAGGCUUGUGGAUGACUGUGGACUUGGAUAGAUUGGAUGUUGAAUGUUCAUUUAAAUGAAUAGCUAGACUUUCUUAAGUAAUGAUUAUUAGUUUUGUUUCCCCUAUCUUAUUAUAUGUUCGGAGUUUAUCUGAUGCUUGUGGAUUGAUUUGAUAGUUAGGUGGGUUAAUGAGGCGAUUUUUGGUCCUUGUUGGGAUUGAGAUGCCCAUACGACAAGGCCCAAUUUCGGGUCGUGUCAUCAAGACAACGUUGUUGUCUCAUAUUAUGAUCCCAUAGAUUGAGAACAACUAAAGGCUAUGAUGAUGAGAAAAUCUCACAAGGUACUGCAUACAAGUAAUAACACUAUAACUUCAUCACAAACACCACAAUUGUCAACUCCAAGUCAUAGGUCGGGUAAGUUCUCGAAUGAGGCUUCAACUAACGAGAGGAAUAAGAAGUUACUUUACCCUUCUACAUCAACACCUCACUCAAACCAACACUAGAAGUAUCACAAAGCACAAUAAAACCCAUACCUUCCUUGGGCAAGGUCAAAAUAGGAGACAAAGUCAACAACACUUAAAGCUUUUGGAAGCACUUCUCACACACAUUUGACCACUAAAAUACCACCUUUUUUUUUAUUCAACUUUUUCAAAGAAGCUUCAAUAGAUGAGAAACCCUUCAGAAAAUACUGAUAAUAACCCACCAAACUAAUGAAACUCCGAAUCUCUGUAGGAGAAAGAGGUCUAGACCAAUAACAAAUUGCUCGUAUCUUGGCUGGAUCAACCAUAAUACCAUCCUUUGUCACGAUAUGUCCCAAGAAAGAGAAAAACUCCAAUCAAAACUCACACUGGGAAAACUUCUCAUACAAUUUCUCAUCACAUAAACUCUAAAGUACAAUCCUCAAAUUCUUCACAUGAUCGGCCCCAUUCUUCAAAUAAAUCAAGAUGUCAUCUAUGAAUACAAUCACAAAGGAGUCAAGAUAUAGUGAAAACAUUCGAUUCAACAACUCUAUAAAUGCUAUAGGAGAAUUUGUCAAGCCAAAAGACACGACCGAGAACUCAUAAAGAUCGUACUGAGUCUAAAAAGUCAUCUUCGGUACAUCUAAAGCUCUAAUCUCUAACUAGUUCUACCUAGAUCUCAAAUCAAUCUUGGAAAACAUCAAAUCACCCUAAAGUUGGUCAAUAAAAUAAUCAACAUAAGGAAUAGGAUACUUUUUCUUAACCGUCACUUUGUUCAAUUGUCUGUAAUCAAUACAAAUAUGCAUACAACCAUCCUUUUUCUUCAUGAAAAUGACAAGUACACCUCAAGAAGAUACACGUGGCAUGAGGAACCCCUUACUCUAUAAAUCCUGCAACUACUUGGGCCAUUCUAUAGGGAGGGAUGGAAAUGGCCUAGAUGCCCGGCUCUACACUAAUUGCAAAAUUUAUAUCAUGAUCUGGAGGUGUUCCAGGAAAAUCCAUAGGAAACACAUCCAUAAACUCACGAACAACUCGAAUAGAAUUCAUAGGACGUGGUGAGUCAACACUAAUACCAUAGACAUAAGCCAAAUAAGACAAACACCCCUUCUCUACCAUGCGAUAAGCAUGUGGAAGAGAUAAAAAUCCUUCGGACCCUAAUCAAGCAUAGUCUUCUAAGCUAACCUCUAUACACCCGAUGUAGCUAAGGUCAUAAUCUUGGUGGAACAGUCCAAAAUAGCAUGAUAGGGAGCUAACAAGUCCAUACCCAAAAUAACCAUAAAAUUAACUAAAUCUAGAACAAUCAAGUCUACCCAAAUAUCACGGUCUGCAAAGGUAACCACACAAUAUUGGCAUACUCGAUAUACCUUUAAAGAACUCAUGCAAGGGUAGAAACAUGAAGAGCCAUAGCAAGGAGUUUAUAUUAAACAUCAAAUAUGGAAGAAAAAUAUGUAGAAAUAUAGGACAAUAUAAACACAGGGUCAAAUAACACAGAAGCAAAUAUGCUGCAAAUUUGAAUGAUACCUAAAUAACUAUAUUAGAAGCCUCUACCUUGGGCCUUCCAGGUUUAGCAUAAAAUUGACCAUGCAUGCUCUAGGACUAAUUAGCCCUACCACCACCUCCAUGAUCUCCCCUACCUCUACUUCUAGUACCUCUAGGACCACUAGCACCACCUUUACUACUUUGUGAUCCAUCUCUGAUUAUAGAUAUCAAAGUAGGAUAAAGCUGAAGUUGAGAACCCUAUUGAGUUGGUCCAUACAACCGUCUAGGUGUAUCCUUGGCUACUUGGAAAAGCCCAUCACAUAUAAAAAAUUCCCAACAGCCUGAUUCAAUCUAAGAAGGUAAGGAUGAAAAUGAAUGACCACCCUGGCUUGAAGAACCUAUUGGAUAACCUCCACCUGUAUGACCAAAACCAAAAGCCAUAAAACCUAAAGGCCUCUUACCUAAUCCCUGUGAUGUGUAGCCCAAACCGGCCUACCAUGAUAACCACAAGAACCUCUACUAAAGAAAUCACCUCAAAAGAUGUGUCCGCUAAACUCGCCAUAGUGACACACCCUCUUUGUACCUUCUUGAGUAACCUAGAUAAUAAACUUGGUCAUUUUGGAAUGCUCAAUAAUAUGCUGGAAAGAAGCCCCUAAAACUACCAUUUGGGUUAUAGCAAACUAAUCUAAAUCAUCUAACCCCUUCAUAAACUUCUGAAUCCUCUAAGACUCAGUGGAGAUUCUAGUGACUAAAUAACUACAUAAGAUGGGAAAAUGAGCCUCAUACUCUACAAUAAACAUGAAGCCUACUUUAAGUGAUCAACCCACCAUCAUCUAGUCUCUCAAGCUAUACAAUUCAAACCUUACCAAGAUGGCCUCAAAAAACUGACUCUAAGUCAGAGUAGGCAAAACCAAGGGCCUAAAACUAGAAAAUGACCUCCACUAAUCCCUAGACAUAUCCAACAACUGAUAGCUUGUAUAAGAAACUCCAUGAGAUUCAAGGGAUCUAAGAUUAUAUAACUUCUCAUGGUAAUAAAUCAAAAACUUGCAGACAUCCACAACAAUGGCUCCACUAGACUUGUGUAAAUCCAAGUAAAUAAACCAUUCAAAUUUCUUCUGAUCAUUUGAAGACAUAGUUAUACUGGUAGUAAUCGGAUUCAUAAAAAGUCUAGCAAGCAAAGAAUCUAUACAUGGGGUACCAUAGAUGAUGGUUGCACCCUAAAAGUAGGAAUACCAUAAGAAAAUAUUUGAAUUGACAGUGUAAUAUCACUAAAAGUCUGAGAAAUACCAUAUACACUCAGGUUAACACCCUCUGAAAGACUUAAGAGGCAUACCAAAAGACAUUGAAGCACUGCAGUGUCGACUGAACUCUAAGGAACCUUAGCUAGCCCUGCGCCACCUUUUUAAUAAUUAUCCUUGAAAUACACAAACUUAGGCUCAAGGAGAGGCCUCCAUAGCAUGUCCUUUAGCUAAGGUAGAUCUUUGCUCCCAUGCUAUACCUUUAGGUCAACCAUGUCCUGUGCCCCAUCCUCAUACUAGGAUUCUCAUAUUGGGUGCCGACUCAAUAUCUCUAGCCUCUCUAGAACUAGUCCUCACUAUCUGUACAGAAAAGAAUGGAAUACAAAUUUAGAAAGUUGGGUCUGAACAACACACAUAACAAGAAAUCAAAUUAAAGAAGUUUUUUCUAAAUAUAUUUUAUAGACACUCAAAGAUAGAUACAGACAUCUAUGUACCAAUAUGCAAGACUCUACUAGACAUCUUUCUCUUAUACUAGGACUGUGAGCUUAGAUCAUAUAUAAUAAUUUGUCACAACCAAAAAAUGAGUCCAUGAUGACACUUAUAGUAGACCAACCUUAACAAGUAAACUCAUUGAUGAACGGUGAAUUUACCACUUAUUUGCACUCAAAAUUCAUGCACAUUACCAUGUUUUAAAUGAAUAAACAAGACAUAUGCAUGAUUAAAUGCACUAAGAUCAACAUUUUACAAGCAUCUAGGUUAUAAUAUGGAAAGAUGUGGACUUAGGCUAAAAUGGAUCAAAUAAACAAAAAGAAUGUGCAGCUAGAAGACCUGGAGUAGAAACAGGCCUCAGUUAUCGAGAUCACGGCUUGAAGGCUACAAUUGCAGCUAGUCAAGACAGUCAGCAACCAUCAUCGUGUUGAUCUAUAUGCGGUCACAGUCGCCAUGAUAAUGGAGAAUAUGGUGCAAUCGCGGUCACGUGGGAUUUAGCUCAGGGGAAGUUUCAUAAUUUUCAGCAGCCGACCCCAAAGCCUUAAAAGCUUAAAACCAUUUCCCAUUUUGGACAUUCUAGAGACUAGUAAUACUUUAAAUUUGAAAAUAAAACCCUAAAUUGGGCAAGAAUUGUAAAUUUUAUUUGGAAAUUUGGAUUUUAGUAUUUGUAAAGAAUGGAUGCCUUGAGCAACCCAUUUGGUAUAUAUUUCUUUCUUUUCUUCAUAAGUAGCAACUCUAACUAUCCUAAGGUAGCGAAAUUCCUUGUCGCAUAAGUAGCAACUUACAUGAUUUCAUCGCUGUCCUCCUAGUCUGUUAAUCUCUAGCUUUUGUUCUUUAGGUUUCCCUCAACUUCAAAUCCAUUUGUCGCCCCCAUAUACUGUAUUUUUGGAGAGCCGGAACUAGGGAUAGGAUAUGAUGCCACCUCUUCUAGUCUCAAUUGGUAUUCCCAUUAUUCAGUGAAGGCUCAAAGCCAUCUCCAUUCAUUAGAAACUAUCAAUUAUGAGUUCGACAAAGGCUAACCACCAGCAUCUUAUCUCUUUUCAUCCUUUCCAGUGGCACUAAUAGAAAGGAAGUACUUGCCAAUGAACCUUGACUCUCUACUCUCUCUCAGUGAAUCAAGAAAUCUAGUGUGGUCAGGAAAUUCAUAAUUUGGAUUUGAAUCCCAGGAUUGAGAGAUAGAUAUUCGCCAGGUUUGAUAUUUGAAAAUCCUUUGGUCUUGGGAUUAUGUUGAACUAAGGUGCAAAUUAAUUAUGGGUUAUGAUGUAUUUGUGUAUAUGCUAGUUAGAUGGUAAUGGGUUCUACUAUUGCUUAAUUAAAUUGGUUGGAAUUUGUGAGUGAAAGCCCCAAAUACCCACAUGGGUAUGUGGGUGAAAACCCCAUUCUCUCAAAAACCCAAACCAUCCUUGAGAAAGGGGUUUGGGUUAACAUUAGGAACUCUCAUCAUACUUUAAAAAGGAUGUGGGAACCAAGGCAAUAGUAUACAAUUAUUAGGUUUAGUUUACUGUUGCGACUCAGAUACACAUACAAGUGCACGCGAUGGUACAAGUAAUAUAGUGACUUAGACAGUCAGAUAUCAUUCCCACUAGGACUAAGCAACUCGAUAUUUACCCAACUUUUAGUUUUAGACAACAAGGUAUUAAGUGUUGUAAAGUAUCAGGAUGAUUGUGAAAUUAAGAAUAAAAAUAUAAAUUAAUAAAUAAAAAAAAUAACAAGUUGUGACUAAAGAAAAACAAGCAAUGGUUGUAAACAAUAAUAAAAAGAAUUCCAGGGUUGAGACUUUUCGACCAGUCAUACAAAUCUCUAUUUUUCAUAGCAGUCUAAUUGGUUAUCAAGUUGUUGAUUCACAAGGUUUAUGCUACGAUUUUGGUCUCCCAACCUCAAAUCUUCUAUCAAUUGAAUAUUGUAGCUACAAGUCCCAUAGAGAUACAACAAUUCUUCCAGAUUCAUAUAGUUAUCUUCGUUCAAUUGAACCAAACAAGGUUUCUAGGUAUAUCCCUAUCCUAGAUGCUAAUUAAAACCCCUUAUUUCAUAAAAGGAUAAGAACCUUGUUUCUUAAUUUCUUCGUUCUAUCCUAUGAUCUUCCUCGUAGGUUCACAUAGAAAUAUAGAUUUAUUAUAAUGGUGGCCACUCAUGAAAAUAGUAAGCUCAAGAAAUUAAGAACAACCUAGAUGAUAAUCCAAAAAGAAACUACUAUUAAAAAUAUCAAAGAGUAAUCAUGCUCUUGGCCACAACCCCAGAACAAGGGUGUUUAGCCAUUCAUGUUUGAAUUCAGCACCAAAAAUAAGUAAUUAAUCAUACCAAGAUUAAAUCUUCAAGUGAAGAAGUUCAAAAGAAUGUUUAAGAACCCUAAGGAGAGAAUUUUUACCUUUUUCCAUCGUUUCUAUGUUUGCCCACUCUUCCUUGAAAUUACAUUCAUGUUUUCCUUUUAUACUUGGCCAAAAUUUAGCCUAGGUGGAGUCAAGCAUGCAUCGCACACCGCAUAACGUAGCACUAGAGUGUGUGUCAUAUGCGGCAUUUUGUAGCAGUGAAUCGUGCGUUGCACGAAAAAUGCACGCACAUACUGGAAUUCAGCUUCAUAAAUUUCUCUAAGGCAUUGGACUCCUAAAGUGGGGCAUACGAUGCACGCAUAUUGUAUGGGCCCACUGACUUAGUCUCUGAAAAUUCGACUAAGGCAUGAAACACCUGAACUGGAGCAUGCCACACACGCUAUUCAUAUGCUCCCACUGGAAUUUGCCAUCAGAAUUUUUGUUAAGUCCUGGGACCCCUGGAAUAGGGCAUGCGACACACGCUAAUUGCAUUCCUCUACUGGAAACUGUCUCCAUGUAAAUUUCUAAGGAAAAAAUUCCAUUCCUUUCAGCUCGUUGCUCCGCUACCAAAUCCGACUCUCUGAACAUGCUUUUUAACUCUUUCUAGUGUCUGUAAUACUCCAAUUAAUUAACUCAUAGCAUCAAUCAUCAUGUGCUUCCCAUUGUGCAUCCAAUUUAGCAAAAACGCAUUAAUAAUUCAUCUUGCAUCACUAAUCAUGUUCAUUAUCUCAUAUCAUGAAAUUGCACACUAAACGCAAUGAAAAUACAAGUUUUAGCUCAUAAAACUAGGACUAUUGUGGAUGAAUAUUAGUGCUCAGACAUAUAAAUAUGCCCAAGAUUACCACCCCACACUUAGAACUUUGUUCAUCCUCGAACAACUACAAACAUGAUACCUCAUUAAGCUUCACCCUACAACCUAAGAGUUAUGCUUGCGUUGGGACUUAUUAUUUAUAACAAUGACUCAUCUCGAAACAUGUAAAAAAUACUUUCAUGCACAUGACAACAUGUUUCAAAUCACAUCAUCUUAAUAGUGGCAUCCGAUUCAUUGGUAAACUUAACCAAAUCACUCCAUCAAAUAACAAUAAGAAAUCUGGACUUUCAUCUGCAUGCACCUUCUCAAUAAGAAAGUUCCCCAUACCACUCACAAUUUUUUCAAUGUUUCUCAUGAGGGGAAUAUAAAAUUCAAUCACUCACUCUCAACCCAAAAAAAAUUCAUAGACGAUAGAUAAUGAACCAUAAGCUUUCCCUUAAUGUACUACUCUACUAAUAGUCAGAUGUCGAAACGUAGAAUCAAUUAGGUCUUUCAAAUGGUUGUAAUGUAGGCUAAGGGAUGGGUAGGACUAUUUAGAAAAUAGUGACUAAUCUCCCUAAGCACUUUAAUACAUGUCAACCUAUAACAAAAAUCAUACUUUAUCAACCUCGUUGCCACUCUUAUUACUUCCAAACAUCAAUUACUCCAUCCCAACUCUCAUCAAGCCGUUAACAUAAACUAUGGUAGGAGUAUAUAUUUCUUUUUCAUCACUAUUCACUUUUCAACUCUUUUUCACACCCAUUUACUGUUAUGCACCCCUAUCAUAGUCACCCUCAACUAAAGCUUUUCACCUUGGUUGAGAUGCACAAUGUUCAAAAUGGACCAGGCCUAAAAUAGGUUCAUUGUAACAAAAAUCGGGCUACAAAAACUGAAUUUUCUUUUAAUUUUUUCUAUCUCCUAACCAUCACGAUUAAUACACAAAUAACAACUUCUUUAGGGCUUCACUUUCACCUCUCUCCUAUUUCAAUUUCACACUCCCUACUUAUUUAAUUAUCUAUACUAAAGUGCUUUGGAGCUAAGGAUCUAAUCAAGGUCUAUCAAUGAAAGGAUUAAGCUACAUGUGAGGCUACCAAAUAAAUCAGGCUAUAGGCUUAAUGGAGCUAACUAGGGAUAUUCAUAAGGGUAGGUAAAUAAAGUCUUUACAAGUUGGCUAACAAAGAAAUGCCUAACUUACUUCCUACACCCAACACCCUUUAUUUCGCUUUCUAAACACACCGGCAAGUUCUAGACAUUCCUAUACAUGUAGAAUAUAAAUAAGUACUCACUCUCGUGGUGCAUACAAGGAAUCAAAUCAGAUCCUUAAGGUUCCCGAUCUCGUUCUUUGUCAAAUUCAACAUUAAGCCAAUCAAAUCAAACUACACUUGUUGGGAUUUAACAUCUAAAAACAACUCAUUCUUCUGUUUCAAAACAACUACACUUUUAGUCACAAAAAAAAAAAAAUCUUUCCCAACACACAGCAUUCCUCAAAGGUUGUAAUCAGGGUCUUAUCAAUUCUCAGCUUCUAAAAACCAACUCCCCUUAAGACAAUCGCCAUCCAUCUAUCAUAGGGGAGUUCAACUAACUAUGACUGAAUUGCCAAGGAGCACAAAAAUAAAUAAGUUAAACUAAAAUUGCCAAAAAGGUCAAAAAUAAGUACUUCAAACUAAAACAAUAUGUAAAAAAUGCCUUUAGGGAAAAUUGUAGCACAAUUUUAACUUAUCAACUUACUAACUAUUAUAGACAUAUCGUUCCGAAUAGCUAUAAUAUAGAAAAUCAUCCAAACAAUCCAAAAAAAAAUAAAAUACGAAGAUAAAAUUAUCUCAAAAGCAUAAAACAAAAGAAAGCAGAAGAUGAAUGAGAGUUCCACCACCCUACACUUAAAAUGAAGCACUGUCCUAGUGCUUGCAAAAUAAGCAUAGUAUGGAGUGUAAGAGACUCCCUGAUCACAUGCCAUCAAAUCUAUCAUCAUCUCCCAAAUCUAGAUCCUUAGCAUCCUCCUCAUCUAGCUCAUCAUCUGAAGGUUCUACAAAAUUAGGACCUAUAUUUAGUAUGAUCCUCAUAUGAUGACCAAGAGGAUAGUCCAACUCUACCACUCUAAUCUCCUGUGGAGUAGCAGGGUGCCCUCUAUUCCACAACUGCAGCAUCUAUAGCCCAAACAUUCGGGCUAUGAUCUCAUCUGUCCGAGUCUGUCGCUUGAGCAUAGUCAAUAUCAAACCGUAGGCAUCACUCCUCUUAGUGCGGGAUACAUCAAUGGACUUAGUGAUUACGGGAAGCCGAUAAUCCAUAGCCUCUUCUUCAAUAUCUUUAUUGCAUAAAAAUCUGGUCACUAGGCCCGUAAAACCAUACCUAUGCUCUGGAUUAAGCCUUACCUUCUUCAUACCUGCAAAAAUCACACUCCUGACAUUCACGUCGACAUCAUCUCACAUCAAAGCAUAUAUCAAACACACCUUUUCACAUGUUACAUUAGUCAUGUGAGUGGCCUGAAGUAAACUGCAUAGAAAAUUUUGCCCAUAUUUGGGCUUCCCUGUUCAUAUGACUAAAUGGUAAUUUUAGGUGAGUGUUGCUUCCUCUUUUGCAUAACAAUCUUGCUUCUGAACAAGUGCCACAUAAUAAAUGGAGGAUAUGAGUAUACGGUGGUUUGAUAUACAUCUAUUUUAGGGGCUCAGGAUCAACUUCUGGUGUCCCGAGGAGUACAUUCAAAGUAUGAGCAUUGAAGAUAAUGAUCUAUCCUCGUAUAUGCACUGUGGAAUCCCUAUCAUACGAGUACUAGUUAGCAUAGAACUCUAUUAUUAAGCUUAGUUUGCACUCGCACGACUGGUCAAAUAGAAACUGCAUUUGUAACUCUCUAUCCUUCGGACCAUGCAAGGAAAUUCCUUCAGAAAGUUCUCCCUGUUGAUGAAUUGAUCUUCAACAUACUUUGUCUUAUUAUGCGCUAAAUACCAUUUCCUUCCCGACUCCAACACCCCUCUAAUACCAUACCUCUGCAGUUGCUCAAAUGGGAUGGGUGAGGGGUGAGACACCAUAGCACUUUGUCUAUUUUUUUUUAGAGUCGACUCAGAUAAACCCACUUUAGUCUUUCCUUUCUGUUGGCGGGUAGACAUGGUACCUAUCACAUAAAUCAUAAAACACCCAUAUAAAAUAAAGCAAUUAUGUCAACUAGCAAACAUAAAGUAUGUGGUGGUAAGGCCACCCCACACUUAAUUGCUAGUACCUAUUUAUGGGUUCAAAUGACAAAGGUACUCAAAAUUUCCCAUAUAAAAGUCCAUAUAAACAAAAUUUCACACAUAUAUUCAAUCAAAUUAAAAUAGUUCAUCUGUUGUCUCAUUUAUAUCACAUAUAAAAAUCUGCCCUUUUGUUGUCGCCUCAACAUAUUUUUUGUUAAAUCAAAACAUACAGCUAUCAUAUCAAAUAGGUGAACAUGUUGCACUGGCAACCACUAAGUGUGUUGGUGUUGAAACACCCUACACGUAGUUGCUAGUACAAGAGCUUUGAUAGAAAAAAAAAUUGGGGUACUCAAAAUUUCCCAUUUGUCAAUUCCAAACCAGAAAAUAUCCCCCAUAUUACAACAAUUAUAAUCAACUUUCUUUUAAUAGCAAAGACUGCAUCCAUCAGUUAUUACUCCAAAUCAUCAUCACAUAGAUAGUCUAUAAAAGUAAUGCAAGAAUGUAUCACUAUAUUACCAUAAUUGACUAACAGCAACACAUGUGCAAACGGGGAAGAUAAUUUUACAUAACAUUUAACACCAGCUCAUAGUCAAAAUUACUUCACCCAUACUUUUACGAACAAAAUCACCUUCAUACACACUUCUAUACAAGAAAUCAAUCAUAUAAGGUUAUGAAUCAGCAUGUCCUUACAUUAAUGAAUGUGCACAACCUACAUGUUUUCUAAAUCACCAAGUGCAUCAUCAAAUUCCCAAAACACAAAGAACUUGCACCUUAACAUGUAGAGAAAGACACAUUUCUUCAGCUAUACAUGUGCAUAUAGCAAGAAUACUCUCACAGAACACAAGUAACUAACUAAACAAAAUCAAUAUACUCUCACCAGACUGAAUUAAUGAGUUAUCAUCAUACACAACCCAUACAUAAAAUCUGCCACAAUACUUUGUAAAUUAGAGGGUACUUACAUUAAUGACUGUGCACAAGGUAAAGGAUUUUCUAAAUCACAAAGUGAAAUAAUCAAUUUCCCAUAGGAGAAUAAGGCUUACACCUUAAUAAGUAGAGAGAGAUACAGUUUCUUCAAAAAAUAUCAUAAAAUUUCAUAAAAUCUUCAACAACUGAAGCUAAUCGUAGCAUUUCAGGCAUAUUACCAAGUAUAGAAAGCAGUACUUACCUUAAGAUUGGUGAAGAUGAUGAAAUCCUUGUAUGUGCAACCAAAGAAAAGCACACUUCAAAAAGGGAGAAUUUUACAAUGGGAACUUUAGGAAGGCUGCUAGGUUAGAAAGAUUGAAAGAGGAAUUGGGGGAUUUAAAGGGAUAUUUAAAGGGGAGUGUGACCCAAAAUUUAAUAUUAGGUCCUAAGGUAAAGCGAGUGUGUGACGCACAAUUUAGUGCACCAAAAUAGUGUGUGCGAUGCACGAUAAUCGCAUGAUACUAUUGGAUUUUGCAUUCUUUCAUGCACAAUUAAAUUUUAAACAUUGUGUUGGGGUAAUAUUGCAUCCUUUUUUCUUUUUUACUCAAACCUUUCAAUAAGGAGUAUGUUACUUACCUGAAUACGUCCCCUACUUUGUUUCACUCAUCUAUCAUUCAUCUCCAUUAUACCAUGUUUCUCAUUCCUGCAUGCUUAACCAAAAAAAAACUAAUGUAAGAAAAAUGGGUUGCCUCCCACACAGCACCUUAGUUUUGGUCGUGGCAUGACUCAUCUUUUUAUAUAUUUCUCUUUUCCUUUUAACAAGUAAAAAUUUAAGAUACCUAUUACAUUACAUUUGUGGUUGCCUCCCAAAUAGCGCUUUAUUUUACGUCGUGGCACGACUCAGCUCAGUCUCACUCAUCAGCAAAAGUAAUAGACACAUUGUUCUUAUCUCCAUGAUUAGCCCAAUAAUGCUUCACACAUUGUCCAUUCACCAAAAACUUCUCAGUUUUCUCUUUGUUCCACAGUUUAACUACUCCAUAAGGCAUCAUUUGUACCACUUAGAAAGGUCCAGACCACUUAGACCACAAUUUUCCCAAAAACAACUUUAACCUAGAAUUAAAUAGCAACACAAGUUGUCUGGGUUCAAACACUCUAUCUUGAAUUUUUCUAUCAUUCCAUCUCUUAGUUUUCUCCUUGUACAGCUUUAUGUUCUCAUAAGAAUUGAGGUAAAAUUCAUCUAAUUCAAUGAGCUGCAAUAAUCUCCUCUUCCGUGGGCUUCAUCUCAAGAUUCAACUUUUUAACAGCCCAAUAAGCUUGAUGUUCCAGCUCUACAGGUAAAUGACAGGAUUUCCCAUAAACCAAAUGAUACGGGGAGGUCCCUAUAGGUAUUUUAUAAGUUGUGUUGUACGCCCACAAUGCAUCAUCUAGCUUUUUGGCCCAAUCCUUACAUUGCCCAUUAAUAGUCUUCUACAAUAUUUGUUUUAUCUCCUGGAUGGAGACCUCAACUUGUCCACUCAUUUGUGUAUGAUACAUCAUGGCCACCUUGUUCCUAAAACUAUAUUUAUCUAAAAGAUUCUUAAACCAAGUAUUAAUAAAGUGCGUACCUCUGUCACUGAUUAUAGCUCUUGGAGAGCCAAAUCGAGAAAAUAUUUGAUUAUUCAUGAACUUCAAUAAUACUCUCACAUCAUUAGUAAGACAAGCUAUAGCUUCCACCUAUUUGGAUACAUAAUCAACUGCCACUAGAAUGUACAAGUUGCCAUUUAAUAGUGUGAAUGGUCCCAUAAAAUUAAUCCCCCAAAUAUCAAAUAAUUCCACUUCAAGGAUGUUGUUUAGGGGCAUCUCAUGACACCUUGAAAUCAUUCCCAACCUUUGGCAUUGAUCACAGCUCUUUACAAAAGCUACUGCAUCUUGAAACAAAGUUGGCCGAAAAAAAUGGAUUGCAACAUUUUUUUGUGGUUCUUUUGCCCCCAUAAUGGCCACCAUAAGGGGAUGAAUGACACUUUUGUCGUACUUGUGCAAAUUCAAAUUCCAGAAUACAUCUUCGUAUAAUACAAUCCAGACUCUCUUGAAAAGAUAAGGCUCGUCCCAUAUAUAAGCACGAGAAUCAUGGAGGAGUUUUUUUCUCUGUUGAAGUGUACUUUUAGGAGGGUAAAAGUUAUUUGCCAACAAAUUCAAAGUGUCCGCAUACCAAGAAAAUUCACACUCCUUUAUAUACAAUAAUUUUUCAUUAGGAAACUCUUCCUUAAUGUAGAGAGAGUCAUCAACAACAUGAUCAUAAGUUUCUAACCUUGACAAAUGGUUUGCAACUUGAUUUUAUGAUCCUUUAUGAUCAUGAACCUCUAAAUCAAACUCUUGUAAUAGCAAAAUUCACCAGAUCAAUCAAGGCUUUGGAUUAUUUUUACUAAAGAGAUAUUUGAUGGCUGCAUGGUAUGUAUGAACGAUAACCUUUGUGCCUACCAAAUAUGCUUUAAAUUUAUCAAAUGGAUACGUCACUGCUAAUAUCUCCUUUUUAGUGACUGUAUAAUUCCUUUAGGCAUCGUUCAAGACUUUACUAGCAUAGUAAAUAAAGGAAAAUACCUUAUCUUUUCUUUUCCCCAAAAUAGAUCCUACAUCCACAUCACUAGCACCGCAUAUCAAUUCAAACGACAAUUCCCAAUCCAGAGAAAUCAAAAUAAGUACUUCAAUCAGCUUCUUUUUCAGCUUCUCAAAUGCUUCUGUACAACUGCCCCAAAAUCAAACUUGGCCUCUUUUUCUAAUAGUUUGCACAUCGAGAUUGCAAUCUUCAAAAUGUCCUAAAUAAAAUACCUAUAGAAACAUGCAUGCCCCAAGAAGCUUCUCAAUCCCUUCACUGCCACUGGAUGUGGUAACUUUUCAAUUACUUCAAUUUUGACCCGAUCUACCUCAAGUCCCCUGCAUGAAACUUUAUGGCCAAGGACUAUUCCUUCCUUUACCAAAAAGUGGCGCUUCUCCUAGUUCAACACCACAUUUGUCUCUUCACAUAGAGGUAGGACUCAAUCUAAAUUCUGCAAAUAUUUAUCCAAGGAAUUACCAUAAAUAGAGAAAUCGUCCAUGAAUACGUUGACAAAUUCUUCCACCAUGUCAGAGAAGAUUGUUAUCAUACAUCUCUGAAAUAUCGCAGUCGCAUUACAGAGGCCAAAAGACAUAUGUAUGAAGGCAUAAGUACCAUAUGGGUAAGUAAAAGUUAUCUUCUCUUAAUACUCAAGAGUAAUGGUGAUCUGAUUAUAACCUGAGUAACCAUUAAGAAAACAAUAGUACUCUUACCCUACCAACCUAUCCAAUAUCUAAUAAAUAAAUAAAAUAGGAUAGUGGUCCUUCCUUAUGGCUUCAUUCAGUAUUUGGUAGUCAAUACAGAUUCUCCAUCCAGUCACCAUGCAAGUGGGAAUUAGCUCAUUUUCUUCAUUAGUAACCACAGUCAUCCCACCUUUCUUUGGAACAUAAUGUAUUAGGCUUACCCACUUGCUAUCUGAAAUUGGAUAAACAAUCCCAUUAUCGAGCCACUUAAUAACCUCUUUCCACAUUAUAUCUUUUAUCACUAGAUUCAAUUUGCGUUGUUGUUGCACCCUAGGUUUGAAACCUUCUUUUUUAUGUAUCUUGUGCAUGCAAAAAUUUGUAUUUAUUCCUGUAAUGUUAGAAAUUUGCCACCCGAUCGCCUUCUUUCUUCUUUUCAACACUAUCAUUACUUCCUGUACCUGCAUAUCAGAUAAUUCUACAGAUAAAAUAAUAGGUAAAGUAUCAUUAUCACCAAGGUAAACAUAUUUCAAGUGAGAAUUAAGAACCUUAAGCUCUAAUAUUGUAGCUUCAUUAAUUGAAGCUUUGGGGGAUGGACCAAUUGGCAUGUUCAAUGGCUCAAAAGGCAAUUUUCUUGUUUCAAUGAUGGCCGAAUUCAUGACUUAGACUAAUGCCAACUCUUCCACAUCUUCAUAAAGAUCAUGACCUACCAAAGCUUGCUCUAAUGGAUCUUCUGACAAUAACAGCCUCUAAUCAGACUCAAGAUCUAUAACAGAUAUGGCAGACAACUUCUCAUAUAUAGCUAGAAAUUUUAGCACCUUAUACACAUCAAAAAACUCCUCUUUAUUAUGCACUCUCAUUGUUAUUUUCCCUGCUUCUACAUCAAUUAAUGAUUGUCCCAUUGCUAAAAAAGGUCAUUCCAAAAUAAAUGGAACAACAGGAUCAGCUUCAAAUUUAAGAAUUAGAAAAUCCACCAAAAAGAUUAAGGAUCCCACGUGUACCAAGACAUCUUCAAUAACACCAUCACGCCUAGCAAGGGACCUAUUUGCCAACUGUAAAACAAUAGCAGUGGGUUUGGGACUCCUAAGACCCAUAUUUUGGUACCAAGAUGUGGGCAUAAGAUUGAUCCUAGCCCCCAAGUCACACAGUCUACGAGUGAUAAUGGUCUACCCUAUAGUGAUCUGCAAAGUGAAACUUCCUAGAUCCUUUAGCUUUGUGGGCAGUUUGUUUUGAAUCUUGGAUGUGCACUCCUCAGUAAGUGCGACUAUAGCAUACUCUGUCAACCAGUUUUUAUUUACAACUAUAUCCUUCAGCUAUUUCGUAUAUUUUAAAACACUCUACAAAAUGUCAAUAAGAGUAAGAUUUACGUGAACCUGCUUUAGAAGAUCCAAAAACUUCUUGUAACUCACCUCCUCUUGAUGCUUUCUUUCCCUUUGAGGAAAGAGUAAAGGUCAAGUCUUCUUUUCCACGUGAAUUUCAUCACUUGCCAUUUUUUCUUAAUUUCAUUCCCCGUAUUGUCUUUAGAACCAUCAUCAGUGACUGUGAGACUAACCUUCUCCUAAAUCAUCUCCUUUGUUUGCAACCCACUCCUUGUUGUAACCGUAUUCACCUAUUUUGGAUUUACCUCUGUGUCGCUAGUUAAUGCUCCUUGGGGUCUUGUAUUCUGUGCUCCUGCAAUUGACCAAGUUGCAACUCCAGAUUUUUUGUAAGCAACUAUUGACUCUUCAACUCUACUACAAACUGCAUUUGUUUAGUCUUACUCUCUACUGCAAACUAUGCUUGUUGAGCCAUAAACUGCUUCAUUAACUCCUCCAUAUUGCUAGCUAGAGCAGUAGCCGGAUUGUUCUGAGUCGGCUAUUGAUUUGUUUGCACUGGCCCCUUAUAAUGAUUUAUAUUUUUUACCUGAUUUCCACCCCAUAAGAAAUUGGGAUGGUUCCUCCUGUUGGGAUUAUAUGUGUUACCAAAAUUCUGUUGUCCUUGAAGAUUUGCAUUCCCUAUGUAGUUGACGGAAUCUGGAUCAGCCGUACAAGCAUCUAUUGCAUGCUCACCACUUCCACAAACGUCACACUAAGAAUUCACCUAUUGGACUACAUUAUCCAUAGUUGUUGUUUAUGUAACCCCCAACUUUAUGUUAUUAAGAUGAGUAAUCAUAUGAUUUUGCAUUGCUAUGAUCUGUGCUUGUAAUACAGUAAAUUGGUCUACCUCUAAUACCCCUAUAACCUUUUUAGGAGCACUCCUCAAAUCAGCAUGCCAAUCAGGGUUCCCUUAUGAAACCCAAUUCAGCAGUGUGUAUAAUUCUUCAUACGUCUUCUCAAGGGUCUGUCCACCAACUACUGAAUCCAAGAGAAUUUUCAUAUUUGUCUCCAAUCCCUCAAUGAAAGUAUGAACAAGAACAUCAUUAGACUGAUGAUGGUGAGAGAAAUUUUUGAGCAUACCCUUAAAUCUCUCCCAAGCUUGGUAGAGAUUCUCUCCUUCUUUCUGUCUAAAACUCAAGAUCUCGCUUCUCAAAUGUGCAGCCUUCCUUGAUGGAAAGAAUCAAAUGAGGAACUUCCAAGCUAGAUCUUCCCAUGAAGUGAUGGAGAGUGGUGGUUCAUCAUGUAACCACCUUUUUGCUUUCCCCAUUAGAGAGAAAGAAAAGAGUGUCAAUCUUAAAAAAUCAGAAUUUACCCCUUCAGGAAUGUAAGUAUCGCUUAUUUGAAGGAAAGUCUAUAUGUGUUGUUGUGCAUCUUUAUGUGAAAGUCCAUGGAAUUGCCCCGCUAAAUUCAACAAUUCCACCAUAUUCUUCUUUAAUUCAAAUCAACCACCUAGUUCGGGCUUGUGAAUACUGUGCGUCAGAUGGUUCGUGAGUGGGAUUGCUACCUCACGAAUAGGUCUAGCAGUUGGCUGAGCAGGAACAACUAGGAUAACCGAAGAUGGGACAUUUUCGACAUUUGGAUUGGCUAGAUCAUUUCUUUGUUCAGCUAUUCUUCGCCUUUGUUGAAAGAUUUGUUCUAGUUCUACAAAAGGCUCUACCAACUCUUUGUCUCUCGCCAGUCCUGUAUUUAGCUAAACCUUAAAAAAUUCAGCCGCUAAGAUCAAGUUGUCAACACUUAAUAUCAAAAACCAAACAUUUAUCAAUUUACUAAUUAUACUAGUCCAUGGCAACGGGGAUAAAAACUUUUUGCGACUCAGACGCACACGCAAGUGGACGCGAUUGUACAAGUAAUAUAGUGACUUAAAAAGUUAAAUAUAGUUCCUACGAGGACUAAGCAAUAAGAAAUUUACCCAACAUUCAGUUUUUGACAACGAGGUAUUAAGUGUUGUAAAGUAUCAGGAUGAUUGUGAAAUUAAGAAUAAAAAUGUAAAUUAAUAAAUAAAAAAUAACAAGUUGUGACUAGAGCAAAGCAAGCUACGGUUGUAAACAUUAAUAAUGAGAAUUCUAGGGUUGAUACAUUUCAACCAGUCAUACAAAUCUCUAUUUUUAUAGGAGUAUAAUUGGUUAUCGGGUUGUUGAUUCGUAAGGAUUUAGCAACGAUUUUGGUCUCUCGACCUUGAAUAUUCUAUCUAUUGAAUAUUGCAACCACAACUCCCGCAGAGAUACAACAAUUCUUCUAGAUUCAUAAAGUUAUCUUCUUGCAAUUGAACAAAACUAGGCUUCUAGGUAUAUCCCUAUCCUAGAUACUAAUUCGAACCCCUUAUUUCAUAAAAGAAUAAGAACUUUGCUCCUUAAUUUCUUCGUUCUAUCCUACGAUCUUCCUCCCGGAUUAACAUAGAAAUAUAGAUUUAUUCUAAUGGUGGCCACUCAUCAAAAUAGUAAGCUCAAGAAAUUAAGAGCAAUCCAAAUGAUAAUCCAAAAAGAAACUACUAUUAAAAAUUUCAAAGAGUAAUCAUGUUCUUGGCCUCAACCCCAGAACAAGGGUGUUUAGACACUCAUAUUUGAAUAACACCAAAAAUAAGUAAUUAAUCAUACCAAGAUUUAAUCUUCAAGUGAAGCAGUUCAAAAGAAUGUUUAAGAACCCUAAAGGAGAGAAUUUUUAGCUUUUUCUGCCAUUUCUAUGUUUUGCUCAGUCUUCCUUAACAUUACAUUCAUGUUUUCCUUUUAUAUUGGGCCAAAAUUUAGCCUAGGUGGAUUCAAGCAUACGUCACACGCCUCCAGUCGCAGCACUGGAGCAUACGUCGCAUGCUGUAUUUUGCAACAGUGGAUCGUGCGUCGCACGUAAAAUGCAUGAACAUACUAGAAUUCUGCUUCAUAAAUGUCUCUAAGGCAUUGGACCCCUGAAGUGGAGCACGCGAUGCACGUAUAUCGAAUGCUCCCACUGGAAUUAGUCUCUGAAAAUUCAGUUAAGGAAUGGAACACUUGAACUAGAGCAUGCGAAGCACACUAUUUACAAGCUCCCACUGGAAUUUGCCUUCAUAAUUUUGUUAAGUCCUUGGACCCCUAGAAUAGAGCAUGCGACGUACGCUAAUUGUAUACCUACACUGGAAAUUGUCUCCAUAUAUUUUUCUAAGAAAAAAAUUCCAUUCCUUUCAUCUUGUUGCUCCGCUACCAAAUCCAACUCUCCGAACAUGUUUUUCGAUUACUUCUAGUGUCCGCAAUACUCCAAUUAAUCAACUCACAUCGCCAAUCAUCAUGUGCUUCCCAUUGUGCAUCCAAUUUAGCAAAAACGCAUCAUUAAUUCAUCCUGCAUCACUAAUCAUGUUCAUUAGCUCAUAUCAUGCAAUUGCACACUAAACGCAAUGAAAAUACAAGUGUUAGCUCAUAAAACUAGGACUAUUGUGGAUGAAUAUUGGUGCUUGGACAUAUAAAUAUUCCCAAGAUCAUUUGCUCACUCUCACUAUCUUAGACAUAAGGGUGAUUUUAUAGUUGACUUUACCUUGGGUAUCUUCCUAGAAAUAGGGAUGCCCAAAUUGAGGUAGUGGGUGAAUAUGAUUGCCAUAUUUGUUAGGUACCCAAACGGGCCAACAACUGAAAUCCUUGAGGUUUUAUUGAGAAAUUAACCUCAAGGGUCCUAGACCUAGCCUACCACAUUAGUAACUUACUAGUAUGUGCACCAAAUCUCAUACACCCAUACCUAAGUUACCCUUAGGUAGACAUAAUCCCAAGAUUUCCCAAAUAUCAAGGUUAAAUCAAAAUUUGUUGCUUAAGUUUGUGGGAUCAAGUUUUUAGUGACAUACAUCCUUACUUGACAUUAUCUUAGUAGGACUUAAUUACCCAUAAGAUUAGAACUCUAUCUAUCACUCCUGUGGAUUCGAUCUCAACGAGAGUUAGGAUAUUGACAAUGACUGUCCUUUACUGCUUUAAAUGGUAUAUGCAAGCGUUAUUACUCAUCCCCUAAAAUCAAUAGAAAAUCUUAACAUAAUAAGUAAUAAGGCAAGAGGAGACUUCUAGAAUAAAGUUAGGCCAACACAAAACAUAAAUAAAGAAAAAGUCUGAAGAAGUAAUAUGAAACCCCAAAAUCUAGUUUGACAAAUGUGAAAGCAUCUAAUACAUAACAAAAUCUGAAAAUACAUAAUUUGUCUCUAGAAAUUAUAUAAAGACAAGAAUAAAGAUAUGAUGAGCUCCCAAAAGAGUAAAUCUAAAAUCUAGAGAGCUCUAAAGUCGCCAACUCAGCCUCCACGUGGCAUACUCGAGAUAGGAUCUUGUAACGACCUUCCAGGUCAUUUUUUGCAUUUUCACUCAUUUUCAUCGUUUAGAUCUCUCCUAUAGUUGGCCCAAGUUAUUUAUAACUUGAUGGAGCUGAUAGUUUGUGUCAAGACCCAAAAAUCAAGAUUUAUGAUGGAACUUGUCACAACAAGCCUUGACAAGUAAGUCUAUCAAACAAACUGAUACUAAAAGAGAAAAUAAAAAUUUUAACCCAAAGUAAGGCUUUUAGAACAAAGUUCAAUCAAACAAUAUAAUAAAAGAAGAAGAACAUAACAAAAGAUAUAACACCAUAAUCCUAAAACCUGGUAUCACAGUGUAAGAACUAACUGGUACAACUCAAGAUCCAAACACAAAAGAUAUUAAAAAUAGGAACAACUAUGUCUCUAAAUAUAAAAAAGACAGAAUCUAGAUAAGAAAAGUUAGUAGUCAACUUCGGACGCAUUAUAUUAAUCGCUACCUCAAAAAUCUCCAAAUGUCGUAUGAAUCAACCAUUAUAAGGUACACCCAAACCUAGAUCCAUAUCAAAAGGAUGUAGUAGGGGUGAGUACGAUACACUUUUACUCAGCAAGUAUCAUAGGCUGACUGAUCAAAGUAGAAAAUAAAGCAUAAAAAAUACAACUAGGGGAACAUCACUUGCAACCAGAAAAUGAGCCACAAUGGUAUCCCAUACCAUCUUCACUAACAGUUCUAUAAUAUUCGCAUAUACUAUGGCAACAUAAAAGUGAAGAAAAAAUAGACAUAUAUUACAUAAUAUGAAUAUAAAGGAAGAAAUAAACUUAGGCAGGUAUCACAUAAAGAAAAAUAAACACAUCACAAAAAUAUUCAAGGUAAAUACAAAUGCCAUAGAGAUGUUGAUAAUGAGGCUGAUGAUGCCCAAGGUUGUCAUACAACCUCUAUUUACCGAAAUAGGACCUAUUGAGGGUUAAUCAAUCUGUAUACAACUAGUAUCUAAUACCAAUAUCCAUAACUCCUCUCCAGCAUACCUUCAGUGGAAGGUUUUUAAAGAUGUCACAUUUCUGCCAGAAAAAGCUAGUGUUUCCAAUAUUUCCAUGGUGGUACUAAUGUUUUAUGAACGUGUAUGAUAUGAAGAUGUAGUGAUCACACCCAACCAUAAUGAAUAUUUCUAUAUCCAACAAAUAUACCAACCAAGUGAUCCAAUAAUCCACUCAAUAUUUCCAACCCUCAAUAAAAUCUAACAUAAACCAUAUGCCAAAAAAGUAAACUACAUCAAAAUAACAUUGAUACCACAUUAGUCUCUUUCAUUAGACAAGAUGCAACUGAUUUCUGAUAGACAAGGCCAACAACAUCAGAUAAGACCCCAUACGAUUACACAUAGUAAUUAAUAUUUAAGAAAUGCCAAAUAACAUCAAUAUAUAAUCCCCUACAUGGGUACAACACAAUAAUAUAUCGAUUUUUCAUGAUUAUUUCCCACAUCCUUAACAUGAUUUUGUACCAAUAUUAACUACCCAGCCCAAUCUGCAGAAAGUAAAGCCAUAACCAAACUUGAAUGUGGAAAACCUAUCCAAAAUCCUUCAAUUUAAAGUCUUACUCAUCGUGAACGGACUCAAAAUUAACUAAAAUAUACAAAUAUAGAAUCAAAACAUCCAACAAUACACACUAUUGCUUAUUUUUAAGUUAGGGUCUAAAUAGACCCCCAAAAUGAGAAUCUAAAAAGGAAGGGUAAAAUCAUAAUUUUGUUUUCAAAACAUGUUCCCCAUAUUUUUUAGGAGCCUAUAGUUGAAAACCCAAGCAAAAAUAAGUUUAAAAUGAGGUCCAAAUUGAAGAAAACCCAUGUUUAAGCUUUACCAAAAAAUUCCAUGAAAUUCAUUUUAAAAAUCAAGAAUUGAUGUUGUUUUGAAGAUUAAGUCAAAAGAAACUGAUAAUCUUAAGAUUAGAAACUCACCCAAGUUAAAACACUCUCAAAAUUAAAGUUUAACUCAAAGAAAUUCAAAUUUUAGACCUUACAGGCCAAAAUCCCCAAUUUCUGCCUUUUAAUCCGCAUUUAAAACAAGAAUUAAAGGGUGAAAUUGAAGAAAAGUUGUUGAAAUAGGUGUUAUGAAUCUUAUCCAAGAUUAGAAAUGGAUGAAAUUGCUCAAAAUCAUGAAAAUUUAAGCUCUAAGUCUCACAAAUGGUGAAAAUAGCGAAACAAGGUAUAUAUAUAUAUAGUCCAGGCAUUGCAUACGCAACCAGGUGUCGAAUACGCAGUACCUAGCCUAAUGCCACGUAUCGUUAUCAUGACCUAGUCCUUCUGUAUUCAAAACUCGUGAUCGUGACUGAGAUAUUGCAUACAUAAUACUCGUGCUUGAUAUAUUGAGUAGCAUUCGCAGCUACUACUUUGUAAAAGCAAGUGCACUAGCUAAGUGGUUCACCACUUGAGACUUGGACAAUUCUAAGUCUCCACGAACCCCUCAGGAUUCAUUUAGAAUCCCGUGAACACAAACGAACAAUGCUACCCUAUCAAAUUCAUGCUCCAAACUCAAUAACGUUAUCAAAUUUUUGAGAAAAUGUUAUUUUCACAAAGUUGACCCCCAAAACCCAAUUUUAAAACUUUUCAAACCGAGGGUUAAAAUGAGAUUUAAAAGCUAUAAAACCAAACCAACCAUGUUAUACCUUAAAAUUGACAUUUUGGUUCUGCUGGCAUAGUCCAUUUUGUCAUCUGAAGCACAGAUCAACAAAUGUUUACUGAAGUCAACUAUAAUUCUUUUCAACCCACCAAAAACCAUAAUUUCAUACAUAUCACACCAAAAUGUAUUGGGAAUCGUGCCAAGUAUCAUACACCCCAAAAAAUGCCAUAAUGCAACCACAAAGAGGGGUAAAAUGGACAAAUCAGACAAAAUGAAUAUUUCACAUAAGUCAUCAAAAAUUAGGUCGUUACAUCAUCCACCACUAAAAUUCUAGUUCAUGCUUGAACUAAAGGCAGAAAAUACCUGAAUCAACGUAAAGUUGGGAUAAUAACUACGCAUAUCAGAUUUGACCUCCCAAGUAGCCUCAUCUAUAGGUCAACGUCUCCACUGGACCUUAACUACUAAAAUAACUUUAGAGCGUAUCUACCUGACAUCCUUAGCCAAGAUGGAGACAAGCUCCUUAAGAAAAGACAACCUCUCAUCUAACUGAAAUGAAUCCCAACGAAUAACAUGAAACUCAUCCAAAAUGUAAUAACAAAGUAUAGAAAUAUGAAAAACUAGAUAAACAGCCGAUAAGGCUGGGGCAAAGCCACCUCACCAAAGUACAAAGAUUCUCAAAUGGGCCAAUAUACCUGGGGCUAAAAUUGCCCCUCUUCCUAAACCUUAUCAUCUUUUAUGGGCAAAUCUCAAAGAAAAACACGAUCACCAAUACUAAAUCUCAAGGCACGAAGUCUAUAGUCUACAUAGAACUUGUUCCUACUCUGAGUCGCUUGAAGUCUAACAUGAAUGAUCAAAACUCUAUCUAAAGACUCACGAAGCAAGUCCAUACCUCAAGGUCUACCCUCUAAAAACUCAAACCAACUAAUUGAAAAGUGACAAACUCUGUUAAGGCUAUAUCUUGCUCCCACUAACCACCAAAAUCCAUCAUACAAGCUCAGAUCAUAUCCUCCAAAACCUAAAUAGUUUGCCCUGACUAACCAUCAGUAUGGGAGUAGAAUAUUUUGCUAAAAUCAGCCCGAGUACCCAACUCAUCCUGAAAGGUUUUACAAAAAUGAGAUGUGAACACUAAACCUCGAUUUAAGAUAAUAUACAUUGGCAUACAAUAAAGAUACACAAUCUCAUAAAAAAUGAUACGACCUCUCAGUACUAAAAGAGACUUGAAUGGGAAUAAAGUAAGCAAACUUGGUAAAUUGAUCCAUGAUAACCCAAACACUAUCAAAACCAUUUAAAGUAUAAGAAAACCCAGUCACGAAUACCUUCGUAAUUCAUUCCCACUUCUACUCGAGAAUAGGUAACUUUUGAAGCAAUCCACUAAGCCUCAAUGGUUGACCUUCACCUGUUGGCAACAUAGGCAAUAAGCUGCAAAAUCUAAUAUAUAUAUCUCUUCAUACUACCCCACCAGUAAUGUUGCCUCAAGUCAUGAUACAUCUUAGUCACUUCCAAAUAAUAGAAUACUUUUUACAAUGAGCUGCCUCCACUAUCAAUCUAAUCCAAUCACCCACUCUUGGCAUGCAAACCUAGCCUCCAAUCCUGAUAAUACCAUCUGAAUUAAGUAAGGCUUUCUUAGCUUAAUUACUCAAUACUUUAUCCUGAAUCAGUAUUAAUCCAGCAUCAUCAAACUAAUAAGCUCAAAUUUGCUCCAUCAAAGAGAACCUAGCCUCCACGAAUGCCAAAACACACCUUAUUGUCCAAAUAUUAAUCCUAACUAUCUGGUUAGCCAAAGACCAAACGUCUAAGUCCAAGGGCUUCUCCUAGGUCAAAAGAUGUGCCAAGGUACCAUGCUAGUCGACUUUUGGCCAAGGUAUCUACAACUAUAUUAGCCUUGUUUGGAUGAUAGAGAAUAGUCAAGUCAUAAUCCUUAAGAAAAUCAAGACAACGAUGCUCCCUCAUAUUAAGAUCUUUAUGGGUGAAGAAAUACUAAAGGCUAUAAUGAUUCAAGAAAAUCUCACAAUAGACUUCAUACAAGUAGUGUCUCCAUAACUUCAAGGAAAAAAUAAUCACGCACAUCUCCAAAUCUUGGGUAGGGUAAUUCUACUCAUGAGGCUUUAACAGACGAGAAGCAUACAUAAUUACCUUACCCUCUUGCAUUAAUACAACAACUAACCCAACACCUGAUGUACCAUAAAAGACAAUAAGCCCACACCUUUUUUAGGCAAAGUAAGGAUAGGAGCAGAUGUUAAUAAAUCCUUGAGCUUUUGGAAGCUCGCCUGACAAGAAUUAAACCACUAAAAGGAAACCUUCAUCUGAGUCAACUUGCUAGAGCUGCAGUAGAUGAAAAAACCUUAAAAAAUAUCAAUAGAAACCUGCUAAGCCAACAGAACUCUGAAUCUCAAUGGGCAAAGUAAGCCUUGCCCAAUCAUGAACUAUUGCAAUCUUAGCUAGAUAAACUAAAAUACAUACCUUAUAUACAACAUAACUUAUGUGUUAUAAAAAUAUAGCACAUUCGAUGCUUAAAACGAGGAACAUAUGCAAGUUUCUGAGUUUAUUUUAUUAGAUAUUAUGCAUUUUUGGUAUAUUUUGUAGGAAAUCAUAUUUUGGAUGCUAAGUUUGUGAAAAAAUAUGAAAAAAGUUCUUUAGGCUACUUUUUAGAGUAAUUAUGGAUGUUCGAGACACUUUUUGUCUUGUCCAUAAGCAAAGAUGUUCGAGAUUGAAGAAGAGCUGAAAAAAAACUCCCGAUACUAAGUCAACAUGUGGACCACAAGUAGGCUAAGAAAGUGCUAGAAGUACAAAAUUGCAAUAGCUGACUUGUAGGAUUUUUUCAUUCGAUACCUGCACCCUGUACCUAUGCUCACCCUAUUGACCAUAGGUACUUCCAGGGUCAGGGUGCAAGUGUAGAUCAUAUGUAGCCACCGACCCCUUUUUUCUUCUAUUUUGUUUGGGCUUUGGUUUUAGGGUUUACUCUUGUACUAUAAAUACCCUUUAUGUGUUUUUUAGGAGGAGUUAUGCAUUUUUGAUACUCACAAACAUAUUUUGACUCCAAGAUUUGAUUUUUAUCUUGGGAUUCUCUUGUAUUGACUUCAGUUGACUAAUUCAGUUAUGGUUUUGGGUUUAUUACUUAUUAUUAUUGUGAUUUCAUCUAUGCCUCCAAUUAUGAAUGUUAUUGAUUUCUUCACAAAUAUGAGCCACUAAAAAAACCAUGGCUAGGGUUGUGGAAACCCUGGUAAACUGAUGAAGUAGGGGAAUUGCGAUUGUUGAAUUGAAUCGAUACCGAUGGCAUGCAUUGUAUUAUCUUUACUAUAAUAGAGUUCUUAGAAGUGUCCAAUGCUAUGAUCCCACCUAGAUUAUCGCUACUUACUCCACAAGAGGAAUAGUGACUAGGAAAAGAUAAUGACAAUGGUAAUUUAGAGUUUAGCUAUUGAUCCACACUACUAGGUAUUAUCUAUUUAAGAUGGUUAGACUUUAUCUAAUAACUAGAGACUUGAAAGGUAAUUGUUAACUGGGAUCUAAAUAAGAGUUGGUAAUGCGAUAUCCUAAGACUCAAAAGGUAAAGGGUGAAAUCUGUCUACUCAUCCAAAAAACUAUAGAUGGCACAUAACUUAUCAAUUUUCUAUGCAAGGUAUUGGGUUGGUUUAGCAAAGCACGAUAAGCCUACAGAGUUGAAAAGAUAGGGGGAACACAAUCCUAGUGUUCGCCAAUACUGAUCACAACCGAAGUCCAUAUUUACUCCUUGUUUGAUAUUGCAUUUCAAAUCCCCAUUUACUUUUCUAGUUUUUGCCUGUUGAUUAAAGUUGCUAAAAUCCACAAUUCCACAUAUUCCCUUGGUAUUCAACCCCAACCUUCACUGGGUUACUAUAUUUGACAACAACCAUAUCAUAUUCUGAGAGGAGGUGUAGCUUAGACGUUAUCAAAUUUCAACACUGUUGUUGGGGAUUACAAUGUAGAUUUGUGAAUUAAAGUCAUUGAAGCUUUUUGGUUUUUCUUCUUCUUCUUAGUUAGGCAUACAUCGGUGUGUGCCUAAUACAUAGCGUAGAGGCAAUCCCUUACUCCUACUGAAUUUGAAUCCAUAGAGGAUCCUAUAAACACCUAGUAGGAUGUCAGAGCUGAAAAGAGAUUAUUUUUCUCCCUAUCCUUCUGAAGGAGUUUAGGACAUUGUUGAUCAACAGACUGGUGAGCUUUUAGCUCAAGCUAAAAGUAAGUAAAAGGUAGUAGAAAAAGCUCAAUGCAUAUGUUGGGAGGCAGAGUUAGCUAAGCAGAAAUAGGAAACAAACCGUCGAGCAGUACUCGGUGAAAACUAGAAUAGAUUCAGAGGAGGCAGAUCACAAGUGAUCCCAGCAUAUUAGUAUGUUCAUCCACAUGAAUACUAUGCAGAAGAUCUUGGAUAUUAUGAGCCGAAGAUACUAGAGCUAUUAUUCCUCUUGUUUUACCCCCUAAUGUCAAGUUCAGAAUUUAUAGUGCUAUGAUUCAGCUCUUAUACUUGAAGGGCAUCUUUGCAGGGUUGCCUAUAGAUGAUACAAACAUGCAUUUGUCAAAUUUUAUAGGGAUUUGCACUUUAUGUACCAUACCUGGGGUAGAUCAGGAGGCACUGAUACUGAGGUUGUUUCCCUUCUCACUUACUAGAGAAGUAGCUUUAUGGAUAGGGGAACUUCUAAGAGUGUCUAUAAUUAUAUGGAGUGAGUUAUAUAGAUAAUUAUUGAAUAGGUUCUUUCCUUCAUCUAGGGUAUUAAAGCUCAACGACAAAAUUUAUAACUUUAGGUAGCUACAGUCAGAAUCUAUGUAUGAGGCAUGGUUCAGGUUCAAAAAGAUGCUUAGCAUGGUGCCCAACCAUCGAAUUUCAUGGACAAGCUUAUUAGAGAUGUUUUAUACAGACCAAAUUAUUAGUUCCAGAGCAAUACAAGCACUAUAUUUGUAGGAGCCUUCAUGAGAUUAUGAUGUGAGAUGGCUUCAAGUAUUAUGGAUCAGAUCUCAUCAACUAACCAGAGGUGCCAAACUUUGUUAGUUGAGAGAGGUAUAGUCAUUUAUGCCAUUAGAGAUUCGAUGAACAGAGAGUCACUGAGGAUACUGUAGCUCAGGAGAUUUCAUUAUAGAGGACAAACAUUGAUGAGUUGGCUAAACAAUUUGCAAAAAUAAAUUCAAGAAAGGUUAAUACAGUAGGGGCCCAGGGUACAGCUUCUAGGGUGCAUGAGUCUGAGUUAGAGGAGGAGGCAAAAUAUAUAGAUUAUUAGUUGGAAGGUUUCUGAGACCAAGGGAAAGGUAAUCAAGUUUGGAACUAUGAUGAUAGAGACAUACAUUCCACCUGGCAGAUAAGAUACAGAAUCGAGAAUAGAAAAGAUGUUGGCUAAGAUGAUGAAGGGUUAAGAGAGUCAGGAAACUUGCCUUAAGGAAAUCAAGGAAGAUGUUUCAGGAUUUAAUCAAAAGGUUGAAUCAUAUUCAACUGCUAUUAAGUAUCUGGAGUAGCAGUAUGGUCAAAUCUCUUCCACUUUGGCCCAACGUCAGACAGGUGUAGUUCCUAGUGACAAUGUGUCUAAUCCUCCAACACUGGCUCAUUGUCUGGCAAUUAACACAAGGAGUGAUUCCCUUCCUGAUAAGCACUUUGUUCCUGCUACUAAUAAGCUAAAGAAGGAAAAUAUUGUUGCAGAUGAGACACAUCAAAAUAAACUUGAGAAGCUACUUGUAGUGACGAUAAUUUUGGGAGUGAUGACAAUAACGACUGGGUAGCAGGAGAGCUCCAAGAUAUAGUGCAGCAAUUUAGCGUAGAUUUUCAAGCACCAUUAGUAGAAAAAAGGGAUACCCAGGUUCAGUCACCAUUCAAUUUUCUAUUGGUCCUUAUGACAUUAAUCAGUCUCUAUGAGAUUCGGGAGCAGGAAUAAAAGUAAUUUCAUUGGUGAUAUACUGACACGACCCAACCCAGGCCUUGUAGUAAUGGGCAUCCCAAGUCCAUCCAGGAUUGAGGACCGCCCUUGUUACCAAAUCCAACCACCUAUAUCCAACCUUAGAUGUGCUACAUUUUGAACAUAUAAUAAGAUAGCAUUAUUGAUCUCAUUAAGACUCUAGGAUAGGAUCAUAACUGUGACUGACCCAACCGAGUCCAACCAUACCCCACCAAUCGCUCGACCAUACCAAACCAAACCAUAAACUAGUCCAUAACCAAAGAAAAUACCAAACAUAAUAUGAUUAAUCCCAAAAUGUAAUAUGAUCGAACAAUGAGAAAUCAUGUUCGAUGAUGCCAGCCUUCCAGCUUAUUCCAAUACAAAGGUGAAACCUCUAUCGAUCCCAUCCAUACAACCUCUAAAAGUAUCAUAAAGCCUCUAUCUGAAUAAGUAAACAAAUUUGGUUAGGACAUGCCCCAACCAUGGCCAAAACCAAUAUGCAAAAUAAAAGAAAAAUGUCUAAAGAAAUCCAUAACAUAAAAUGAUGCCUCCCAAAAGAAUGAAAGCUCACCACUUUAGUCCAAAUGCUGAUACUGAAUCCAUAUACUAGACAGGAGGAGUAGAAUAGUUGGUUCCUACAGAGCAUUGGUAUACAGCUGCCAGUAGAUGGGGUUAGCGAGUGACUGUAAGCAUGAAUCUCAGGAUAAGGAUAAAAUAAUGCCAGUCACAAAACCAAGUAAAACCAUCUAUAAUGCAUAUAAACAUACAUAUAUAAGUACUGGGAAAGGGUCCGAGUUUAUCAUGCUCUUAAAACCUUUACCUAGGUUUUGUAGCUUUGUCGUCCUAACCACCCACGAGCCAUAUGGGUUUAUCUCCCCCUGCUGAAAAGGCCCCAGUGUGUGUAGAUGCACAACUAGGGAAUAUCCAAUGGGAUAACUAGUACAUCCCCUAAUAUAAAAUAUGACAUAAGCACAAGGUCAUCAAGACCCUUCAUAUCGGUAAAUAUAAGUUUCUGAUUUAGGUCCCCCAGGACUGCCACCUUCCACGACUUAGCUACACACCCCACCACUAAUGCCCAAUUAAAAUCAUAUCCAAACAAUCCAUUUACCUUUUAUUAAACAAGGAAAAUAUUGGUGGUAUCAUCAUUCCACCCCUUACUUGCAAGUAAUAUCCAUAGCCAAACCAUUUAGGUUAAGGGGACCUUAGGUGCCCUUUCCAUAAACCAUAUUAAAUCCACUUCGAAGACUUCCAUGCUCUACACAAGAAUAACCAUUUAGCCUUUAGCCUUUUCAAACCAUUUAAGACAUGCAUAAAUCCUCUGUCCAGUUUAAAACAUGCAAAAGUUCCAUUAAAAGAAGUCAAUUCAAUGAACAUAUAUUUAUAAGAAUUUUAUCAAACACAUUGGGGUAUAAUAUAACCAAAACCAAUUCCAAAGACUAUUAAACAAUAACCAUGCAAUCCAAUCAUCCAAAACCACCAUUAAUUCAUAUAAAAGCAUGAUUAAAACCAUAAGAAACCAUAACCAAGCAUUUAAUAUCAAAAAUCCUCAAUAAUAGUUGAAAACCAUAAUCAUGAAAUGUUAAAACCAUGAAAUCAAUCAUAUAAACUAUGCCUUUAGUUGAAAUUACAAUGAAGGAAGAGAAUCAUGCCUUAUACAGAAGAAUUGAUGGAAAUAAAUCACCAAGAUAAGCCCCAAAGCAAUUCAUAAGAUGAAACCCUAGCCUUCUUUCCCCAAAAGUUCUUAAGAGAAUUGUAGAGUGUUUUGGAAUAGUUUAUAAGUGUUAAUGAAUAGAAUAAUAUGAUAAAUAACCUCCUAAGUGUAUUCAAAGUCAUGGGUCCUAGUUAGGGUAAGUAGGGAAAUGUCCAGAAUACCCCUACUUAAAUCCCUUAAAAACCCAUCGCAGGGAUACGACUGACCCAUAUGAGUCAUACCCUUCUAUACGAUUGGCAACCACUAGUCAUAUCCAAGCCUGAACCCUUGGAUCAAACACUGUCCAGUAUACGACUCAUCCAACCAACUCAUAACCAUAUUAUACGAUCCAUACCCAUAACCCGUAUCCUUGGUAGAAUAAAAUACCAAGAGAAUCAAACACUGCCCCCAUACGAGCCCCGAAUACGACUCAUACCAAACCUUUAUGACUCACACCUUUAAGUCAUACCCAUUCUAGUGACCAAAACCAUCCCACCAGCUAACACUGGUCAAUAUCCGAUGAGACCAUACCACUCGUACCCCAGUAUACGGGUCGUACCCAUAAGUCAUAUAGGGUCCAGAGAAUGGAUUUCUAGGAAAUUUUCUAAAGGUCAAAACCCAGGAUGUUUCAUAUACAGGGUAUUGAGGUUAGGUGAACUUAAUCCUACAUCUGCAAGGUUUUUAAUGAUUGAUUCAUCUAUAAAGGAGUCAGUCGGUAUUGUUCGCAAUAUAGAAGUGGGGGUGGCAUCAUUCACUUAAAAUGGAUCCCCACUCUCAAAUUAUAUUAGGUAGACCCUUCUUGUCUACCAGUCGGGUGUUGAUGGACAUGGAUUUGGAGGAGAUCAUAUUUAAGUGGAAUAAUAAGCAAGUUGUGUUAUAUAUAUGUAUGAUAGUACAGUAAAUGAAUGAUAUAAUAGUAGUGGCAGUGAUAGAUACAGUAAAUGAUGACAUGGUGACAAUAGAUGUGCCUAUUGAAGAGAAAUUAGGGGUAGAAGUAUUAGCAUCAGUGAUUAUAAACUUUGGGAGUGAUGGGAUCGAUGACCAUGAUGAGGUGGCUAGUGCACUACAUAGCAUAGGCUCUUACAAAUAUUACCCUAAGAAGCUGGAUCUUGACUUGAAGAACAGAAGCAUACCUUCUGCAAAACCAUCGAUUAAAGAACCACCAGUAUUAGAAUUUAAAGCCCUCCCACCUUAUUUGCAGUAUGCAUUCUUGGGGGCCAACAAUACUUUAUUGGUAAUUAUUGUGGUACAUUUAGUAGGAACAUAGGUAGAAGCUUUGAUAUUAGUGUUACAAAAGUUCAAAAGAGCUAUUGGGUAGACCAUUAUAAAUAUUGUAGGGAUUUUAUCAGGUAUAUGCACACAUAAGAUAUAGCUUGAGCCAGACAGCAUUCCCAAUAUUGAGCAUCAAAGAUGACUAAACCGCUCAUCCAAGAGGUAGUGAAAAAAGAGACAGUCAAGUGGUUAGUGAUACGCCCAAAUUUCACCUCUCUUACGAGAGAGUAAGCGGUCGUCUCCAAAUAUAUAACCUAACGAGGUGGGGUCGAAUGCCACAGGGAAUAUGGUGUUAAUUGAUGUUAUUCAUGAUUCAAUUGAGUAAUAGCUAAUAGCUUCCUAUAAAUAGGGGUUUUCAGAGAUUAAACAAAAUUUAUUGUUCACUUUGUUUUAAUAGCUUGCAACUAAGAUUUCAACGCUUUAAAUUAAUGUUAUGGAAAAACCAGAGUUGUGUUCACUAUGAGUAUUGACAUUUGAUAGACAUUAGUUAUAGCUCAACAUUCUUAUGACAUGUAGGAACAACAGAUUAUCAUUAUCAAAGCUCUAUCUAAAUGUCUCUCGACCUAUUUAGAUAUUAAAUUACCUAAUUCUUUCGAACUAAGUAAAUCCAUAUACUUAACCAGAUCUUAUCUCGAGUUAAUUAACCUUGCUACAUCAUUAAUCAUCAGAUGGAAGUUUAAUGUUUCCAAAUCCCCGUUGAUAAUUCACUUCCCAUUAAAUUGAUUUCUUACUUCAAGCUAACCAAUAAUCAGGUUUAAUCUAUUAUUUGCAACCAAUAGAAAACAUGCACAACAGAAGAAUGAUCAAGGAUUUCCUAGUACUUUGAGAAUCUUAAUCAACUAAUGAAUUCACAAGGCCAAACUCAUAGAUCCCGUAACUCGAGUUAAGAGAAUUAGUUCCUCAAAAUAUAGGAAGAAACAACACAUGUUGAAUUCAUAAUUCAGUAGUAGUUAACUUACAAAUGAUGAAGAUAUAUGAUCAUUCUUUCUUAUAAAUCACAAGAGAAUUCUCAAAACCAUAAUAAUAAUCCCAAUAACUUAAUUCAAAAAUUCAGAGAAAAUUAUCAAAAAUCGGUUGUUUUGAAUAUGUUCAAGAUGACACUAAAAACCUAAGAUAUUUUCCUUAAAUACUCAAGAGAUAAUUUUGGAUUCAAAUUUCAAAUCUCAAAAAAUUUGUUCUAUAGCUGACGACAUGGGCUGGCGGCUUAUCACGAGGUUGAUAACUUAUUAGACUAAGUCAUCAACCUUUCUCUCUAAUUCCUGCUCACUGCUUGCGUGUAAUGAACUGGGUUGACAUCCUAUCACACAGUUGACAACCUCUCAAACCAGGUCAUUAACUCUUCCCUUCAGUUCUUUCACAUUGUCUUUUGUUGACGACUCCUUUUGAAGACUUAUCAGAUGUUUGACGACUUAUUAGACAAGUCGUCAGCUAAAAUCUUCCUAUGUACCUUAUCAAAAUUUGUCCUUCUUGGCUCAGUUAUCAUAAGAUUUUCAUGCAUUUUGACUUACCUGUAAUAUCACAUAGAAUCUAACCAAAAACGAUAAAAGUUACUUAAGAACUUACAAUUGUUCUGAGUUAAUGGCCUUAAAUGUGCUAGCACAAAGCUCGCACAUCAACACCCUCAACUUAAAAUACUUACUUGUCCUCAAGAAACUAACACAGUAUUACACACACAACCAGAACAACAAUGUAAUGAGUAGCAUUUGUUGUCCUUUAUUUUGCACCCAUAAGAAGUAGAAUGUGUUCUUUUUCGGCCAAGCACAUCAAGGUUCCAUACCAUCUUCAAAGUUCAAAAAAACCUCUAUCUAAGCUUAAAGCAUUCAAUCAAGCAUUUAACAAAGUCCACACCUAUUCACAUGCCAUCAUAUAGAAGAAAUAGGUUCUCGACUCUACACAUUUUGAUAUAUUUACUGGAACUAUGCAUUAAAGCGCUCACCCUCAGAAUAAAAGUUAGAAUUGCGUACCUACAAUGCCAUAAUCUUGCCUUUACCAUUCCACUCGGUUCAUCUAGUAGUCAUAUUGAGAUUACUAUAGGGCUUUCUUGAUUUAUAAUGAGAUUUUGGGUGUUGGGGAGGUCAAUUUAUGAUUUUUGACUUAGCCUCUUUUGGUUCACUUACAAAACUUGGCUACAAUCACUUACUUAUUUGCAUUCAACUCUUGGCUAACUUUUAUAUCAUUUUUAGCAAUCCCCGCAGGCAGACCAUUUUUAUUUUUAUUAUUUAUUAUUUAUUAUUUAUUUAUUUAUUUUAUUUUAUAUUUUAUAUUUAUAUAUAUAUAUAUAUAUAUAUAUAUAUAUAUAUACCAACCUUCACAAUAUCUUUUGCACCUUUACAGCAUCUUUUUCAUCUUCCAAUCAUUAACUCUUCCAAUGUAGCCACCCUCAACUUAGGUGAUUUCCCUAAGUUGAAGUGCAACAUGACCAAAGAGAUUUGGCUAAAACAGUGCUUGUCAAAACAAAGAAGAUAUUGUGUUGGCUCAAAAAGGGAUCAAACAGAAAUAUAAUUAUGUACUUAAGGGUUGCUUAUCUUGGUUGAAUGGUUCACUAAUGAAAGAUGGCUAGUGAUCACUUCUCAGCUAACUACUUGAGACCCUAAUAGAAUUCUUUAGGCAAUAAAAACAUAUUAACAACAAAGACCUCACUCUUUCAUAGCAUAGAAUAGUGUGGAUAUUACUAAAUACUCAAUUAAUACUCGGGCUCAAACAGGGAGUGCCAUAUUUGCAUACUUAUCAUGGAUAGAAAUGGUUUCUCAUGCACUUAACAAUCAAUCUCACAAUCAAAAUAUUGGUGGGCACACCAUUUUUUCAAUCAUUGAUUCAAAAUCAAACACUUCAAUACUUGUUACUCAGUUAUUUGUUACUCUUCAUGCGUUCAAAAUAAAUAGACACAAACAAACCAUUCUAAACAUAAAUAAUUCUAAACAUGUUACAUACAGGUUGUAAGCACCCCCACCCCUACAAAUAAGAACAUCCAUUUCCCUCAAUGCAUAUCUAACAUACUGAAACAACAACAAAUAGGAUAUACAUGCAGCACUUCAAGCGUGUAAAUCAUGAACAGCUGACUUUGCUACUACAUCAUCAGCGGGAGCAAUCAUAUUAAUAGCACCAGGCUGUGCAUAUGCAUCUACCACAGUGGUUGGGAGUAAAAAACUCCUCAGCAUUCUCCCCAACAGUCAAUGGAGGCCUACUAGCUGAGGCUCCCAUAGAUCUCUCUCUUAAUGCUUCCUCAAUUGGUUUUCCCUCCGCUUUCGAUAUUUGCAUAGCUUUUUUUAGCUUCUUUUUGUCUGCCUUCUCUUUGCUCUUCUCUCUGCUCUCCUUUCUUCAUCACUAUCAGUAUUUUUUACUUGCUUUUGUCUUUUCUAUUGCCCUUUUCUUUCUCUUUGUUCACUGGUUUACCACUAAUGUCAAUCAGUGGAUCUUCAUCUUUAGAUUCUUCAGCUACAGGGUUUGAAUAUAUCACAAUUUGGUGGCACAGCAAUGCCAUAAUAUUAUUUUUUGCCUUGUCCAAAGCUGUUUUAAAAAUUGCAAGGUCAGGGACCGAUAUCUCGCUCAAUCUUGCAUUAAGACGGUUCUCCAACUCAUCAACAUAUCCAUGCUAAGUUUGGAAAGGUUUAAUUGCCACCUUAAUUCUUUUAUCUACAGCAAAUUUAAAUUGACUAGCAAAUAACUUUAAUUGUGCAUCAAACCUCUUCCCUUGCUUUACCAUCUUCCUGAAAUUAAGAGGAGUAAAGGCAUAAUCCGACACCGGUGCUGCAACUACAGGAUUUUUUUCACUCUCAGGAAUUGAAGCUACCCCUGUAAAAGAUGUUUCUUGUACAGCUUCAGGAACUGACACCUCCAUAUUUUUUGUCGAACCUGUAGCAGUAGCAGCUAUUUGAACUUUGUCAGUCCUGACUUAUUCACUUUCAACCCCUACUCCUUUACUUAAAACUAGCAUAGGCUGAUUCUCAUCAAACUUGAUAGGAUUGUGAGUUUUUUUAGCAAUAACCUCCUGAUCUAAGCCUAUAAUCUCUGGUACAUGAGCAGUCUCACACAAUUUCAUAACCAAACAAAGAAAUGGGUAUGCAGUGUCGGGUCUUGUUGCCUGAAUAUUUAUCCCAUCAGUAAUAAUUUCCCUAAAAUUCAAGGGAAAAUUGGACAUUAAACUUGCCACUAGAACUGCCCUAUCUUCACCGAUGAUGUUGUCUCCUGUUGUUGGCAUUAAUCUAGAUCAUACGAUGCCUCACUAAAAUCUUGCCUCCUGAGUAAUUGAGGCCUUAAAGAUCCUUGCACUUGUAUUUUUCAACCAUUCCAUCUCUCCCUCAGCUAUAAUCUAUGCCAACUAAGGGCAUUGUUUUGCCCUUUCUUGCAUCCUAUAGUAGAAUUCUGGAGAAGUGACUGGAGGGGUGAAGUUUAGGCCAUGGAGGAAUCUGUUGAUAGUGUUGUCAGAUAGAUCCACCAUUACUCCCUUCACUAGAAUCUAAUUUAUGUUGGGCAGGUCUAUAGUUUUCUCUCUUUUCUUACACAUAUUCUCCAGUGUAGCCUAGUAGUUUAUGUAAAACUCUCAGACUAGUGUUAGACAGAAUGAGUCACCUUCCUAAGUAGUCUAUGCCAAAUCAUAGUCUUUGAAUGCCUUCUCCAUCUGGGGGUACCUGUUCAGUCCAAUAGUGAUGAUCCUCAUCUCUUCAUAUAUUAGCCUCUUAAGACUUCUUAUUUUUUUUCUUAUCAUUCCAUCAUGGUAGAUUAUGUUUGCUCUGGGAACCUUCCAUCUGACACUUUCUCGGACACCAGAAUUCUUGCAUCUUAUUACAUCACCCCUUAUAUGAGAUCUUCACCUGUUGGUUGCUCAAAAUAAGGUAGUUCUGAUGAAGGUUCUUCGGAGUUGGGCUGAUCUGAAGAUGUAUGUUCAGAUGGAGAGGAGUUUUCCUCCUCAGAUUCAACUUCUUCAACCACCUCUUUUUCAGGUUGGGGAAGAGGUUCAGCUAUCUUCAGACUUUUCCUCAUUUUGCAUCUUUGAAGUUGUGGUUCUUAUUUUUUGCUUUUAGACUCAUUGAAGAUUUUCUGAGUCAAGUUCUCCUUAGUCACUUUCUUGGCUACUUUCUUUGAUUUUCCUAAAGGAGGCAUGAUUAAUUCUGCAACAAGGAGAAAUAAUCAUUUAAUAACUAAGACUAAAUAAGCAUACAAGAGUCAAUCAAUUUUAAUGCCACCUUUAAAAGUUUUUUAUCACUAUCAUUAAACAAUGGUGUAACGACUUAGUCUGACAAGCCAUCACUUAGGUGAUGGCCCGACAGCCAAGUCAUCAACUUCAGGUAGAAUAAUAUCAUUUUGAUUAACAAGUGAUGACUUGGGCUGAUAAUUCAUCAUCUAAGUGACAGCUCGUCAGCCAAGUCAUCAGCCUUAGACAAGAUGUUUCAUCUUAGAAUAACAAAUGAUGAAUUGGUUUGAUAAGUCAUCACUUAAGUGAUGACUCGUCAUCCAGGUCAUCAUCCCAAACCAGAAUCCUCAGCCCAUUUUUCUUUAUUUGAUGACUUAAUUGAUGGGUUAUCACCUCUUUGACGAUUUUUCAACACAGUCAUCAUUCAAAAUCAUGCUUGCCAACAUGUAUAAUUCCAUUCUUGUGCUGAAAUUUCAAACUUUGUUGCUUAAUUUAGAUCUUGUAACCCUAGUUUAAAUUUCAACAAGACCUUAUACCCAAUUUUGACUCAAUAAUCUUGAAAAACUAGAGUACAAUGGAUUUUUACCCAACAAUGGUACAUUUUUCAAAUUAACAAGUAUUUGUUCAUGAGCAAAUUUUAGUUAUGCAAGAUGUAAUAUAUCUUGGUUGUAACGCCCCGAAUCUGGUACCCAGAAUGCUACAUAGUGCUCAUGACCCUGAAGGACCACAAGCUAACCCAUGACUAAUAUCUGUAAUUCAGCACUACAUAAUAUGAUGUAAAAAUGUAGAAUUAACGGUUGAAAGGACAUAAGGUUCAAAUAUAUGAUAAAAUAUAACAUCUCGAAAUACGGUACAUCAUUAUAAAAAUAACUAAAAUAAACUGUGAACAUGCUAUAGUCUAAAAGCCUCUAGACUGUUUGAAUAAGGAGUUGAUGGGACAUGUCCCCAACUAACUCCAAUUGCUAAAAUAACACUAAAGAUAUGAAAUAAUCAAAUUAUGACAUCCUCAAAUGAUGAGGACUCACUGUUGACUCUGAUUGCUGAAACUGGAAUGCUACUGAUGCCCUGGAGUUCGUGCUUCUGAACCUAUGGUAUAAAACACCAUAGUGCAAAUGCCCCAAUACAUGGAAAUAUACUGGUUUGCAAGUGAGGCAGGCUGAAUCCAAAGGGUUCAUGUGCAUGAACAAUGCUAGCUGACUGUAUAACAUGACCGCGAGAAUACAUACAUGAGUGUGUGACUGUAGCUGGAUUCGUGAGUAAUACUGACUACUGAGUCUGAAUACUGAUAACAUAAGUUACUAAUAACUAAUAUAACUGAUAUAACUGAAUACUAAUAAUGAAGCCAAUCCAUACCGAGAAUGACAUCAAAAUCGGUCAUCACUAAUUCGAGUAAGUCUGCUGAAGUGACUUUUUGAGAUACCAUAACCGGACCAUUCCUAUAUACCCAUCGGGAUAUGAUAGUUUUACCCACUGGGGUGGAGACUGAGAAGGGCUCUGCUAGUAUUCUGGGACUGACUCUAAAAUUAACUACUAUAUAAGGAGUAACAAAAGACAAAAGCUCCUGGAUCUAACAAAAGCAUAAACAUGUAAAUAAAAGAUCUGUAACAUACCAAUAACCACAUUAGGAGAAUUUUACUAAUCCUAUUGGGACUGAAGAGUGUAGAUUCUAUUUGGGAAUUUCCCACUAGUAGCACUAGAAGUGGCACCCUGCUGGUUUGGGUGACCGGACUGAGAUGAGGGACGGUUAUGCUGACCCUGAGGACCUGCCUUAGAAUAAUCUCUGACUCUGUGUCCUGGAUUGCCACAUCCGAAGCAUACAUCACUGCUAGCUUUGCAAGUACCCUGAUGGUGCUUUCCACACAUCUGACAAAGAGUAUAGGUUCAGGCACUACUAACACUGCCCUAAUACUUAGAGCCUAGCGCUCUUAUCUCUAUUGCCGCCUCUGAAUUUUGGCACUGGAGCAAUGGAUGAGGAAGGUGCUGGAACGGAUGACUUUGGGCAGAACUGAGAACAACUUUCACCCUCUGACUUAGGCUGAGCAAAGUUAAAACUACCUGUCUUUGCUCUCUUAUUCUGCUUCUCUCUUAUCUUAAUCUUCUACUCUUCUAUCUAUUGAGAAUGGAUCAUAAUCAUGGCUAUGUCUAUCUCACUAAUCAAUAUUGUAGAUCUGCACUCAUUGACCACACUAUCAUUCACCCCAGAAACAAACUUACUCAUCUUAACCCUGUUGUCUGCCACUACAUAAGGAGCGUAUCUAGCUAGUUGAGUAAACUUAAGAGAAUACUAUUUCACUAUCAUGUUGCCCUACUUGAGGUUGAUAAAUUCUAGAACCUUAGCUUCCCUUAGCUCUAGGGGAAAGAAUCUAUCAAGAAAAGCAGUGGUAAAAUCCUCCCAAUCUAUAGGCCCUGCAUCACCAGCCCUCUCUAGUUUCCACUAUUUGAACCAUGUGUGAUCCAUAUCCUGUAACUGCUAUAUAGCUAGCUCAACACUCUCAAUAGCUGACACCCUUAUGAUAUCUGUAACCUUCUAAACUUGAUCAAAGAAUUUCUGAGGGUCCUCAUUCGAUUUAGACCCAAAAAAAAUGGGGGAUUCAUUUGGGUGAAGUCCCGAAUCUUGGCUAUUGUGGUGUUGGCAACUGGGUUUGCCGAAAUGACAGCUGGUCAUUCAUUCUAGGAAGCAACUAAGUUAGCAAGAGUAGUGAAUGCAGCUCUGAACUCUGCAUAAGAAACAUGUUCGUCCAAGGGAUCUGCUUGGACGGGUUGAGGGGCUUACUGAUUUCCAUUUCUUCUCUUAGGAGGCAUGUUCUGUAGAAGAAAGGGAGAAAUGACUUAGACUGAGAGUUAAACUUGAGCUCAUGCUCACUGGCAUGACAUAAAUACUGAAAGAAAGAAAACUAUUCCUAAAACAUCUUAUAUCCUCCUAUACAUAAAUGUGGCGCGCAACACACCCAUGCACAAGACUUUACUAGAUGUGGAUUUUAGACUUCCUAGGACACUAUUGAAUCUUAGGCUCUGAUACCAAGUUUGUAAUGCUCCGAAUCUGGUACCCAGAAUACUACACGAUGCUCAUGACCGUGAAGGAACACAAGCUAACUUAUAACUGAUAUCUGUAACUGAGCACUGCAUAAUAUGAUGUUAAAAUAUGGAAUUAAAGGCUGAAAGGCCAUAAGGUUCAAAUAUAUGAUAAAACAUAACAUUUAUAAAUAUGUUACAUCAUUAUCAAAACAACUGAAAUAAACUGCUAAUAUGCUAUAGUCUAAAAGCCUCUAGGCUUUCUGAAUAAGGAGUUGAUGGGACAUGUCCCUAACUAACUCCAACUGCUAAAAUAACUAAGUACUAAAGAUAUGAAAUAAUCAAAUCAUAAUAUCCUUGAAUGAUGAGGACCACUACUGACUCUGACUGCUGAAAAUGGAAUGCUAUUGAUGCUCUGGAGCUCUUGCUUCUAAACCUAUGGUAUAAAACACCAUAGCACAAAUGCGUCAGUACAUGGAAAUGCACUGGUAUGCAAGUGAGGUUGGUUAAAUGCAAAGGUUUCAUAUACAUGAACAAUGUUAAAUGAUUAUAUAACAUGAUCGUGAAAAUACAUACAUGAGUGUGUGACUGUAACUGGAUUCAUGAGUAAUACUGACUACUGAGUCUAAAUACCAAUUAACUCAUAUAACUAAUAUAACUAAUACUGGGUGACUAUGUCUGAUAGUCUAGGUUCUGAUGGAACUAGCUGAGUUCCGUACUGAGCUGAGUGACUGUAUCUGAUAGUCUGGGUUCUGUAGAACUAUCUAAGUUCUAUUACUGAGACUGGGUGACUGUAUCUGACAGUCCUAAUUUUGCAACUGAAACUGUGGGAGAAUUCAUCUACUUGACAUGCCCCUUUUUCUAAAUAGAUUUGGGGUCCAACCUGUAACCCCAGUUGGAAGAGUGUCAAUACCAUGCGACUUGUAAGGACAAGCUGUGAUAAAUCCCUUGUCUAAUAGGCACUCUGAGGAGAAUAGUGGGACCCUCAUAUGAUAGGUUAAGCCACCUUAUCUACCCUCAACUAGCAGGUUUGAUGUCUCAACUUAUGUUGGUUACGUAGUUAUGGAGCGUAAGGAUUGCUUCUAAGAAUCACAUCCUCUACUAACAGGUGAGUUCCCAUCCUUGGGCUCACUCGGUGCUGAAUCCUACUCCCAUCUGAAUAGACACUAAACAUGAUUAACUAAACUGAAUUGGCCUGAGUUCAUUGAGUUCCGUUAACUGAUGGAAUACUAUUGAGAUCUAAUAACUGACUGAGAUUACUGAGUUUUCCUGAGUCAUGUAACUGACUGAAUUCUACUGAGUUCUGAAACUGACUGAGAAUACUACUAAUCAUGGCAUGACUGAGAUUUAUCAUGAAACUGAUGCUGGCUCUAGGCAUACAGCUAAGUUGUAUGGUACAAGUACCCCCAGGACUCGAUAGGGUGAAACUUACAAUACAAGACACUUCUUGAACACAUAACCAUGGUCAAUAAUUCAUAGUACUAUCAUUGGGGAUUUUCAUGAAGUAUUUGCAUACCCCAAGCUUACACAUGAAUAAGAAUGCAUAUAAACAUGUCAUAAUUCCCUAAGCCUAAUCUCAUAAGCAUUACAUCAAUCUAUUACAAGGUAUAGCAAUAAGAUGGAGUCAUUUUGAACAUAACGGUAACAUGAAUUCAUCAUUUAGGUUCUAUUGAGUCAUAAUGCACAAGUAUUAUUCUCUUAGGCAUUUUAUCAAAUACCUAGUAUGCAUAACUUACGGAUUAGUCAUGAUAUCAAAUUAAUACCACAUGAUUCCCUAAUUUAACUCAAUUUCAUAAAUUUCAACCCACAUACUAGCGUAGUUUCAUGAACAACACAUAAAGAUUCCAACUUGGGAAUCCUACAACAAUAACUACAUGAACAUGAUCAAUCCACAACAUAAAUUUAAAAUUGGAUUCUUGGGCUUCAUGGAUGAAAGGAAUCCACGAAUGAACACUUGACAUACCUUGGAUGGAAAAUUCUUGAAAACUAAUGGUAGAAUCUCUUGAAUUUGAAGCUCCUAUGAAAACCCUAGACUUGUUCUUGAGAGUGUUUGAGAGUAACAACAAUAUUUUGCUGAAAUGAGGGUUGAAUCUCGUGUUAUAGGCUUCUAUACGGGUGGAAAAUUGACCCUUUUGUCCUUUAAAACACGGAUAUUUAAUGAUUGAAAACUGGGCAUCGAUGCAAUUAGCGACGUGGUGCGUCGAUGCAUCGACGUGAUACCUGAAACAUUACGCCAUGAUCGCGCCAAGCCUCAGUAGUUUUACUGGCAGUCCCUACAACAAUAUUAACCAAUGUGAUAAGCAACGUGGCGCGCCAAGAUCACAUUGGUCCACUAUUUUGGGACACCAAACGUGGUCUAAACGAGGUUCAAAAAAUCCAAAACUUGUUCGGGAACACCUAUUGACCUCUCUGAUCAUAAAUUAACAAAAAUACAGACCAUUAAAGGACAUUAAGGUGGUGAAAUGAGAUUUCCAACUUUCAAAAGACAAAAAUAAACUAAGUCUGGAAACUUAGCUAGAAUUUCCUAAGUAUGGGACCCCCUUGACAAGCUUAAAGGACUGAUUUAAGCUUAGAAAUUUGGUGGGGUCUUACAUUGGGUGACCAAUUCACUGUGCAUUACUUAAACUUGCUCAUGAACACUUCAAAGACUUCAAACUUACAUUAGUGGGCAAUUAUAAUUACUUACCAAAGAAAAAAAGAUAAGCUUGAAAUAUCUCUUAGGCGACUUAAGUUGCAAACUUCUCACUUGAGAAUUUUUGAUUUGUUCAGAGAAGAAAAAGUGAGAUUGACUAAUUUCUUAGAGAAAUUUUCACACUUUUUCCACUUGGUUUUGAGAAGAUGAAAAUAAAAUUGAAUACUAGCUUUUGAGAGAGAAACCGAUGGGAAAGAUGAAGUGAUUGCACCUAUGUAGCCUAUUUUUUUGUUUUAUAUAAUUAUCCAACAAUUACUAAAUGAGAACCAAUUAAAGUUAAUAAAAACGAAUAAUGGAAAGAAAAUAUACUAAAGAAAUAUAGAAUUGGACAAGGUUGUUAUUAAGAAUUUGAAAACACUAGGGCUAAUGGGUUUGGAUCCGGUCAGACUUCCUUACCUGGGCCCAAACUUAAGUGAUGGCUUAUCACAUGUCUGAUAGCCCGUCACAUACGUCAUCACUCUUACGCAGGAGGAUUCUGAAUGAAGAGUUAGCUGACGAUAAGGCUUGACAGCUCGUCACUUAGGUGAUAUCCUAUAAGCCUUGACGUCACCCCAAGGCAGAAUAUCAAACUCUUUUCCUUCCACUAACGAUGAGAUAUGAUGGCUCAUAAACCUUGUCGUCAGCCUUAUCCAGACUUUGUCCAUAUUUUGCUUUUCUUGAUGACUAGGCAUAACGGCUAGUCACUUCGGAGACGGCUUAUCAGCCUUGGUCGCCAGCCUCAUCCAGAACAUGCCCAAUAUUGACUAUAACCUUGUCCCUGCACAUCUAAACAACUCAUUACAAACAUAAACUUUAAAACAAAAGCAAACAUACUUAAACAUAACACUUUGGGUUUCCCAAUAGCUCCUGAUUUACUAUCACAGCACGACUUAGUUAUCUCGACUACUCAGACUUCAUCAAGAUACACAGUGGACAAUAGCUUCACAUCAUCCGUUGGACCAAUAUAGAUCUUGACUCUUCGCCCAUUAACCUUGAACAAACUUCUAUCUUUACUUUUAAGUUCCACUACACCUGAUGGAAAAACUUGAGUUACUUUGAACGGCCCCGACCAUCUUGAUUUAAAUUUGCUCAGAAAAAGCUUAAGUCGAGAGUUGAAUAAUAACACCCAAUGACCAGCUUAAAAAUCUUUCUUCUCUAUUAUUUGGUCAUGGUAAUUCUUCAUCCUUUCUUUAUGCAGGUCAGCUCUUUUGUAAGCUCUAAGAUGGAAUUCGUCCAUCUCAUUUAAUUGUCCCAACCUUAACUCAACUGCUUCUUUUCAGUUCAUGUUCGGUCACUUAAGAGCCCACAAAUCCUUGUACUCUAGUUCAACCGGAAGGUGAUAUCUUUGUCGUAGACCAGCUGAUAUGGUAACGUCCCAAUAGGUGUCUUGAAAGCAGUCCAAUAUGCCCACAAGGCAUCAUUAAUCUUUCGAGACCAGUCUUUUCUACUCGUAUUCACCGUCUUAUCCAAGACUGCUUUUAUCUCCCGGUUCGAAACUUCCACUUGCCCACUAGUUUAUGGGUGAUAUGGAGUAGCCACCUUAUGCUGCUUCACACCGUAUUUCGACAAAGCAACCCAGAAUGUUUUGUUGCAAAAGUGGGAUCCCCCAUCGUUAAUGAUAGUCCUUGGUACUCCAAAACGAGAGAAGAUGUUUUUUUCAGAAAAGCCACCACUCUCUUACCUUCAUUAUCAUCCAAAGAAACUGCUUCAACCUAUUUGGACAUAUAGUCCAUAGCCACCAAGAUAUAUUUCAGUUCAUAUGAGCUCACAAACAGCCCCAUGAAAUCGAUACCCCAAACAUUAACCAGUCCAACUUCCAACAUCUUUGACAUGGGCAUCUCAUGAUGCUUUGAGAUUGACCCUUAUCUCUGGCAUUGGUCAUAUUUCCUCACGAACUCAUAUGCGUCCGUGAACAGGAUUGGCCAAUAAUAGCCACUCUACAACACCUUUCUUAUAGUACGGUCACCUGCAUGGUGACCUCCGAUCGAGAAAGCAUGACAAGCUCCUAAAAUACUAAAUAUGUCCAUCUCCGGUAUACACCGCCUAAUAAUGUUAUCCGCACACCGACAAAAUAAGUAUGGAUCAUCCCAAAAGUAGUGUGUAAUAUCAUGGAGAAACUUCUUUCUUUAGUCAAAAGAAACAUUCUCUGGGAUAAUCUCACUUACCGCAUAAUUUGCUAAGUCCGUAUACCAAGGUACUCUUUCAAACACAACAGCUAGGAUUUUCUCAUCUGGAAAUGUAUCAUCAAUUUCGAGCUCAUACUUGACUACUUGAUCUCCCUAAAGUCUGGACAGGUGAUCUGUAACUUAAUUAUCUCAUCCUUUCCGAUGUUUGACUUUAAAGUCAAACUCUUAAAAAAGAAGCACCCAUCUGAUUAGCCUUGGCUUAGCAUCCUUAUUUGUCAUCAAAUACCUCAAAGCGGCAUUGUCUAUAUGCACUACCACCUUGGUCCUCAAUAAGUAAGCGUGGAACUUCUAAAAUACAUAGACCACCACGAGAAGUUCCUGCUCAGUCACAGUGUAAUUCUUUUGAGCCCCAUUCAAUGCCUUGCUUGUAUAGUAACUGGGGUGAAAUAGCUUGUCUUUCUUCUGGCCAAGCACAAGCUCCACUUCGCUUGCAUUGCACAUGAUUUCAAAUGGUAUUGACCAAUUCAGUGCAACAAUGAUUGGGGCAUCAACUAAUUUCUCCUUAAGGCAUUCAAAUGCUUUAUUUCAAUCAUCAUCAAAUAUGAACUUGGACUCCUUUUCCAAAAGCUUGAAAAGUGAGUUUGCAAUUUUUGAGAAGUCCUUUAUAAAUCGAUGAUAGAACACUGUGAUAACGUUCAACUUACACGUCAAUUUAGUGCAAGGCAGUCUUCGUCAAUAUAAUUACCCAACUUUGUAGUCGGGGUCAAAUCCACGAGGAAUAAUGUGAGUGGAGAUUAAACUAAUUUGAAACUAUAGCUACAAGUUAACUUCAAACAAAUGAUAUGAAAAGAUAAAAUGGGGGGGUUAAUGGUUGAUAAAAUUUUCGACCAGCUUCAGAACUCAAAGCUAAAAUUUCAAUGGUUCAAAUCAAUGAUAGAGAGAAACUAGGGUUAUGAUCACUAUGAUUAUUAACUUCUCAUUGAAUAAUAGUUGUAGUACUGGAUUCUCAUGACUUGUGGAAAACACCAAAUUAUCAAUAUCGAUAGUCCGUCUAAGUAUUUCUCAACCUACCUAUAUGUUGUGCUCCUUAAUUCUCUCGAAUUUAGAAAAACCUUCUAUUCACACUGAUUUUAUCUCGAGUUGAUUAAUCUUGUUACAUCAUUAAUCAUUAGAUGGAAAAUUAACCUUCCCAAAUCCUCAUUGAUAAUUCACUACCUUUAGUCUAUUUCUCAGUUCGAGCAAACAAACAUAACGCUAGAUCUAUUGUUAGCAACCAAUAGAAAACAAUCAUUACAAAGGAAUUAUCAAGAUGUUCCCACAAUCACUCAAACCCUAAUCAACUAUUAAAUCCAUGAAGGAAUAAUCAUAGAUCCCACAACCCUAGUUAUGGGUUUAAGUUCCACAUGAGAAAGAAAGAGAUAGCAACAAUUGUAUUCAUUAUUCAGAGCAAUUAAACUUACAAAAGAUGAAGUCUGAGGUUGAUGCUCUUCCAAGUUCAAGAACAAUAUCCCACAACUCCAUCAAAGAAUUGAAAAUUGAGUUCAAAGUUCAGAGACCCAGAAAAUAAGUAAACUAGCCUUUGGAAUAAGUUCCAGAUACUCCAUGAAACCCUAAAAGAAACUAUUUAUAUACGUACUUUAAGAAAAAAUUAAAGUUAAAAAUUCAGCUUUUUGCUCAUUUAGCUGACGACAUGUCUGAUAGCUUAUCACAAAUCCGAUAGCUUAUAAGAGAAUGUCGUCAGACCUGCUGCCCAUGUGUGACGACAUGUACGAUGACAUAUCACAAAUCUGAUAACUUAUCAGAAAAAUAUCUUCAGACCUUCUUCCCAUGUGUGACAACAUGUACGAUGAUUUAUCAUAAAUCUGAUAACUUAUCAAAAAUAUCUUCAGGCCUUCUGCCCAUGUGUGACGACAUGUGUGACAAAUUAUCACAAAUCUGAUAACUUAUCAAAAAAUGUCAUCAGAAAUGCUUUACCUUUCUUGUUCUCUUCCUAUGUGUGAUGACAUGUUCUGAUAUCUUUUCACAGAUCUGAUAGCUUAUCAGACCAAGUCGUCAGAUGAAAUCUCCAGAACUUAAAUUCUUGCCUUUUUCACCAAAAAUCAUCCUUUUUAACGUAGCUUUCAUAAAUGUUCAUGCAUCUUGACUUUCCUACAAAAUCACAUGAAAUAUAAUCAAAAACAACAGUAAUUACUUAAGAACUUACAAUUAUUUCAAGUUAAAAGUCUUAAAUUUGCUAACAGAAGGCUAGCACAUCAACACCCUCAACUUAAAACCAGUGUUUGUACUCAAGCAACUACAUAACACCAUACUGCGAUGUUUAAUCAAGAGAAACAUAAAAUACCUACGACAGUUGAUUAUCAAUUUUCGCUCAAAACACAUUUCCCUCUCAAAUUUCAAUUACCUUCAAACCCAACUGUAUAUAUUAAUGAAGAUAAACAAUAUGACACAAAGAAAUCAAGAUAUGGCAUCAAAUUACCAACAACAACCAUGCAUAUGUACAAGUUACACUACCCAAACAAGUAAGCAACUAGCAAUAGAACUGAUGUGCCCUUACAACAAAGAAGUCCCUCUUCACUCAUAUAUGAAAUCAAGCACGUAAAUACAGGGACAGUCAAGAGACACUCACUCUCAAAAAGAAGUUCCAGUUAAUGUAUGCCAAAUACCAUAAGCUUGCCCUUAUUUUCAUCAGCGAGGCCUUCAGAUAGCUAAGCUAGGAUCACUAUAGGACUUUUCUUCAGCUUGUAAUGUAGGCCUGGGGCUGGUAUGAUACGCAAGGAUAUUUAAAGUGAGUAAGCCUCCUUGGCACUACACUAUUUUUGGGGUCUCACUUAUCAACCUUUAACUUAUUUCUCCCUUUCUUUAUUGAAGAAAAUUCAGGAUAGAUGCGGUCCUUUAGUCUUUCAUUUUCUCUUUCUCACUAUUUUUCUUUUAUUAUUCUUUUUCUACCAUACCCAGCGUUGCAUUUUUUAUUUUAUUUUACCCUUCUUUAUACUCAUUUUACAUCAUGCACCCCUAUGAUAGCCACCCUCAACUUAAGCGAUUUGCCUAAGUCAAAGUGAACAAGGUCCAAGGAGGACCAGGGCCAAAAUAGGUUCAUUGUGAUACAAGUGGGAAGGUGAUAGGUAUAACAAAAAAAAAUAUACAGGCAUUCAGGCUCAAAAUCAGGAUCAAGGGAUAUUAUUUAAACAUGGAAGGUUAUUUAGGCUAAAAAUAGAGUAAUAUCAAAAAUGGCCUAUGAUUUUUUCUUAACCACUCUCCUACAACCAAGGCAAGACCAGCUGGGAAAGUUCUGGAUUUAACACACAACGAGAACUAUGUAGUAUCUCACAAACGCAUGGCAUAAAGGUACAUCACAAGCUACUACAUAUCUGGUUCAUGCAAUUGUUAGCAAUGAUGAUAAUAUCCCUAAUACCAAUGCCAUAAAAAGAUUCAUAGUAGUCGCAUAUAGAUGCAGAUUACACAAUUACAAAAUAGACAAUUGGAGAGGUAUUUAUCAUUCCUAAAAAUCAACAAAACAAAAAUAUGUCAACUGCCCCAGAUACUUAUUUUUCUCCCAAUUAACCACAACACAUCACAAAACAAAAUACAGUACACCUAAACAUACUAGCUCUACUAGGAACAAGACUCCGGGGAAAAGAAGCACGGCAACAAAAACCCCAAGAGGACAUCAACACCCAUAAGCAGUCUCACCCUCAACUUAAAAACCUGCAUUAUUCCCAAUGCAUCAAACUAAAACAAGAGAGUUAAAAACAUACCCGUGGCACCAUAGGUGCAGAGAUCUGAUGUCAAUCACAUAAUACAAAUACAAAUAACAAAAUACCUUGGGUUGCCUCCCAAGCAUCGCCUGAUUCAAGAUAUCUUGACUACAAAAUCACAUAAAAUAUAAUCAAAAAAACAGUAAUUACUUCAGAACUUACAAUUAUUUUAAGUUAAAAGUCUUAAGUGUGCUAACAGAAGGCUAGCACAUCACCAUACAUGUCCAACAAAACUACAAACUCACUUUACUAAAAGGGGGAAGGUAAUUUCUCAAUAACUUCAACCUUUUCCAAGUCAACUUCGAUUACCUUAGUCAAAAUUUUGUGACACAGAACAAUGCCUUCCUUCACUAUGAUGUGGCAUUUCUCCCAAUUCAGCACUAAGUUAAACUCCUCACAUCUUUGCAAUGCUCUACUCAGAUUUACCAGACAUAGCUCAAAAGAAUCACCUACCACUGAGAAUCCAUCCAUAAACACCUCCAAGGUGUCCUCCACCAUGUCAGGAAUAUAGAUAUUAUGCACCAUUAGAAAGUGUUGGGUGUAUUACAUAAACCAAAUGGCAUCUACUUGAAAGCAAAAGUACCAUACAAUCAAGUGAAUAUCGUCUUCUCCUGGUCCUCUGGAGCAAUAGAAAUCUAGUUACAGCCCAAAUACCCAUCUAAGAAAUAAUACCAUCCUCUUUCUACCAACUAAUCAAGUAUUUUAUCCAUAAAAGGCAUCGAGAAGUGGUCUUUUAGAGUACAUGAGUUGAGAUUAACAUAGUCUAUGCAAACUUUCCACCCUGUCACAGGCCAGAGUAGAAUCAACUCAUUUUUCUUAUCACCACUACAUUCAUGCUCCCUUUCUUAGGCACAUAUUAGAUGGGGCUUACCCACUUACUAUUAGAGAUUAGACAUACAACUCUUGCAUCAAGUCAUUUAAUGAUCUCCUUCUUAACUACUUAUUGUAUAUGUGGGUUAAGGAGACAUUGGUGCUUAAUGGUUGGUGUGCAAUCUUUCUCAAACUGAAUCUUGUGAGUGCAACUACCCAGAUGAAUACCAAUAAUAUCGGCAAUAAUCCAACCUAUAGCCCUUUCAUAUCUCUUAAUCAUAGAGUAAGUGCCUCAACCUGGUGUUCACCCAAAUCCAUAACAAUAAUCGUAGGUAAAGUGUUUUCACUUCCUAGAAACACAUACCAUAGAUGUACAGGAAACUCCUUUAAUUCCAACAUCAAUAGCUCUUCGAUAAAUAACAUAGCCGGUGGUGUUGGGCAAUUUCUUAGAUCUAAAUCUAGCUUCUUAGGAGCGUAUGAAUAGGAUCUCAUUCCUAUAAAAGCACACACUAUCUCUUCAUAUUUCUCUAUACCUUCACCAUCAAAGUUUAUCAAAACUGCAGUCAGAGUUUUCACAGCAAAUUUCUCCUUAAUUGGAACCUCUUGCUCUUCUUCAUAAUAAACAUCAAUGAUUGAGAAUACACUAUCUCCUUGGGUUACUUUAUAGACUGGCACACAUCAAAGCGAACUACCUUAUCAUUAAGUCUGAAUAGUAGCUCAUUAGCCCAUAAAUUAAUAAGCACACUUUUGGUUGUGAGGAAAGGUCUACCCAAGAUUAUGGGAACCUUGAAAUCCACCUUGCAAUCCAAAAUAACAAAAUCUACAGGAAAUAUAAAGUCAUCCACCUUUACUAGCACAUCAUAUAAUAUCCCCACAAGUCGCUUCACUGACUUGUCCGCCAUUACCAAUCACAUAUUUAUGGGUGUAGGGUCCCCUAAACCCUACCUCUUAUAAAUAGCAAGAGGCAUUAAGUUAAUACUCGCUCUGAGAUCAUAUAAGGUCUUAAAAAAUCAAGCGACCCAAUAGUACAAGGGAUGAUGAGAGCUCUCGGGUCUACUUUCUUUUGUAUCAAGGAUCUUAUCGAAAUGGUGCCACAAUGGUAAAGAUUAUCCAUUGGUUUAAUCUUACUAUUCUCUUUUUCAUUACAAGGUCCUUCAUAAACUUGGCGUAUCCCGGUAUCUGCUCCAGUGCCUUCACUAAAGGCACAUUCAUCAUCAACUGCUUUAGCAUUACCAUAAAUUUGUUAAACUUUCUGUCAUCAUCCUUCUUUUUUAAUCGAUAGGGGAAGGGUGGUGGUGGUUUUGAGAGAGUAGUAACUACUGCUUCCUUCUUCUUUUUCUUUUGUUUUUCUAAAUUAUCAACCUGCUGAUAGUUAGAUAUGCCUACAUUUCCAUCCAGAUUCUCAGACUCCACUGGAUGGGUUUUAUCAUCGUCUAUAUCUUCUUUAAUCACAUCAUUAAUUAUAUCUUUGCCCACAAAAGGGCCAGGUAAUACUCUACCACUUCAAGUGGUAACUGCCAUACAAGAGCCAUUAUUCCAAGAUUUUGCAUUGUAUCACUCGGUAAUGUACCUCUCUUCUUUUGAUUAAAUGCUGCUGAGAGUUAGCUCAUCUACUGCUCCAACUAUUUGAUAGAAGUUGAAUAUGAAUUAACUAUCUAACUCAUAGAGGAUAAGUCACUCUUCAUCAUCGUCAACCCAACAUUGGUCACUUCAACUCCCUUUAGUAGCUUCUCCAUCAUGUCCUCUAUGGAUAUUUUUCCUAAACUAGUAGCAGCAUUAUCAUGACUUCCAGGAGGUACAUACAGUCCACUCUUGUCAUUCUUGUUCUUCCAACUCCCUUGGUCUCUAUCUUUGUCUCCAGCUUUGUCGUAAUAGUUCCGACCUUGAUUCCCUUGGCUAUUGCCUCGGAAACCCCCUGAUUAUUUAGAUAGUUGGUUUUUUCCUUAGAAUCAAAACCAGCUCUACUUUAUGACCCAACAGCUUUUACCUUCUCAGUCUUCCCAAAUAGUAAAUGUUUAGUAAGUAGAUCCAUCUAAGUUUUCAUGUGUGCCAUAUCUUGGUCACGUUCCUCCUUUAUCUGGCAUUGCUCUGUAGACAUACCACUAGACAUAGUAGGGCUUUCUACCACAGAAUCCCUAUUAUGCCAAGGUCUACAUGUCUUAGUCAACCUCUCCAACAUAUCUGCAGCCUUAGUGAAUGUAAGCUCCAUGAAUGCUUCUUCUGCUGCAUUUUCUACAGUUGUUUUAGUAAUGGAGUUUAAAGCUUUAUAGAAUGUAGCCAUCAAAUUCUCAUAGGUCAUCUUGUGGUUGGUGCACUAUGUCAGCUUCUUCUUGAAUCAUAACCAAGUCUCAUUUAGUGCCUUGUUUUGUAAUUAUCUGAAAUUUCUAAUCUCGUCCCUCAACUUUAACAUCCUAGAGGGCAAAAAGAACCUUUCUAGAAAAUUUCAUUUCAUUUGCCUCCUAUUUAUUAUAGAAUCAGGCGCUAAUUUAUUCAACUACAGAGUUGUCUCCCCAGACAAAUACAAUGGGAAUAGAUGCAGAUGGAUUACAUUCUGUCUAACUCCAGGAUUGUCAAAAUAUUUGCAGAUGUUGAUAAAAUUCACCAAAUGCAUAGUUGGGUCAUCUCCUGGAACUCCACUAAAUAACCCUUUCAGGUUUAUAAGUUGUAUCAUGGUGCUAGUAAUGUUGAACUUGACACCUAGUGAUAAUGGUGGCGGAAUAAUUGCUCCUGUAGCACCAACUUCGUCUAGGUUAGCAUGAUCUUCAUCAUUAAAUGCAAACUGCAUAGUGGGUUGAUGGUUUUCUCUCUUUUUAACAAGUCGGUUCCGAUUUACUGGUGUAGCUAUAUUCUCAGCACGCCUUCUUUUUACAGGCUCAAUCAGAUCAUCAUCCCUUAAGUAAUCAUUAUCAGGAUUAGGCACCCAACCUGGGUUAUCAGUAUUUAGUUGAUUAAGUUGUGCAUUAUCCAAAGAAGCUAAUCUCUCAGCUUCUUGUUAGUCAGCCAUUCUACCGAUCAAAUGAGGUUUUGGAUCAAAAGGUAAUAGUGGUUCUCUUAACCUUCAGUUUCGUGACAUAUACAAUAAAGAAUCUGUAAAAAUCAAAAACAACAAAGAAACAUAAAAUUUAGAAAACUCUAACUAUCAGUUAAUUAUCACAGAUAUACUCAAUUAACGACCGUAUUCCCCGGCAACGGUGCCAAAAUUUGAUACGCCCAAAUUACACCUCUUACAAAAGAUUAAAUGAUUGUCAUCAAAUAUAUAACCCAACUAGGUUGGGGUCGAAUCCCACAGUGAAUAUGGUGUUAAUUAAUCUUAUUCAUGAUUCAAUCGACUAAUAGCUAAUAGCUUUUUAUAAAUGAGGGUUUUUAGAGAUUAAACAAAAGUUAUUGUUCACUUUGUUUUAAUAGCUUGCAACUAAGAUUUUAGUGCUUCAAAUUAAUGUUAGGAAAAAACUAGAGUUGUGUUCACUAUGAGUAUUGACACUUGAUAUACAUUAGUUGUAUCUCAAGAUUCUUAUGACAUGUAGGAACAACAAAUUAUCAUUAUCAAUGCUCUAUCUAAAUGUCUCUCGACCUAUUUAGAUAUUAGAUUACCUAAUUCUUUUGAACUUAGGAAAUCUGUAUACUUAACAAAAUCUUAUCUCGAGUUAAUUAACCUUGCUACAUCAUUAAUCAUCAAAUGGAAGUUUAAUGCUUCCAAAUCCCCAUUGAUAAUUUACUUCCUAUUAAAUUGAUUUCUUACUUUAAGCAAACCAAUAAUCAGGUCUAAUCUAUUGUUUGCAACUAAUAGACAACAUGCACAAUAGAAAAAUUAUCAAGGAGUUCAUAAGGCUUUGAGAAUCUUAAUCAACUAAUGAAUUCACAAGUAAAAACUCAUAGAUCCCGCAACUUAGGUUAAAAGAAUUAGUUCCUUAUAAUAUAGGAAGAAACAGCAUAUGUUGAAUUCAUAAUUCAGUAGUAGCUAACUUACAAACGAUAAAGAUAUAUGAUCGUUCUUUCUUCUAAAUCACAAGAGAAUUCUCAAAACCAUAAUAAUAAUCCCAAAAACUUAAUUCAAAAAUUCAGAGAAAAAGUAUCAAAAAGUAAAUGUUUUGAAUAAGUUCAAGAUGAUACUGGAAACCUAAGAUAUUUUCCUUAAAUACUUAAGAGAUAAUUUUGGAUUCAAAAUUCAAAUCUCAAAAAAUUCGCUCCAUAGCUAACGACAUGGGAUGACGGCUUAUCACGGGGUUGACGACUUAUCAGACUAAGUCAUCAACCUUUUUUUCCAAUUCCUACUCACUGCUUGCAUGCGAUAACCUGGGUUGAUGUCCUAUUACACAGUUGAUGACCUAUCUGACUAGGUAGUCAACUCUUUUCUUCAGUUCUUUCAUACUGUCUUUUGUUGAUAAAUCCUUUUGAUGACUUAUCAAAUGGUCGACGUCUUAUCAGAGAAGUCGUCAACCGAAAUAUUUCUAUCUACCUUAUAAAAAUUUGUCCUUCUUGACUCAGUUAUCAUAGGAUUUUCAUGCAUCUUGACUUACCGCAAUAUCAUAUAGAAUCUAAUCAAAAACGACAAAAAUUACAUAGGAACUUAUAAUUAUUUUGAGUUAAAAACAUUAAAUAUUCUAGCACAAAGCUCUCACAUUAGUUAGAUGUUGGGGUGGCUUUUUCCAUUGUAGACAGCAAGUAGGUGAGCCCCUUUCAAUGCGUGACAAAGAAAGGAAAAUCAUAGUGGUUCUAAAUAUGAAGAAUGAAUUAGUACCAAUAAGGCCAGUGACCGAUUAGAGAGUAUGCAUGGUCUACAGAAAGCUGAAUAAGCGAACAAUAAAAAACCACUUCCCUGUGUUGUUCAUGGAUCAGAUGUUGGACAAACUAGCAAGAUCGGGUUGGUACUAUUUUCUUGAUAGGUACUUGGGGUAAAAUAAAAUCAUGAUUUCUCUGAAAUACCAAGAAAAUACUACCUUUUCUUGCCCCUAUAGGACCUUUGCAUUCAAGAGGAUGUUGUUCGGACUAUACAGUGUGCCUGUAACUUUUAAAAGAUAUAUGAUGUCCAUAUUCUCCUACAUGGUGAAAGACACUAUUAAAGUAUUCAUGGAUGACUAUUAAGUGGUUGGUAACUUAUUCCAUGACUAUUUGGCCCAUUUAGAUAGUGCACUAAAGUGAUGUGAAGAGUGCAACUUGGUACUAAGCUGGGAAAAAUGCCACUUCAGUGUAAGGUGGACAAGAUCUCCAAACAUAGUAUUAAGGUGGACAAAGUAAAUAUUGAUGUAAUUGAGAAGUUGCCACUGCCAGUGUUAUUUAGAGGCAUACGAAGUAUUUUGGGUUAUGCAGGCUUUUAUAGGAGGUUCAUCAAGGACUUCUCUAAAAUUACAAGUACCCGAAGCAAGCUUUUAGAGAAGGAGGUAAAAAAAAUUCGAAGAUGAUUGUCUCAAGGAUUUCAAAUACUUAAAGGAACAAUUAAUUUUGGCGCCCAUCAUUGUGUUUCCUGACGAGUCUACACCUUUUGAGGUAAUGUCUGAUACGAUUGGAGUGGCCUUGGGUAUUGUCCAAGGCCAAAGAAGACAAAAUAUCUUUAAUUUCAUCUACUAUGCUAACAAAGCUAUAAACCCCACAUAGAAAAUUAUACAGUUACAGAGCAGGAGCUACUUAUAGUUGUUUUUACUUUUGAAAAUUUUGGUUCUUAUUUGAUUAGGACUAAGGUUAUAGUGCACACUGACCAUGCAGCCUUGAGGUACUUUAUUUCAAAGAAAGAUGCCAAACCUAGAUUAAUUCAUUGGGUUCUCUUACUGCAGGAGUUUGAUUUUGAAAUACAGGAUCAAAAAAGAAAAGAAAAUCAAGUUUCUGACCACUUGUCCAGACUUGAGGAGGAGAACAUACAGAAAUUGGGGGAUAAACUUAAGAUACAUGAUGUUUUUCCUGAUGAGUGAGUGUUGGCGGCAUCUCAAGACUUGAUUCCCUGAUUUACUAAUUUUGCCAACUAUUUAAAAAGCGAUCCUAUCCCAGAAGACAUAUCCUUCUAGCAACAAAAAAGAUUUAUGAAUGAUGUAAGGAAGUUCUUUUAGGAUGAGCCAUAUUUAUUUAGGAUUUGCGAUGAUAGUGUAAUUCAGAUAUGCAUUCCAGAGGUAGAGAUGAUAAGCAUUUUGGAAGCUUUUCAUUCAUCACCAAUUGGGGGUUACCAUAGUGGCACACGGACGACCCACAAAAUUCUACAAUGUGGGUUUUAUUGGCCUUUAAUUUACAAGGAUGCUCAUGAUUUUUUAAAAAACCUGUGAUCAAUGUGAGUGUCUAGGCAAUAUUUUACGGCACCAGGAACUCCUCAUACACCUAUUCUAGAGUUGGAGUUAUUUGAUAUGUGGGGGAUUGAUUCCAUGGGCUUUUUUGUGAGCUCCUAUGGCAUGAGACACAUUUUGGUAGUGGUUGACUAUGUGUCAAAAUGGGUGGAGACAGUUGCCACUUCUAUAUAAUGAAGGUAUAGGAGUCACUGCCUUUUUGAAUAAAAAUAUUUUUUCUCAAUUUGGCACGCCACGUGCGAUUAUCAGUGAUGGUGGGUCAAACUUUUGCAAACUCUUGAUAAAAGCACUUCUUGAUAAUAUGGUGUAAGGCAUAAGGUGGCAACACCUUACUAUCCUCAGAUUAGUAGGCAAUUAGAAGUCUCUAAUAGAGAGAUAAAGUCCAUAUUAGCAAAAAUUGUGACUGCCAACAGGACUGUGAAACACCUGAGAAUGUGGCCUUGCAAAAAUCUUUGGUUGAUUUGUAGUGAUCAUGAUAUGUAUGUUGUGUUGUAUCCUUGUAGUGUUUUGUUUCUAACUUGAGUAAAUAUUUAUUUGGUUUAUGUUGAGGUGUUAACUUGUAUAUGUACUUACCUAUAAAAGUGGGAGAGAAUUGAGACACUUACACCUUGGACCAUUUGGAAAAAAAUAACCUUUUUGUUUCUCUGGAGUGGAUACGGUUGGGGUGCUUGAGUCAUAUCCUAGGUCAUGACUCGUACCCUUCUCCCUCUUCCAUUUUGUAUCCUAGAUAGUAUGUUAGGGUAAUGUAUAUCCUUCAUACUACAAGUCCAUUCCUUGGUCAUAACCAAUACAUAUGAGUCAUAUACUACUCAACCAUUUAGAGUAAAAUCUCAAAGUGUGUAGACUAUUUUGUUCAUGAGCGGAGCUCAUGAUUGGGCCAUGAGUUGUACCCUUGUUACAACUCAAGGGUUCCCUUUCGUACCCACAAUAGUAUGGUUGACCUAGGAAGAGCCCAGGUUAUGAGUUAGGGUACCACUCUCACCCUAGGUCAUGAUUGCCAAGUGAACCAUAAAGGGGAGUUGUACCUCUAUACGUGUGGGCUUUUCAGCCUUUAACCAAGCUCAUUUUGUUCAUUUACCAUGCCUAAAACCAUAAAAUUAAGUCUUCAUUUACAAGACUCAAAAACUCAUAAACACUCUAAAGGCUCUUCAAAGUAAGAUUGGAGGCUAGGGUUUGGAGGUGCUCUCCUAGUGGUAAGAAAGAGUGAAGAUUGUUGGUGUGUCAUAUUUUUUAAGGCAUGUAUCUCUUCCCCUUUCUAAAUAACUCUAAACCCAUGCAUUUCAUACUUGAAUUAGUAAGUAUACAUGGUAGUUUUGAAUCAAAUGAAAAGGGUUUUGUUACUUAACAAUGAAUAAUGAUGAUUCAUGCUCGUACUUGUGUUGAUUCAUGUAUUUGAUGGUAGUUUGUAUAUAUGGGUGCUUUUUGUAUGUUAUUUAACAUAAGGUUCUUGAGUAACCCUAUUUUUGAUGAUUUCUACCAUGAAAAUGACCUUGACAAAUGUAUGAACACAAUGUGUUUGUGAAAAUAUCUACGUGAAAUGACUAGUUGUAUGAUUGAUAAUGUGUUAAGCUAAGGCAAUGGACUAAAUGAGUAUGAAUGAUUAUUGAAUAAAAUUGUAAAAAGUAUUAUGAGUCAUGUAUUAUGAAAUCCAUAACCUUAUUGGUUAAUGGUUAAUAAGAUGGUGAAACCCUAGGCAAAAUAAUAAGCUUAAGUUGUGUAUUGAACCAAGUGGGGUAAAAAUAUGAUUAAACAUUGCUAAUGAAAGGUGAAUAGUUUGUAUAGAUCAUAAUGACCAUAACUUGAAUUGUGUGAUGAAAUAAUUUAAGGCAUUAGCCUAUUAAAAUGGUUGAGCAAUGAAGGCCCUCAUGAGGGCCAUAUGAUCAUGUAAAGGGUUGAAUUUGGUUAAAUGCGAUACAGCCCUUAUGAGUGGUAUUGAGAGUAUAUGAAUGCUUGGUAAAUAGUUGGUAAAGGACUUGUUGGCCACAUGAUGACUAAAUACAGAUCCUUGAUGAUUGGUUGACUAAAUGGUAAUAGUCCAUAAAGUAUGAACUCGAAUUGUGUUUGAAUAAAAUGUGCAUAUAAGAUUAACAAGCAUGAAUGAUUGUUGGUAGGAGUCUUGAUGACCAUAAAUGAGCUUGCAUUGUGUUAUGAACUAAGGCCUUGGUCCUAACCAUGUAAGCACUGUCCAAAUGGGUCGGUAUAGAUUAUGUAAUGGUCUAUGGUGUUGAUGUGUAACCUUGAUGGCUUGAAUGCCUUGAUAUGGGUUGAGUUUCUAUAUGACGAAUCUAAUGGGUGCUAGUAUGUUUGUAGUGAUGUGUUGGUUUAUGGGCCAAGUCUUCUUACCAUAUAAGGAGUGUUGGUUUGUGGUCCAAUUUUGCUUACCAUAUAAGGCAUGUUGGUUUGUGGUCCAAGUUUGCUUACCAUAUAAGGUGUGUUGGGUUAUGGUCCAAGUCUGCUUACCAUAUAAGAAGUGUUAGUUUAUGGUCCAAGUUUGCUUACUAUAUAAGCCGUGUGGAUUUGUGGUCCAAGUCCUCUUACCAUAUCAGGAGUGUUAUUUUGUUGUCCAAGUCCGCUUACCAUUCAAGGCAUAUUGGUUUAUGGUCUAAGUCUGCUUACCUUACAAGAUGUGUCAGCUCAAGUUUUAUGUCCCAUUACCUAUUGUAGCAUAAUAGAUUCUAUUCGUCUAAAAUAUAAGGGUGGAGGGUUGGUAGCCCAUCACCCCAUAUCUCAUGAAUGAAUGCAUUAUAAAUGCAUAUUGCGACUUAUUUUAUGAUUUGACUUGUUGUAUACUAUAUGUAUAUGUUUCUUUAAUAUACCUCUUCUUAUAUAAAUGUGAUCACCUAUGAUGUAUUGACAUAGAUUUAAACAAAUGUAAUAUUUUCUCCUUAUCCUUGAGUUACAUGCUAGCAUUCUGAUAUGCCCAAAUUACACCUCUCUUACGAGAGAGUAAGUGGUCGUCGUCAAAUAUAUAACCCAACUAGGUUGGGGUCGAAUCCUACAGGGAAUAUAGUGCUAAUUAAGUUGUACGCAGAUUAGUUGACUUUUAAUCAUUCAUUUCCAUAAAAUAAAUAGGGGGAUUUGAUUAAGUUCACAAAUUAAUGGUUUCAGUUUAACAAGAUGAAAUACGUGUAGUAGUAUUCAAAUUCAUAGAAAUAGCAAGCUAGGGUUAUGUCCACCUUGUAGUUUUCAAUACUUUCUAACUAUGGUCUUUACGAAUUCAUACAUGCAUCAUGCUUACAAAGAAACGUAUUGUAUUUAAUAACAUAAUGCUAGUGUUUCUCAACCAUCAAGGACUAACUAACUUUAGUUCUCUCGAAUCAAAAGUGUUUACCAAAAAUAAUACGAAAUCUCCAAGUAUUUAAUCCUGUUAAGGCAUUAAUAUAAGAAAUAAGGGUUGGAAAUCCUAUUUUCUUGUCACUACUCUCUUUUUCGAAUAUCAACCUUUCUUUCGAACAAGUUGUGCUUUAAGGCAUAUCCUCUAUGUUUGCAACCAUGAGAAUUCAAGAUAAGCGAAGAGAGUAUGAUGUAAACAAAUUAAUGCAUAAUGAAUUCAAAACCCAAAGUGAUCGAUUGUAUGGUACAAGGCUUCCAUAACUCUAACUAAUAAACUUUGCUACUCAUGAAUAAAACGAAAAUCAUCAUAAGUAUAUUCAUCAUACCAAAAACUAGAAGAAGAUCUUGGUGUGCGAAUAGGGAAAACAAGAGAAAAAUGUUUCUCUCUCUCUCCUCAAGCUAAGACGCCUUUUUCCUCUCCCAAAAAAAAUACAAAAUAAUCAAUAAUGAAUAAAAAUUCAGCAUUAUGCCUUUUAAUAAUCUUUUCUCUCAUAAUUGCCUUAUAAGUCCCUGAACUAAUUAUAAAUGACCAACUAGUCUUGUACAUAGUUUCUAGGCGCCACAUUUGGUCCAGACUGCUACUCUCUCUUGUGUCAUAUGCCAUCCAUACUCCAUAGUCCCAUUAUGUCUUCAUCUACUUCAUUAAUGCCUGAAAUCAUGCUAAUCACAUCGGUUAGCUCAAUUACAUAGAAGUAGAGUAAAAACAUAAGAAACUAGACACUUUGUUCUCUAAACUUAGCUAAAAUAUGGAUAGGUUAUGGUGCUUAGGCGUAUAAAUACACCCAAUAUCACCACCCCACACUUAAAUCUUUGUUCGUCCUUGAACAACAUAUCCAUUUAUGCAUACUACACAAGCCUUAGCACCCACAAAGGAAUACAUGAUGCUCAAAUAGGCGCACACAACAAUUAUGAAUAAGAAGUAGAUUCAGGAAUCAUUACUAGAGACAACCUACCCUCAAGAAUAGACUCAUUAAGUUAGCAAUUUCAUGCAUACCGUUUAAGUAAAGAAAUCAUAAAAAUUACCCAACUUUCAUCAACCAUGUGCCCUCACAACAAGAAAGUUAUCCAUAAUCACUCACAAUCAUGCAAUUUUCUACAAAAUGGUUACGAGAAUCAAGUUGUGCUCACUCUCACAAAGAAUUCUCAAAUUACAACUGAUGACCAUAUGCUGGCCCUUAGUGUAAUACUCCACUAAUAUCAGAAUGCUAAGAUUAAGAUCAAGUAGGUCUUUUACGGGUUGUAAUACAGGCUAAAGGAUGGGUAGGAACUAUUUUAGCCAGAAAUAAUGACUAUCUUCCCUAAGAGCUUUAAUACACUACAUUAUGUAAUUAAGACCAAUCUCUAACAACCAAUUUCCACUUCUACUAUCUUCACAGAUUUGCUUUUCACCCCAACUCGUUAAGCUCAAUUAAUAACGCUAUGGUGGGAGUAUGCAACCCUUUUAAAUUUUUUUUUACACCUUUUUCAUGUAACGUACCCCUAUAAUAGCCACCCUUAACUUAAGCAAUUUGCCUUAGUUAAGGUGCACAAUGUCCAAGAAGGGCCAGGGCCAAAACUGGUUCAUUAUAAUAUGUCCGAGAUAAAAUUUGGAACUUUUUUCAACAAUUUUGCUACUCCCAACCACAUCAAUUUCACACGCCAAUAACUAGACUUUGGGGCAUCAAUUUUACUUUUUUCAUCUAAUUGUCAAACUCCUAACUCAAAUUAAUUUUACAUUAAAGCUCUUAGGAGCUUUUGGAUCAAAUUACGGUCUAUUAAAGAACUAAAUAGGCUACAUAUGAGGCUAAAAAAAGAACAAGAUAAAGGCUUAAUGGGGCUAGCUAAUAUAAUGUACAAAGGUAUUUCAAAAGAAGGUAUGAACCAUGGCUAUCAAAUAAAUGCCUAAAUCAUAUCCUAAACUCAUAAUCUUUAUUUUGCUUUGCAAACACACCAGGCAAGUUCUAGCAUCAGCUGCAAUAAGAAAUAUACAACAUUCUUACACACUUAGGGUACAUGAUCAACUCAAUUAGGAGCAUUAUAGAUUCUCGAUCCAAUAAUUACAUAAAUUUAAAUAAAACCAACAAUCACAACAAGAGUCACAACUAGAGCCUAGGUGUUUCAAACUUAAUGAUCCAUCACAUACUUAUGUUAUAAUGUCAUGUGAUCCACAAGAAUAGUUAUAUGCAAUUAAAUGACUAAUUUUCUCUUAAGACGGUCGUCAUCCAUCCAUCACCGAGAAAAAUACCUAAUUAUGACUAAAUAGAAUAAACAUCUAACAAGAAACAAAAUAAACAAAAUAACUAAUCCUAUCACAGAAGAAUGCUAAGGAAAAGGUACUAUUUUCUUACAAAACAAGUAGCUAAGUAACCAGCCACCCCACACUUAGGAUAAGCAUUGUCCCCAGUACAAAUAACAAGAUAAAGAACCUGGCUAGUAGAACUCUCAUCCUCAUUAGGAGUCAUGCCACCUGCGUUGAGAUCAUCAUCAACGCACAAUUCAUGUAGCUAGUGUAUCAAAGCGCUUAGAGAGGUUAGUCACUAUUCCCAAAUAGUUUCAACCCGUCCCUUAAGCCACAUUACAAUCCAAAAAAGACCUAAUUGAUCCUAAGAUUUACAUUCGACUAUUAGUGGAACAUUACACUAAAGGCAGGCCAAUGGUUCAUUGUGUGUAACUUGUGAAUUCUUUUUGAGAGUGAGUGAUAUUUGAUUCUUGUACCCAUCAUAUUAUGAAUUGCAUUAUUACGAGUGAUUAUGGGUAACUCUCUUGUUGUGAGGGGCACAUGUUUGAUGAAUAUGGGUGAUAUAUAUGAUGUCCUUGAUUGAGAAAUAAGCAUGAGUUUGCCAGUAGGUGAGUCAAUCCUUGAGGCUAGGAUAUUUGGAGUUGUGUUCAUGAGCUAUCAAUUGUGUAAAUAACAUGCUUUGUGUAGAAACUUGCAUUCCGUGUAGUCAUUGUACUACUAGCUUGAGUGUCUUUAUUUUAGUAGAAACGUAGCGUCAUCUCAUCUCUUUAUGCUUAGAGUAAAGAGUUGUUCGAAGACGAACAAGGAUUUAAGUGUGGAUACAUGGAUAACUUGGGAAAAUUGGGUUACAUAUUAUUUUUGGUCAAAGGGUGCUUGGACAAUAUAUAUAUCACACGGAUUGGACAAGAUGGGGAUAGAUGGGAACAAUAUACGGUGGAAACGGUGUGCUUCUACACUUUUCAGGUUUAUUAUUUUUUUAUUUAUCUUUUAAAUUUUCAUAACAUGUAUUCAAAUAUUUGGAUUGCGAUUAUGAAUAUUAUUGGCUAAAAAAACCCCUCUUUUUGGGGUAAAAGCCAAGAACAUGAGUACUAUUAUUUUGAAUUAAUUUUUCUUAUCAUAUUUGGUUGUUUGUUUAUUUUAUUUUAAUUAUUUUAAGGAUUUGCGACCCUUAGAAUACAUAUAUUAUCGACCUUUUGAUCUCGGGAGAGGGAAUAGGGAGAUAGAACAUGGGAAUAAACAAAGUUUGAGUUUUUAUUCUUUUAUAAAAUAAAGAAUUAAACUUAGCAUCUAAGACAGGGAUGUACUUAGAUGCCUUACUUGAUUCAUACGUAGAAUGAUAGCUUUAAUUCACUUAAUUGAAUUAUUACAUCCCCGCUCAAUGAUGUAGUUGUAAUGUCCAUGUUAGGUAAAAGAUUAGAGGUUGGGAAACCAUGAUCAUUCAAUUAACCCUACGAAUCAACAACCAAGAUAAGCAAAUUGACGAAUGAAAUUUAAUACAUAGUAUGAUUAUUCGAAGUGCUUUAACCUUGGGCUUUUCUCCAUUGAUUUUCUCAAGUAUUUUAUUUUACGCAUUAUUUAUGUUAUUUUUAAUUUACAAAAAUUACAAAUUCUUUCUUUGGUUACUUUUGCGCUAAAUUAAUCUAGACUGUGAACUAAAAUUAAAUCAUUGUUAAAUCGAGUCUCUGUGGGAUCGAUACUUGGUUUUAAUUAGGCCACUUUACUAAUUGGUAGACCACGUACACUUGUGUGUGGUCUUGGACACUGUCAUGUGGGUUAACACAAAGUUGCAGACUUUGUGAUUGGUGGUGAUGGUAUCGUGAGAUACCAAGGUAGGCUAUGUGUUCCCAACGUCGAUGGAUUGACAGAAAAGGUCUUGGCCAAGACUCAUAGAUCUUGUUAUGCCAUUCAUCCCAGUUCUACCAAGAUGUAUCACAACUUUAGAGAGUUCUAAUGGUGGAGCAAUAUGAAAUGUGAUAUGGCUAGCUAUGUGGUCAAGUGUAUGGUGUGUCAACAAGUGAAAGUUAAGCACAUAUGGCACGGUGGAUUGUACCAAGAGAUUGUGUUUCUCGAAUGGAAGUGGGAGGCAAUUAAUAUGGAUUUCGUUACUGGUCUUCCUAGAUCUAAAAAUCAAUAUGAUUCUAUUUGGGUCAUUGUUGAUAGAAUGACCAAGUCUGUUCACUUCUUGCACGUAAGGACAAAUUACUCCACAAAAUAUUAUGCUAAGUUGUAUCUUGCGAAGAUCGUGAAGUUUUACGGUGCUCUGGUUUCUAUUAUCUCAAACCAUGGUCCUUCAUUUUCAUUCCACUUUUGAAAGUCUUUCCAAAAGGGUUUGGGUAUUAGAGUAUGCCUUAGUACCGCUUUCCAUCCACAAAUAGAUGGAAAGUGAAAAGAACCAUCUAAACAUUGGAGGAUAUGUUGCGGACUUGUGUGAUUGAUUAUGGUGGUAGUUGGUAUGACCUUUUUACUUUAAUUGAUUUUGCCUAUAAUAAUAGUUACUACUCUAGUAUUGGCAAGGCCCCUUAUGAGGCAUUGUAUGGUAGGAGAUGUUGAUCUCCUAUUGGGUGGUAUAAAGUUUGCAAGGGUAAGUUAUUUGGCUCUGAUUUAGUUCACUAAGACUUAGAGAAGGUGAUUUUUGAUAGGUUGAAGACCUCUCAAAGUCACCAAAAGUCCUAUGCGGAUGUGAGACGUAGGGACUUAGAGUUUAGUUUUGGUGAUUGAAUAUUCUUGAAAGUGUCUCCCAUGAAGGGAGUGAUGCAGUUUGGUAAAACAGGAAAGGUUAGUCCCCGAUAUAUUGGUCACUACUUGAUUGUGAAGAAGGUUGGUAAUUUUGCCUGUGAGUUGGAGUUGCCUUCUAGUAUGAACUCCAUUCACUCGGUUUUCCAUGUCUCUAUGUUGCAUAAAUGUAUGGGUGAUCCAUCAUUGGUUAUUCCUUGAGGUAUGUUGAUAUCUCUGACUCUUUGUCCUAUGAGGAGAUCACGAUAAGGAUCUUGGAUUAGAAAGUUUGUCAAUUGCAAAUGAAAGAGGUGGCUUCAGUGAAGGUUCUAUAGAGGAACCAAAAGUCUGAAGAAACUACGUGGGAAGCGGAAGAGGACAUGAAGUCCAAUUAUCCGUAUUUUUUUCCUAUUUUAAAAACUUGGGAUGGAGGUAUGUGUUGAUCUAUUUUCUUUGAUUUAUGUCUUUUAAAUAGAUAGACCAGAUGAAUACUAAGAGUUAAAAAUAAACCAAUAACCCACACUUGUCCACAAAAUCCUCUAACACCAAAAUAUCAACAAAGUCAAGAAGUCUAUGACAAAAGUAUCCAAAAAGAAACACUAAGUGAAUAAAAAAAUCAGUAAAAUAACAAGGCCUUCCGAAAGAAUGGAGGCUCACCACUUCACAGUAGAUGCACAGGAAUACUAAAUCACCUAAUGUUGCACAUAGACUACAAAAAAUCAUUUGGAUCCUACAUCAUAAAAUGAUGUAGUGUAUAGGGACAGUCAGUGGGAUAAGCAUUGACGUGUAACUCAGAAAAAGUGAUAAAAAAAUGCCAAGGCCAAAAAAUAGUCAAAAUCAUAUGCACAAUAAUUAUAUACAUAUAUAAAAUGUCAAGAUAGGGACAAUAGUCAUGAACAUGGGAGUGUAAACCAUUAACCUGAACUAUGUAGCUCGCUCUAUCCUAAAGGCUUCCAAGGACUAUAUGGGUUCAGCUCCACCUGUUGAAAAGACCCUAGUGCGUGUUAGUCGCACGAACCAAGGAAUAUGAAAAAGGGACUAAAGACACCAAGGCUCUAUCCAUUCAAAAAAUAUAAUAUGUGAACCAAGCACAUGAUCAUAUAGGCUCACACGCCGAUAAAAUAUAAUGUGUUAACCAAGCACACGAACAUAUAGACCCUCACGCCGAUAAACGUGAUUUUUAGUGUUAAUCCCCCCGAAAUAUACCUUCACAAUGAGCUACAUAAUUCAUUUUAAGCCCAAUUUAAAAUAAUUUGCACAUAAACCUAACGAAAACCCAGUAGUCUUAUAUACCACUUGGUAUGUUAUACCAAUUAUGCUUGCAAGCUCAUAUAAUCAUGACAAACCAAUUUAUGUAUCUGUUUGAUUCCCAAGUUUCCUUUUAAAAUCUAAACCAUGGUCAUCAAGGGUCUUUCAAAUCCAUUUUAACUAAUUAUAAAUUAACGCAAUGCAAUGAGUUCGUAAAUAAGUUGAAUCAUGCAAUUUUCUAUGUUCAUAAACCAAACUGACAAAGUGGGUUGGGGUUAAUGCCAUUUACCAAGCCAAAAAAAUCAUCAAUUUGGGAAAACCCAUAUUCCCCAUUUCAAUUCCCAUAACAAUGCACUCAUUCAGUCCAAAAACCCUAAAUUUUAAUCAUAAAUCAUCAAUUUUAAAUCAUGGAAAAAAUUAUUCAAGUGAUACCACUCAAAACCCCUCAAUCCAAUUUCAAACCAACAAUUCAAAACACGUGGAUAAUGAUUAAAGAAAUGUCAUAAUGUAAAACUAAAAUUUGGGAAUGAGAUAUAUGCCUAAAAUACAUAAGAAAUUAAAGACAAUUUGAAAUUUGAAGCUCGGAUCAUGAAUUCACUUAAAAAACCCUUGAAUGUUCUUGCAUUUUGAGUUAGAGAGAGAAAGAAAAUGAUUUGAUCUUUAAAAACUAAAGAAAAUGAGGCUAUUUUAUGUUUAAAGGUCAUACAAGGGGUAAAAAAAAAAAAGUCCCUCACCCCAAGUGAAAAAAAAUAAAAAAUGAGUGUUUUUAACACAGCAGCAUGGCACGCCAAUGUCAUACCCGAUUUUAACUUAAGAUUAAAACAAGCACGACAUUAUGAACUCUAAAAAGAAUUAAUUUAUACAGAAUCACCACCUAAUUUUUAAGAAAAAUAACGAAUAUAUUUAUUUAUUAACAAGUAUGACUUUAUCUAAUCUACGAAAACAAAUUAGAUUCUAGACAAGGGUUCAAAUUAUUCCGAAGAAAAUGGAUUAGGUAUCCUUUAGAAUUCACAAAUGUGGUUCCCGGUCAAAAUUAGCUUUAUUAAAAGAGGAAAAGAAAAAAUCAAUGUUUGUAAAUAAAGAUAUAAAAUAUGUAUUGAAAUAAUAUAAAGUGUAUGCUAUCGUAAACCAAAAAUAUAUAAAUAUGCAUGUAAAGACAAGAUUGAAUAAAGAAAAAGACUACACAAUAUUUUUUAAUGUAAAAAGUGUGAAUUAUUUGAUUAAAUAUCUAAAUAAAUUUUAAUAUACAUAUUAAUGGCCUAAAUUUGCCUAAACGCGUGAUGGUUACUGUGUAAGUAAAAACACCCCCAUCCGACGCCCCAAAAUAAAAUUUUCACCAUGAAUGAUAUUUAUACAAGUAUAAGAAAUAAAAAGUACAAACACAAAAUUUAAAACUCUUAUUUGAAUGUCAUUCUUGAUAAGUAUUCUCAAUAACCUCUAUAAACACUUGUACUAAAAAUAUUAGUAACGAAUAAAUAAUUAUCAAAUGAAUUGAGAAGGUAUGUUCGAAUAUAUAUAAAAAAAAUAUAAUUUUUGUUAGAAACGUGGGCUCGGAUAAAGUUUUAAAAUAUUACAAAAAUUUUGUCAUCGCCCUAAUUUAUUUAUUUUUAUUACGUAUUUGUAUACACAAUAUUCGUCUUUUUAUUUGCGGAUGCCUCAAAAAUUAACGAAAAAUUCCUUCAUCAGCCAACUAGUAUAGUAUUUAUCCGUUAUCAGUAUAAUAAAUGAAAAAGCAAGAAAAAAAAAUAUCCAAAAUAGUUUAAAAAUUAUCCAAAUAGUAGCAAAGUAGAAGGAUUGUCAAAGUAAUCUUAUCAUCCAUAGGAUAACAACGGAAUUUAGCAACAACACAUUCAACACGGAGAUAGCCAAAAGAGCAAAACAAUAGCAAUAAAUAUCACAGGGCAGCAAGCAAAACUUAGCAAAAGAAAAGAAAAGAAAUUGUAAAUACAAUUAACAAGGUUAUGAAAAAAAUAGUGAAAACAGUGGAGCUUAUCAGUUUUAACAAAGCUUCACCGGAGAAUAAAAACUACAACCAGAUCUGCAAUAAAUGAGGGAGGGAAACAUUGCUUCUACGGUGAAUGUCGAAAAUACAAUAAACAACCAGAUCUAUAAAAUCAUACCCAUCCGGUUCAACCAAGAAAAAAGUAGAUUCAGCAUGAAAAAAUUCUAGCAAAGUUGAAAAUUUUUACUUCCCCUUUUCUAUCAGUUAAUAAAUAUAUGCUUUAUGAUAAAAGAAUUUCAUAAAAUAGGUUGUCACACUGCUUUCCUGCUCUCUUUCUUGAAACCAGCAAAAUUAUCUACACAUAAUCAAAGAUUAAUGAGAUUUUUUUUGCUGUUAAUAAACUCAGAGAGAUGGAGUAGUAAUUAAAGAAAAAAUAAGCAUAGCAAAAUGAGGGUGAAUGGAAAUGAUGCAGUGACGGCAUUUAAGGAGCUUCGUCAAUCACCUCCUCUGGCGAAGGAAUGGCAAAAACAAGGGAUGAAAGACGGUUGGAUGUGCUUAACCGGAGGCCCAUCUGUCGGUGACCAACUCCGGUGAGUCGUGGCCAAAAAUAAGGGAGAAGGGGAAGGGGAAGGAGGUUAAUGGAGACGCGACGGCCGAUGGGAUUAGAGUGGUGGACAGCGGUGGCUGUGGGUGGUUGACUACCCAACGCCAUAGAGGAUAAAGAAAAGAAGAAGGGUGGGAAGGGGUGGCGCUCCAGGCUAUAGGUGGCUGGUUCGGUAGGAGUGGUGGUCUUGAUGGAUCUCACCGGUCAUCACCUCUAGCGAAAGGUGACAGAAAUAAAAAGAGGAAGAGAGGAAGAGUGGUGCAGUGAUUGUGGUAUUCGUACAACGUCGGUCGGCUAGUGGUAAUGCGGUUGUGGUUUUUUAGAGAGAGAAAGAGGAUAGGGUUUACGGUGGUGGUUUGUCAGCGGAAAGCUCACCGGAAUACAAUAGAUUUUAGCGGCACUAAGAAGGAGAAAAAAGAGAGAAAAUGAGAGAGGAGAGAGGUAUCUAAUAUGUGUGUAUAUCUGUGUGUUUUGUUAAAGUCUGUGUUGUGUAUUUUGAGUGAUGAUAAAAAUUACCCCCUUCCCCUCUUUUAUAAUACAAAAUAACCUCCUUUUUACCCUAAAAUAUUAAAAACUAACUCCUUCAUCUCUUUAAUGUAUGAAUUAAUCCACAGGAUAUUGUCCAAUGAGUUUUUCAUCUUUUUAACCAAUAAAUACAGACUCUUUAUUCAAGGGAUAAAAAUGUCAACCCAUCACCUCAAAUGUCUCUUUUAAAAAGGUGAUGAAAUCUUGAUUUUAUUGAUUUAUUGCUCUGUGUAUUAAAAUAAAUAAACUGACUUACAUUUGCAGAUCGUAUUAAAUAAUGUACAAAAAUAUGAAUGUCGAUGUAUAAUCACAGAAAAAUAAAAACAACAAUAAUUAAAAUUAUAAUGUGCGGUAAAAAAUUAAAGUACUAUGUUGUGUACGUAUGCAAAUGUUUGUGCCAAAAUUUAAAAUGAUAAUAAACUGACAAAAAAUCCUAAAAUUUACUAAAUUAAGGACAAUUAUCAAUAAAUUAUGUAAAAUUAAAAUAUGAUAAUAAAUUGCUAUAAUUCCUAAAAUAAUGAUGAUAAUUAAUAAUUCAUUAACAAUUGUAAAAACUGUGUGAAAAUUGCAUUUUCUACCAUUUAACGAUCAGAAAGCCUAAAUGCGUUAAUUCUAAGCUUGGAGAGCCAAAAUUGGGUGUCAACAGUUGUUUUCUUUUCAUUUGAAGAUAAUAUAGAAGUCUAAAUACAAAAACAUUGAUGUGUAGUCAAUUUUGCUCAACAAAAAAUUAUUAUUUGAUAAAAAAAAUUCAAGCAAACUCCAAUUUAGAGUUGUUAUCUCAAUAUGUCCUAUUUUUUAGUAGACGAACCUAAUGUACUCAAAUUUUAUACCUGCAAAAUUUAUCAAACUGAAAAACAGUACUUAAUAAAAGCAAAUAAGUAAUUAAGCUUGACUUUUUCAAGAAAUUAAAAAAAUGGCAUAUAAUGUUUAACUAAUAUAAGAUAAAUAAAUAAAGGCAUUACAGAUUUUAACUAAAGGCAUACAAAAUAUUCAACUGAAGACAGGCAUGCAUAAAAGGUCUGAUUAAAGGGCAGAUUAAUCGAGAAUAUCCUAUUUUAGGGUGAACAAAUCCAACUCAUGCUUGCAAAAAAAAUUUUUAAAAAAUACGGUGGAUUUUUUUUCUUUUUCCUUUUUUAUUUUUUUCUUUUUUUUUCUCUUUUUUUUUGAGAAAUUAAAGAUAACAUGCAGUGCUUAACUAAAAAAUAAGUUCAUUACAAUAUAUAUAGAUAAAGGUAAAGCAUGCAAUGCUUAAAUAACAAAAUAAAUGCAUUGCUAUGUGCAAGUAAAUAUAAAAAUGACAUGUGAUGCUCUAAAUUAUAAAACAAAUGCAUUGCGAUAUGUGCAAGGAAAGGUCAAGAUGACAUGAAGUGCUUAAAUGAUAAAACAAAUGCAUUGUAAUAUUUGCGGGACGUGCAGUGUCUAAAUGAUAAAAUAAAUGCAUUGCGAUGUGUGCAAGUAAAGACAAAAUGACAUGCAAUGCUUAAAUGAUAAAUCCAUUGCGAUAAGUUCAAGUAAAGACAAAGAUAAUAUGCAGUUCUUAAAUGAUAAAAAACAGCAUUGCAAUAUUUGUGAGGCGUGCAGUUCUUAAAUGAUAAAAUAAAUGCAUUGCGACAUGUGCGCAUUGUGCUUAAAUGAUAAAAUAAAUGCAUUGCAAUAUGUGUAUGUUAUGCUCAAAUGAUAAAAUAAAUUCAUUACAAUAUGCGUGUGUUGUGCUUGGAUGAUAAAAUAAUGCAUUGUGAAAUGUGACGGUAAAGGCAAAGAUGAAAUGAAGUGCUUAAAUGAUAAAAUAAAUGUAUUUGCGAUAUUUGUGAGUAAAGGCAAGAAUGAUAUGUGAUGCUUAAAUGAUAAAAUAAAUACAUUGCAAUAUUUGUGAGGCGUGUAGUGCCUAAAUGAUAAAUAAAUGCAUUGUGAUAUGUGUGUGCGGUGCUUAAAUGAUAAAUGCAUUGCGAUAUAUACAGACAAAUACAAAGAUGAAAUAGGUGCUUAAAUGAAAAAAUAAAUGCAUUGCGACAUGUGCAGGCAAAUGCAAAGAUGACAUGUGGUGCUUAAAUGCUAAAAUGAAUAAAUUCAUUGUGAUGCGUGCAAUUAAAGGCAAGGAUAAAAUGCAGUGCUUAAAUAAUAAAUAAAUGCAUUGCGGUAUAUACCAGUAAAGACAAAUAUGACAUGCAGUGCUUAAAUAAUAAGAUAAAUGCAUUGCGAUAUUUGCGAGGUGUGCAGUUCUUAAAUGAGAAAAUGCAUUACGAUAUAUGUGUGAACAGUGCUUAAAAAUAAAUGCAGUACAAUAUGUUUCAGAUAAAUGCAAAAAUGACAUGCGAUGCUUAAAUUAUAAUUGCAUUGCGAUGUGUGUAUAUAAAGGCAAAGAUGGAUUGCGGUGCUUAAAUGAUGAUAAUAAAUAAAUGCAUCAAGAUGCGUGUAAAUAAAGAUAAAGAUAGCAUGCGGUGCUUACAUGAUAAAAUGAAUAAAUGCACUUUGAUAUGUGCAAGCAAAGGUAAGCAAAAAAUACAGUGCUUAAAUGAUAAAUAAAUGCAUUGCGGUAUGUGCAAUCAAAGACAAAAAGAAAUGCAGUUCUUGAUAAAUAAUAAAAUAAAUGCAUUGCGAGAUACGCAAAUAAAGGCAAGGAAAGCAUGCAGUGAUAACAUAAAUAUAUUGCGAUGCGUGCAAGUAAAGGCAAAACUAGCAUGCAGUACAAAAAGAAAUAAAUGUAAUGCGAUAUGUGCAAGUAAAGACUGGCAAGCAUAAAUAUUUAAUUAAAAAAACAUGCAUAAUUAUCUUAUUGGAGGGUAGACUAACCCAAUUGUUCAAUUUUAGGGUGGACAAACUCAUGUAAAAAAUAAUUAUUGAAUAAAAAAUUAUUUGGGGAUGAAAGUAUUCACAUAUUCCCAAUGUUGCAUUCAAAAUUACCCCAAUAUCAAACUGGGAGAUGCUAGGGAGCGCAAGAUUGCGUACUUGCUGGAGAGAAAGAAUGAUUUUGGGGUUGUGACAACCAAACUCUACAUAGAGUUUUCUACACAUCUCGAAUGCUAUGGGAAUUAGGCCAAUGUAGUUCAAAAUAAGAAAAUAGGAUAAAUUUUGAGGCAGUUCUCAAAAAUUUUCUCAGUGUAUGAUUUAUGCUGACAUUGUCUCCUUAGAAAGAAGCUUUUAAAAAAUCUCUUGCUAUUAUUAAAAAAAUGCAUGGCGUCUCCGAUUGUUUAUGAAGACUUGAGAAUGAAUGAAGUCUCCGAUUAUCUACGGGGACCUGAUGAAUGACAUCUCCAAUUGUUAUGAAAAUUGAUGUUUAUUAUCGUUUUCAAUUAUCUACAAAGAUUAAGGCCCUCAACUAGUGAGGUGACUGAAAUCUAUUAACCUCUCAAUUGACGGGACUAUUGAAAUGUAAAAGGCUCUAGAUUGGUAAAACAAAUGUGAUAGCCUCUCAAUUGGCAGAGCUAUAAAAAAUUUUAAAAAAAUACUCAAAAAUAGACACUUAACUAAAAUAUAAAAUAUCGGUAUUUAAAGGUAUGUACUUGAAAGGAAAAGUCAAAUGCCCUUAUUUCAAAACUAGACGUCUUUAAUAAAAACUAAAAAUGCAUGUAUGUAAAAGUGGGCACCUUAAAUAAAAAUUAAAAAAUAUUCGUAUGUGAAAGUGAGCAUCUUGAAAAAAGAAAGAAAAGAUUUUGUAUUUUCUUGAUAAAAAGUGUUGAAAGAUAAAGAAGACACGAUCAUGUCUUGACUUUAGUUGGUACCAAUAAUUAGUAGUGUGCAUAAGAAUUCCCCCAUCUCCUUUCCAACAUAACUGAGAUCGACUUCAGGGUAACUCUCAUAGUUUCAAGUGUUACCCCAGACACGCCUAAAUAUCAACAAGAUUUUCUUGUCUUGCUUCAAAUAAAGGUCUCGAGCUAUACAUAUCAUCAUGUUUCAAGCGCCCUUUCUAGAAUAAAAGUCCCAUUUCACACAUAUUUGAGCAAUUUCUUUUUGAAUUUAGGGACAUCUAAAGAAAUACACUCACACUCACAAAAAAUUCAAUGCAUGCAAUUGUGAUAUCAUAGGCUUGACCUUCAUGUAAGUAUCCACUAAUAUGAGAACACUUGAAAUACGAUCUCGUUGGACUUAUUAUUGGCUGGUAAUAUAGGCUUGGGGACGAGUAGGAUGAUAUUUGGGAUAAAAGUGACUAAUCUCUCAAUGAACAUUAAUUGCAUUUGUGAUUUCAACGUUAGUUGCACUUGGAUGCAUGAUCUUCUUAGUUGUGCUGCGUUGUUCCUUAUUUUGUACUUGCUUUGACUUCUUUUGAAUCUUGCGUUGGAGUUUUCCCCCUUUUUUCAGGAAUAUAUAAAUAUAUAUAUAUAUAUAUAUAUAUAUAUAUGUAUAUAUAUAUUUGUUCUUUUAUUUAUUUUUCUCUUUUUUUUAUGAAGGUUUUGCUCCUUUUAAAGUAUAAUAAAUUUAGAGCUAAUAAAUAUGUAAAGACACAAUAAUUCAUCAAAUAUGUACAAAGACUAUAAUAAUGUGUCACUUGGGUCGUGGACCCUUCGGACAUAAAGUUGUCUAAUGAUGCAUGCACCUAAAAAGGUGUUAUUUAGCUAUAUCCAAUGUUGACUAAGAGUGGGUAGACACGGACUUGAAUUUCCUAUAUGAGAAGGCAUGUAGUCCCGCAGCAGUAAAACUCCUGCUCACCCCACACAUGCACCGACUCUCUAAAGUAAGGUGAUUUGAAAGAAUUAUUAGGAAAGUACAAUGUACAAUCCGUGAGUACAAUGUGUGUGAGUGUCAGUAUUUCGAAGUGGAGAAAACAUGAGCGUAAUGUCAGUUUAUAUAUAGCAAUAAAUAAAUAAACAGUUUAUACAAAAUAAUACCAACUAAACAAUUUAUGUCACAUAAACAAGAUAAAUCAAGGCAAUUAAUAUGAAACAAAUAACAAUGUAUAAAAACAUAAAUAUUUACCUAAGUCUGUAAUGAUCAGAACCUUUUGCAUUCCCCAGCAUAGUCGCCAAACUGUCAUACCCUAUUUUCACCUAGGUGAAAACGAGCAUGACGUUAUAGACUCAAAAAGAAUUAAUUUUGUACAAAGUCGCUUCCUAAUUUUUAAGAAAAAUAAGAAAACUUAUGUAUUUAUUAACAAAUAUGACUUUAUCUAAUCUACGAAACCAAAUUAAAUUCUAGACAAGGUUUAAAUUAUUCAAAAGGAAAGGGAUUAGGCAUCCUUCACAAUCUACAAAUGUGAUUUUCGAUUAGAUUUAGGUUAAUUAAAAGAGAAAAAGAAAAAUUCAGUGUUUGUAAAUACAGAUAAAAAUAUGUCUCAAAAUAAUAUAAUGCAUAUGCUAUCUAAAAAUAAAAAUAUAUAAAUAUGCAUGUAUAGAUAAGAUUUAAUAAAGAAAAAUUAUUCUGAAGAAAAACACUACAUAAUAAUAUUUUUUAAUGUAAGAAGUGUAAAUUAUUUGAUUAAAUAUCUAAUCAAUUUUAAUAUACAUAUUAACGGCCUAAAUUUACCUAAACGCGUAAUGAAUACUGUGUAAGUAAAAGCACCCCACCCGAUGCCCCAAAAUAAAAUUUUCACCAUAAAUGAUAUUUAUACAAGUGUAAGAAAUAAAAAGUACAAACACAAUUUAAACUCCUCUUUAAAUGUCAUUCCCGGCAAGUAUUCCCAAUAACCUGUAUAAAUAUUUGUAGUAAAAAUGUUAGUAACGAAUAAAUAAUUAUCAAAUGACUCGAGAAGGUAUGUGUGCAUAUAUGUAAAAAUAUAUAUAUAUAAUAUAAUUUUUGUUAAAACAGUGGGCUCGAAUAAAGUUUUUAAAUAUUAUAAGAAUUUCAUCAUUGCUGAAUUUAUUUAUUUUUAUUACAUACUUGUAUACGUAUACGUAAUAUUCGUCUUUUAAUUUUUGAAGGACUCAAAAAUCGACAAAUCGGCCAACUAGCGUAGUAUUUAUCCGUUAUCAAUAUAAAAAAUGAAAAUGCAAUAAAAGUAAAAAUAAAUCCAAAACAGUCGAAAAAAUCAUCUAAACAGUAGCAAAGUAACAGGAUUUCCAAAGUAAUCUUAUCAUCCGUAGGAUAACAAUGGAAUGUAGCAAACAACAUAUUUAUGACAGAGAUAGCCAAAAAUAGAGCAAAACAACAGCAAUAAAUAUCACAGGGCAGCAAGCGAAAGUUAGAAUAAGAAAAAAAGAAAAGAAAUUAUAAAUACAAUCAACGAGGUUAUGAAAAAAAAUAGUGAAAACAAUGGAGCUUAUCAGUUUUAACGGAGCUUCACUAGAGAAUAAAACCUCCGACAAGAUCUGCAAUAAAUGGGGGAGCUGAACAUUCUUCUAGGAUGAAUGUCGAAAAUAUAAUAACCAACCAGCUCUGCAAAAUCACACCCAUCCGGUUCAACCAAGAAAAAAGUAGAUCAAGCAUGAAAAAGUUCUAGCAAAUUUGAAGAUUUUUACUUCCCCUUUUCUAUCAGUUAAUAAAUAUAUGCUUUAUAAUAAAAGGAUUUCAUAAAAUAGAUUGUCACACUGCUUUCUUGCUCUCUUUGUUGAAACCAGCCAAAUCAUCUACACAUAAUCAAAGAUCGAUGAGAUUUUUCUUGCUGUUAAUAAACUCAAGGAGACGGAGUAGUAAUUAAAGAAAAAAUAAGGAUGAAGGAAAAUGAUGCAGUGACGGUAUUUAAGGAGCUUCGCGGUCACCACCUCCAACAAAGGAAUGGCGAAAACAAGGAAGGAUGGUUGGACGUUCUUAACAGGAGGCCCGUCCACUAGUGACCAACUCCAGCGAGCAGUGGCCAAAAAUAAGGAAGAAGGGGAAGGAGGUCGAUGGAGAUGCAGCGGUCGGUGGGAUUAGAGCGGUAGACGGCGGCGGCUGUGGGUGACUGAUUACCCAGCGCCGUGGAGGAGAAAUGAAAGAAGAGGGGUAGGAAGGGGUGACACUUCAGGCUUCAGGUAGCUGGUUUGGUAGGAGUAGUGGUCUUGAUGGAUCUUGUCGGUCAUCACCUCCGGCGAAAGGUAACAGAAAUGGGAAAAAGAAGAAAAGAAGGGUGGUGCAGUGAUGGUGGUGUUCGUACAACGUCAGUCGGCUGAUGGUGAUGCGGCUGUGGGUUUUUGAGAGAAAGAAAGAGCAUAGGAUUUACGGUGGUGGUUUGGCGGCGGAAAGCUCACCGAAAUACGAUGGAUGUUGGUGGCAUUGAGAAGAUGAGAAGAA
rnacentral:lncRNA from 1 species